rnacentral:lncRNA from 1 species
UAGGAUUUGGUUAGGAUUUAUUUAGGAUUUGGUUUAGGAUUUAGGAUUUGGAUUAGGAUUUGAUUUAGGAUUUAGGGUUUGGAUUAGGGUUUUAUUUAGGAUUUAGGAUUUGUUUAGGUUUUAGUUUAGGAUUUAGAAUUUGGAUUAGGGUUUGGUUUAGGAUUUAGGAUUUGGAUUAGGAUUUGAUUAGGGUUUGAUUUAGGAUUUAGGAUUUGGUUUAGGAUUUGGUUAAGAUUUGGUUUAGGAUUUGAUUGAGGUUUGAUUUAAGGUUUGUUUAGGAUUUGAUUUAGGAUUUAGGAUUUUAUUAGGAUUUAAGAUUUCAUUAGUUUUGGCCUAAAGUUUGAAUGAAGUUCAAUAGGAUUUUAACUAGAAUUAAAUUAAGAUUGAAUUGAGAUAUAUUUGAGUGAUAUUUGUGAUCCUUCUAAUAUUUUUUUAAGAAUUCUUAUUGUUUGUUUGAAAUUUCUUUGAGGUUUUUUUGAAUUUGAUUAAGCUUGCUUAGUAUUAUUAUGGUCUAAUUAGAGCAUUGUUAAUAUUCUAUUAGAAUUAGGAUUUUGUUAUUGUAAUUUUUAUUCUUCCUUCUAUAGCCAGGUGCCCGGAGCAUUCUCAAGCAAGACUUCACGUAUUAUGAGGUCGUGUUGCAACAUGACUAUAUGGUGAAAAUAUAAAUGAAAAAAAUUUAUUAAUAUUUAGUCAUCUUGGAUGUUAGAAACAAUGGCCAAUUGCAGUGCCAAUAUUCAGGGGCCAAUUAAUGUCACCCCAUUGCAGCUGUAUCACCGAACAUGAAAACAUCGUAUACUCUAUCGACGUCAUUGAACUAAGUACCCUCCAUACCAACCGAACGACCAGGAUCAUUUUCUAAUCCUACAUGGAACAAGCCUACUAGGUAUAUACCAGUGGAGAUACCCAAUAUGCUUAAUGGAGGUACAAGAAGACCUCUUCAUUGUUUCUAUUGCAGACAGAAUGGUGAUUAUGCUAGUGAAUGUCCUAAUUCCAGAGCCAGUGAUAAUUACGUGCCAGUAUGUAAGAAUAGCAAGGAGUCGGGGCAUACUUAUCAACAAUAUAAUGCUCCGUUCAAUUUCAAUAAUCGGGAUCAGCAGAUCCAAAGCUAGGAAAAAAUUGAGGGGAUAAAUCGAGGUUCUCAAGAUUCUUCAAUAAAUCGAGUGGAAUGAGUCUGAGCCGUUCUUACCAAGAGUCGGCAAAAGGGGAAAGGACCAAUUCAAUAUUCGGGUGAGUCUGAUGUGAAGGGCCAAUUUGAUCCAAUUACAGGGACAUCCAAUCUAGGUCCUGUUAUGGCCCUCUUACCUAGUAUGAGACUUGAUUUGGUUGGGCAAUCUAAUGAGGUCUCAAAUACGUAGGCUUUGAUUCUAUUUCAAGCUGUUCCAUUCUCUAUGUCAUUUCGGAGAAAUGUCCUUUCCAUAGAAAGAUCCUCUUAGAGGCAAAAAUUCCAUAGAGGGGGGGUCUGUUGUUCCAAUUCGGAGUCCAUGGUAGAAGAAUAGGGAACCUCACGGAGUUAAAGGAAAGGAGAGGAAAAAGAAGAGGGCAUUCAAAGAUUGGGAUUUUGGGGUUGGAGAGCUAGCUUCAAGCUCCUUCAAAAAGUGUAGAAUUGGAUUUCAUAGGAUUUGGGAGGACUUUUGCAAUCGUUGCUGAAAGUCAGUGUUUGUAUUGGUGAUUUGGAUUUUUUUUUGCAAUAAAGUUAAUGCUAAUACUCUUAACUGUUUUGUAAAAUUAGAGAAAUUUUUGCGGUUGAAAUUUAGAGGUGUCUAAAGGGUUGAGUAUGUCGAGUGCAUAUAAAAGUUUGUGUUAAUCUGACAGAACAAAUAGAGGAUAUUUGACCAUUAGUAUAAAGAGGUAUCGAAAGUUAGCAAAUUGGGGUUGUUUAGGAUUUCUAUAAUAUCUAGAGAUCUACCAACUGGAAUAAGGUGAAUUUUGGCAUAGUAAGUUGAGGACUUCUAGGUGGUGGUCAAGAUACAUCAGUGUGGAUUUAUGGCAUUUUCUUGCAAUCUAUAAGUUAGAUUGGAUUGAAACUUCUUGAGCAUUUAGAAGGCUUGCAAAGACACUAGUGGUAGAAAUUUACAACAAUCGGAUGGUCAGAUUGAGAAUUACAGCUUGUCAAAGCUCAUUAUCUAGGAUUAGGAUUAAAAAUAAAAUAAAAUAAAAUAAAAAAUAAAAAACUAACAAAUAACAAAAGACUUUGUGCUUAUAAUAUCUUGAAAUUAUUAAAAAUAGUGUUUCUAAGCACUUUAUAUUGGGAUUAAGUUUUUACAUUGAAAUCCGAAAUAGUUUGUAUUUAGAUAGUUGAAAUCUACUAGCCUACCUAGAUACUUACAAAACAUUGUUUUAUCUUCCACAGCAAGAUGCCCGAUGCAUUUUCAAGCAAGAUAGCAUGUAAUACGACAACAACAACAUGGACUGGAACGAAAAAGCACUUAUCAACGAAUUUUGAUAUGGAUUGAAGGAUAGCAUUAAAGAUUUGUUAUUAACAAUAUCGAAAGUAGAAUCUUUGGAACAAUUUAUUACUCAAGCCAUUGCAUGUGACAAUCAUUUAUUUGAAAGAUAUCAAGAACAAAGUUUUAGUUGGAGAAGAACAAGUCAAGUAAUGGCGGCAACUCCCAAGUUUUCUAAAACUUAUACGUCAAAGUUGGAACAAAUGCAAAUUGAUAUGAUACGUUUUAAAUCUCUCACGAAGCAAGAAAAGAUUCGAUGUCACUAAGAAGGAUUGUAUUUAUAUUGUGGAGAAGCUAAGCACACUGCUCAAUAUUGUCCAAAGAAGCAACACAAUUACAAAAUGACGAGCACAAUUAUCAAAGAAGAUAGUAUAUCGGAAAAUGAGUUUCUCUAGCUACAACAAGGAACGUGCGGCUGGAAUCAUGUACAACAUCUAGUAAAGGUCCUAUCCUCUUCUCAGACCCCUCACCUUAUUUUAUAAUAGAAGUAUAUUUAAGACCUAAUAAUCACAAAGUCUUUAUCUUAUUAGAUUCAGGAGCCUCAGCAUGUUUUAUAGAUGAAGAUUUUGCCAAAAAUCAAAAAAUAUCUUUAGUAAAGAAAGUUAAAUCCAUACAUGUAGAAGUCAUAGAUAGUCGUUUGUUAUCUUCUAAAAAUAUUACCCAUGAAACUACUCCUUUAGAUAUAGCAAUUAAAGAUCAUAACAACGUAGUAGUAUUUAAUGUAAUAAAAUCUCCCUCUAAUCCGAUUAUUUUAGGAUUAUCAUGGCUAGAGAAAUAUAACCCUCAAAUAGAUUGGAUUUUUCAUAACCUUAACUUUUCUGAUAGUAUAAUCCAAGAUCGCAUUAGUAAAGUAGAAGUAUGUAAGUCCAGUAUAUCUAAAUCUUUACUAGUAGGUGCCAAAGCUUUCAUGCAUGUUGCAAAAGAAGGAUCAUCUUUUGCUAUAUAUGAUACACCCAUUGCUAAUGGUGAAACAACAUGGAGAGGUAUUCCUAAGCAAUAUCAAGAAUUUCAAGAUGUUUUGAAAAGAAGAAUGCAGAUAUUCUUUCCGAGCAUCGACCUUAUGAUUGUUCAAUUGAUCUGCAAGAAGGAGCUCAACCACCAUUCGGACCAAUCUAUAGCUUAUCGCAAAAUGAGCUCGCAACAUUAAAGGAGUACAUUAAUGAAAAUUUGGCAAAGAACUUCAUAUACCAUUUUAAAUCUCUAGCCGGGGCUACUAUCUUAUUUGUGAAGAAGAAAGACGGAUCUCUACGAAUAUGUGUGGAUUAUGGACGACUCAACAAGAUCACCAUCAAAAAUAGGUAUCCUUUGCCUUUGAUUUCAGGACUUCUUGACUAACUCAAUCAAGCAAAGAUCUAUACUAAAAUAGAUCUACGAGGAGCAUACAACUUAGUUCGUAUCAAAGAAGGAGAUGAACGGAAGAUUACUUUUCGAACUACGUAUGGACAUUUUGAAUAUAAUCUCAUACCUUUUGGACUCACAAAUAUAUCGACCGCUUUUUAACAUCUUAUGAAUGAUAUUUUUUGUGAGUUUUGUGAGAAGAUUCAAACUAUCAUAGAUUGAAAGAUUCCAAGAACAGUAUGAGAUGUGCAAUGUUUUUUGGGCUUUGCUAAUUACUAUCGAAUCUUUAUCAAGAAUUUUUUUGAAGUUGUAGCUCCACUUAUACGUUUGACUUGUAAAGACAAACUUGAAUAGAAUAAAGAAAUAGAAGCAUCAUUUGAUGCUUUAAAGAAGGAAUUUAUUUUUGUACCAAUCUUAUAUUUUAUUGACUUCUCCAAGGUAUUUUUUAUGGAAACAGAUGCAUCAAUUUUUGCUAUAGGUGACAUGUUGUCACAAAUGGGAAUAGAUGACAAACUCCAUCCAAUAGCUUUCUAUUCGAGGAAAUUUCAGUAGUAGAAAUUAAUUAUAAGAUCCAUGACAAAGAGUUCUUUGCAAUUGUGGAUUCAUUUCAAGAAUGGCAUCAUUAUCUAGAAGGCACCUCAAGUCUAGUUAUCGUGUAUACAGACCAUAAGAACCUCAAGUACUUCAUGUCAGCAUGUGUCUUGAAUCGUCGUCAAGCCCAUUGGAGCAUGUCUUUAUCUAGAUUCAAUUUCAAGAUCACUUAUCAACCCGAAAAACAACAAGGUUUAUUGGAUGCUCUUUCUAAACGUUCUUUUCUUGCACCAAAAGAAAGAGAUGGAUCUUUUAAUCAUCAAAGAUCAAUUCUCUUGAAGCCCGAGCAUUUUUCAUCUUCGAGCUAUAAAAUCAACAUUGACUGUUGAUUCAAUACUUGUGAAGAAAAUUCAAUCAAGCAUGUCUUCUAAUCAUCUUGUUUGGGAUAUCAAGGAUACUUCCUCUAAGUCCCAUGAUACUUCCAAGUUUGAAUUCAAGAAUAAUCUAUUAUAUUUCAAAGGAUGCCUAUAUGUUCCAGAAGGUGAAGCCCGAUUAUGUAUUCUUCAAGCUCGUCAUGACUUUCCAGUAGCACAACACUUUGGAUACAAUAAAACUUUGGAAUUAAUAUCCAAGGAUUUUUGGUCACUGCAAAUGUAGAAAGUAGUCAAAGAUUUUGUACAAUCUUGUGAUGUUUGCUCAAGAUCAAAAACUCCUCGUCAUUGAUCUUACAGACUUCUUCAGCUGUUACCUAUUUCAAAACAACGAUGGUCUUCUGUUUCUAUUGAUUUCAUCAUGGAUCUUCUAAUCUUAGGUUCUUAUGACUCUAUAUUUGUGAUAGUAGAUUAUUUUACUAAGAUAGCAUAUUUUAUAUCAUGUACAAAACCUAUCACAGGUGAAGAAACAGCUAAGCUUUUCAUUAACAAUAUCUAUCAAUAUCAUGGAUUGCCAAAAGAUAUUAUAUCGGAUAGGAGGACUCAAUUUGUAUCAAGAUUUUGGAGAAUCCUAUUCAAAAUUUUAAAGGUAGAUAUAAAGCUUUCUUUAGCUUUUCAUCCUCAAACUGAUGGACAAACAGAAUGGGUAAAUCAAGUUUUGGAACAAUAUUUGAAAUGUACCAUCAACUAUCAUCAAGAUGAUUAGACAACUCUUCUACCAUUGGCAGAGUUUGCAUAUAAUAAUUUGGUACAUUCUUGCACUCAAAAAAUACCUUUCUUUGCUAAUUAUGGUUACCAUCCACAUCUUGAUACUUUUGACUUUUCAAAAGUUGAUAAUCCUAUAGCGGAAGAUUUAGCAAAUUGCUUGUCAGAGCUACAUACAACAAUAAAGAUACAAUUAAAGAAAGCUCAAGAAUGACAAAAGACCAACGUAGAUGCUUAUUGCAAAGAGCAACUACAAUAUAAUGUGGGCGACAAAGUAUGGUUACUUCAUCGUAAUAUCAAGACUACUCGUCUUUGUGAUAAAUUAGAUUAUCAUAGACUCGUACCUUUUCCUAUUUGUGAAAAAAUUAAUUCUAUUGCCUAUUGAUUACAUCUACCGAAGUCUAUGAAGAUCCACCUUAUAUUUCACAUGUCUCUUCUGAAGCCGUAUAACACAGUGAAUAUCUUGGAAAGAAGACAAAUGCCACCUCCUCCUAUAGAAGUGGAUAAUAACCAAGAGUUUGAGGUGAAAGAAGUCUUAGACUCAAGGUGGUACCAAAAUAGGUUGAAAUAUCUUGUUUAUUAGCACAAAUAUGAUAUUAGUGAAUGCACAUGGAAGCCAUCAAAGAAUCUUGCAAAUGUAGCAAAGAAAUUUGAAGUCUUUCAUCAACAACAUCCAUCAAAACUAAGUUGAAGAAUAGUAAAUCUUUGCUAUAAAAGAAACAAGAUCAAAGGAAAAUAACUUUCUACCUUUUAUCUUUCAUUGUAGCUUUUGUAUAUUUGUGAUGAGAUGGAGCACCAACAACCAACAGAUUCAACUCAAGAGUUUUUAUUUGUAGACUUACGAAACGAGAUAUUAUGAUUGUCACAACCUUCAAGAGGACGGAAUCGAGAUGAAGAUCCUCAAGAACAACAUGUCCUUCCUCAAAUAGAUGGCAAGAUAUAAUGUGUUUGGUAUCACAACCAUGGAAGAGAAUUCCAAUGUUUAGUGAUUUUAUUAGAGGUAUGAACUACUCUUGACGGUGUUUGAAAUGUUUUAUUUGAAGGAAGUUAUGAAGGUCUUAAAAAUGACCAAAUAACAAGGUGGUCUUCUUGCCCUGGUAUAGAAUACUAUAGAUGGUUGAGAGGACCUAUCAACUAUCUUCGAAGAGAGCAAAGAUCGGAGUAUAUAGCAAAUAUAAUUUGUCGCAUCUUGGACUUCCUCAAAAUAUGAAGACCGCUCCUCGUGGAACUUGUCCCUAGAAGGAGGGGUAAUAUCACGGAUAUAUAUAUAUAUAUUUACUUCAAUAGUUACUUAUAUGAUUAAGUAGAAGUAGGUAAAAUAGAAUAAUUUCAUAAAGUCUUCUAGAGAAGCUUCAUAGAAGCUAUAUAGACGUAAUUUUGACUUUAGAUGUGUUCAUAGGUUACAAAAUUGGCCAAAAAGCUAACCAUGUAUUGGUAGCUUGUGGAAUAAGUUACCUCCAUGUAGUAGCUUGUGGAACAAGUUACCUCCAUGUAGUAGCUUGUAGAACAAGCCAACUAUGUGGCGUAUACAUACAUAACUUGCCUUGCAAAAUAAGACAUGUGGCUAGCAAAGUCAAUACAUGUUGGAGGUCCUAUAGGACGUCGCCAUGUGGCUCUUUGUUAGAUAGUAUAUAUGGAGGCAAGAGUGAAGCCUUCUUCACUCUUAUCAAUGCCUUUCUAGUCUUAGUCUUGUUUCAAGACUUUCUAAUCUUCUUAUUUUUGGCAAUAGCUAUUCUAGUUAAUAUUACAACAUCUUUUGAGUGACUUUCUAGUUCUCUUUAGUGAUAGAAGAGUGUAUUGAGGAUUUUUUUUCUUCGAGAUUCAUGUCCGUGACACUCAAUCAAAUAAAGAUCUAUAUAAAAAUAGAUCUACAAUGAGCACAUAAUCUUGUAAGCAUUAAAAAUGGAGAUAAAUAAAAAAUUGCAUUUUGAAUCAGGUAUGGAUAUUUUGAAUAUAAUGCCAUACCUUUUGGAUAUACAAAUACACUAGCUAUUUUUCAAUAUCUAAUAAAUAAUAUUUUUUGUAAAUUUCUUGAUGAUUUUGAUAUUUUUAAUUUGAAAAAUAUCUUAAUCUAUUCUAAGAACAUAGAAGAGCUUAAAAUUUAUGUUUGUUGUAUAUUACAAAAACUUAGAAAUACAAGAUUAUAUAUCAAAUUAAAAAAGUAUGUAUUCUAUAUUAUUCAAGUUGAAUUUUUAAGAUAUUUAAUUUUUAAUGGAGAACUAAUAAUAGAUCCAAAAAAAGUCUAUACUAUCACGAAUUAGAAAUAUGCAAUAUUUUUUGAGUUUUACCAAUUACUACUAGAUCUUUAUCAAGAAUUUUUUUUAAGUUGUAGCUUCACUUAUAUGUUUGAUUUGAAAGUACAAACAUGAGUGGAUUAAAAAAGCCAAAAUAUUGUUUGAUGCUUUAAAAAAUGAGUUUAUUUUUGUACCAAUUUUAUAUUAUGUUGAUAUUUUUAAGAUAUUUUUUAUAGAAAUAAAUACAUUAUACUUUGCCUAAAAUGUAAUAUUAUCUCAAAUAGGAACAAAUAACAAAAUCCAUCUAGUAGCUUUUUAUUCCAAAAAACAUUCAAUAGUUAAGAUUAAUUAUGAGAUCUAUGAUAAAAAAAAACUUCUUAUAAUUAUAAAUUCAUUUCAAAAAUGGCAUCAUUAUCUAAAAGGUGCUUCAAAUCCAAUCACCAUGUAUACGGAUCAUACAAAUCUUAUAUAUUUUAUGUCAACAUGUAUUUUGAAUUGUUGUCAAGAUCAUUAGAGCAUAUUUUUAUCAAGAUUUGAUUUCAAGAUUAUUUGUUGACUUUGAAAAUAACUAGGUUUAUCAAAUACCUUUUUUAGACAUUCUUAUAUUACACCAAAAGAAAGAAAUGCAUCUUUUGAUCAAUAAAGAAUAAUUUUCUUGAAGUUGGAGUAUUUUCAUCUUUGAAUAAUAAAAUCAACAUCAACUAUUGAUUCAAAAAUUUUCAAUCAAAUUCAAUCAACUAUGUCCUCUGAUGCUCUUGUCCAUGAUAUUAAGAAUAAUUCUUUUAAAUUUCAUGAUACUUUUAAGUUCAAGUUCAAGAAUAAUCUACUUUAUUUUGAGGGAUGAUUAUAUAUUUUAGAAUAUGGCAUACAAUUAUAUAUUUUUUAAACUCAUCAUGACUUUCCAACAGUUCUAAUAGAGUAAAGAAGCAGAAGCAUCAUUUGCCAUAUCUUUCGCUGUAGGAUUAUUAAUAUUUGAAAAGUCAAAUGUGUCAAAUUUUGGAUGAUAAUUAUAAUUGGUAAAGAAAGGUGUUUUUUGAAUAGAAGAAUGUACCAAAUUAUUGUGAGCAAACUCUACCAAUGGCAAAAGAGUUGUUCAAUCAUUUAUUGAUAAUUGAUCGUACACCUCAAAUACUACUCUAAAACUUAAUUUAUCCAUUAUGUUUGUUUAACAAUUUUAGGGUGGAAAUUCAAAGAUAGUUUUAUAUCCACCUUCAAUAACUUAAAAAAAGUUCUUUAAAAUCUUGAUAAAAACUGUGUUCCUUUGUUUGAUAUAAUAUCCCUUGAUAAUCCAUGAUAGCAAUAGAUGUUGUCAAGGAAGAGUUUAGUUAUUUCUACACUUAUGAUAGAUUUUGUAUAUGGUAAAAACUAUGCCAUCUUGAUGAAAUGAUGUACUAUAACAAAUAUAGAAUCAUAAGAACUUGAGAUUGGAAGAUUUGUAAUAAAAUCCAUAGAAACAAAAGACUAUGGUUGUUUUGGUAUAGGUAAUGGUUGGAAGAGUCCAUAAAAUCGAUGAAGAAGAGUUUUUGAUCUUGAAAAAACAUCACAUAUCUGUACAAAUUCUUUAAAAGCCUUCCAUAUUUGAAGCUACAAAAAAUCUCUAGAUAUAAGCUCCAAAGUCUUAUUAUAUCCAAAAUAUCCUGCUACAAGGAAAUUGUGACAAGCUACAAAAGUGUGUAAUCAUGCUUCUCCUUCUGGAAUAUAUAAGCAUCCUUCAAAAUAAAGUAGGUUCUCUUUAAACUCAAAUUUGGAAGUAUCUUAAGACUUAGAAGAAUUUUUUUUAAUAUCAUGAACAAGAAGGUCUAAGAACAUGCUUGUUUGAAUCUGCUUAAAAAAAAUCAAAUCAACAGUCAAUUUUGAUUUCAUUGCUUAAAGAUGAAAUUAUUUUGGCUUUAAUAAAAUUAUCUUUUCAUGGUCAAAAUUUGCUUUUCCUUCUUUUGAUAUAAGAUAAGAACGUCUAAAAAGAGCAUCAAACAAACCUUGUUGUUUUCCUAGCUGAUAAGUAAUAUUAAACUCGAAUUUUGACAAAGACAUACUCCAAUAAGCCUGGCGACAAUUCAAAACACAUGUUGACAUGAAAUACUCGAGGUUCUUGUGAUCCAUAUACAUGAUGACUAAACUUGAAGCGCCUUCUAAAUAAUGAUGCCAUUCUUAAAAAGAAUCCAUAAUUGCAAGAAGUUCCUUAUAGUGGAUCUCAAAAUUAAUCUUGGCUAUUGAAAAUUUUCUUGAAUAAAAAGCUAUUGAAUGAAGUUUGUCAUCUGCUUCUAUUUAUGAUAAGACUACAUCUAAGGCAAAGUCACAUGCAUUUGCCUCUAUAAAGAAUGCUUUGAAAAAGUUGACACAAUGUAGGAUUAGUGUAAAAAUAAAAUCUUUCUUCAAAACUUCAAAUGAUGCUUCUACUUCUUUACUUUACUCAAGCUUGUCUUUACAAGUUAAGUUUUUAAGUGGCACUGCAACUUCAGAAAAGUUCUUGAUGAAAAACUGAUAGUAAUUAGAAAAUUCCAAAAAAUAUUGUACAUUUCUUAUUAUUUUUGGAGUCUUUUAGUCCAUGAUUAUGUGAACUUUUUAAGGAUCCAUCAUUAGACCAUUGUUUAAAAUGAUGUAUCCUAAAAAGUCAACUUGAGUAGUGUAGAAUAUAUACUUUUCUAUCUUGGCAUACAAUCCUUUAUUUCUAAGUUUUUGUAACAUACAAAAAAUAUGAACUUCAUGUUCUUCUCCAUCUUUAGAGUAGAUUAAAAAUUUUUCUAAGUAAUUAAUAACAAAAUCAUCUAAAAACUCACAAAAAAUAUCAUUCAUAAGAUACUAAAAAGCAGUUAGUGCAUUCGUGAGUCCAAAAGGCAUGACAUUAUAUUCAAAGAAUCCAUACUUUGUUCAAAAUAUAGUCUUCCAUUUGUCUCUUUCUUUAAUGCAAACCAAAUUAUAUGCUCUUUAUAGAUCUAUUUUUGUAUAGAUCAUAGCUUGAUUUAAUUGAUCAAAAAGUCUAGAUAUCAAAGGCAGAGGAUAUCUAUUCUUGAUGGUAAUCUUGUUGAGUCCUCAAUAAUCCAUGCACAUUUGCAAUGAUCCAUCAUUUUUCUUCACAAAUAAGAUAGAAAAUCCUAUAGGAUACUUUGAAUGGUGUAUAAAAUUCUUGGCCAAGUUCUCAUCAAUGUACUUCUUGAGUUCACCUAACUCAUUUUGUGAUAAACUAUAGAUUGGACUAAAUGAUGGCUGAGUUCUUUCUUUAAGAUCGAUUGAGUAAUCAUAUGGACAAUGCUUUGGGAAAAUAUCUACAUUCUUCUUCUCAAAAAUAUCUUAAAAAUCUUGAUAUUGACUUGGAAUUUCACUUGAAAUCUUUACAUCAUUUAAAAUAGAUGUGGCAUAAAUAAAAAAAGACUAUUCUUCUCUUGCAAUAUGCAAAAAAAACUUUUGCACCUACAAGUACAGUUUUGGCUAUACUAGACUCAUAGCUUUCUAUUGGAUUAGAAAAACUCUUAAUGAUGUUAAAAAAAAUCAAGUUUAUGAGAAAUCCAAUCUAUCUUAGGAUUAUACUUUUCUAGCCACGAUAAACCUAAAAUGAUUAGAUUAGAGGAAGAUCUAAUUAUAUUAAAAAUUAUGCGACUACUAUGACCAUUUAUUACUAUAUCUAUAGGAAGUAUUUCAUGAAUAACAUCUUUAAAAGAUAAUGGACAAUCGUCUAUGACUUCUAUGUGUACGGAUUUAGUUUUUUGUAUUAAUUAUAUAUUAUGACUUUUAUUAAAUUCUUCAUCUAAAAAACAAGCAAGGGCUCUUACACCUAUUAAGAUAGAGGCUUUGUGGUUAUUAGAUCUUAAAUGCAUAUCUAUUGUAAAACAAAGACAGAGUUCUAAUAAGAAAAUAAGACCUUCAUUAGGAAUUAUAUAAGAUUUCAAUUGUAUGGUCCCUAUUGUAGCUAUACAAAUUUAUUUUUCGACAUGUUUUCAUCUUUAAUAGCAAAACUCUUCAUUUUGUAGUUACAUCAUUAUUGUACUAUAAAUACUUAUAAUAUAUAAAAAUUAAUUAAAAUAUAUUAUAUAUUGAUAAAUCUAAAUGUAAGAUAGAAUGGUUAGUAGAUUAAAUUAAAAAGAGUUGGUAUAAAAAAUCUUACUUUGUUUCUUUACUUAUUUUGAUUUUGGCAUAUAUAUAUAUAUAUAUAUAUAUAUACAUAUAUAGGACCUAAAUAUUUAGUAUGAGGCCUUGAAAGAAGGUGGAAGCAUAAGAAAGAAAAUCCAAAUUAGUAAGAGGUUAAUUGGAAGGGAUGAAAGCAAGGCAUGGUCGGAUGAAGGCAAGGAAUAGAGAACUUCAUCCCUAUUGGUCAAAUACCAUGUCUAAUGGACUUUGAGGAAGCUACCUGAGAUCAUAAUAAGAAUUUCAGUAACUUCAAAGGAAGCAUUUGGAAAUUAAAAGCCAGAGUUGCAAGGUUUAGAGUUUGUACUACAAUUUGUGUAUAAAAACUAGAGGAUUUGGAGUUAGGGUGAAGAAGUUAUAUUCGUUUGAAGUUAAGGUGUUAAUUUAAGACAUAUUGUUACUCUUUUGUAAAUACAAGGAGUUUUACAAUAGUUUUUGAAGAUUGAAAGGUAUAGCUAGAACAACAAUUUGAAGGCCUAUAUCUUUUAUAAAAUAAUUAUUACUUUUGGAGUCCAUAUAAAAGAGAUAUAAAGAGUUGAAAGGGAUGCUUUCAAAUCAAAGGUAGUAAGUGAGUGGUGUUGUUUAUAGAAAUGGUUGGAGCCAUAACUUGAGUUUUUAGACAAUCUUUUGCUUCAAAUUUUUUGGAAAAUAGAAUAUUUUGUAUUAUAAAGCUAUAAAUAUAAAUUUCGUGGAAUUAGAGCUUUUAUUUUAUGAGAUAUAAAGUAAAUUACAUGCGGAUGUAUAAAGAUAAGGGUUUAAAGUGACAUUUAGGAUUUUCAAGAUAUUUUAAGAUUUACAAUGUAUUUACAAUUGAAAUUUGUUGUAAAAGUUGAUAAGAAUACAUCAAUACUUUAUAUAAAAUUUGAGUAAGUUUAAACAGUCGGAUCAAGCGUUAUGAGGUAUUAAAGUUUAGAAAAAUUUCUACAUAAGGAUAUACAAGGUUUUAGAGGAUUUUAUCAUAUUUUCGAUGUUAUUGGUUAUUAUAGGCUUAUGUAUUUGGUGUAAUUGCUCCAAAUAAAAAAUUAUAUAUAAACUUAGGGCUUUUUCUAUUUUGAAGCUUGAUUGAGCAAUUAGUGGUAGCUAGGAGCCUAAUGCUUUCUUAAGACAAACUCUCUCUAUUAUAUGUCUUUACUUGAGCCAUAUAAGACAAUAGAUAUAUAAGGAAGGAAACAAAUGCCACUACCUCUUAUAGAAGUGGACAAUAAUGAAGAAUUUGAUGUAGAAGAAGUCUUAGAUUCAAGGCAAAGUAGAAAUAGGUUAAAAUAUCUAGUAAAUUUGUAUGGAUAUUACAUUAAUGAAUGCACAUGAGAGCCUUCUAGGAAUCUACCAAAUAUAUCAGCCAAAGUUAAAACUUUUCAUCAAUGACAUCUAUUAAAAUCAAGAUGAAGAGUCAAGUAAUUCUUUGUUAUAAAGCAAAGCAAGCCUUAUAGAGAUUUCAUUCUAUUUUUUAUCAUUAUUUUUUUAUAUUUUUUUAGUGCUUUAGAAAUAGAGAACCAACAACCAGCACAUUCAAUUCAAGAGCUAUCAUUUGUUGAGCUACUAGACAAGACAUUGCGACUAUCACAACCUUUGAAAUGAAAAAAUCGAGAUGAAGAUCCUCAAGAAUGACAUGUUCUUCCUCGAAUAGAUGGCAAGAUACAACGCAUUUGAUACCACGACCUUGAAAAAGACUCCCGGUAUUUAGUAAUAUUUUUAGAGAUAGGAACCACUCUUGAUCGUAUUACUAAUAUUUUGUUGAAGAAAGUUAUGAAGGCUUCAUUAAUGAUCAAAUAUCAAGGUGGUCUUUUUAUCCUAGUAUGGAACAUUAUCGAUGGUUGAAGGGACCUAUCAACUACCUUCAAAAGAAAUAAAGAUCAAAGUACAUGACAAAUAUAAUUCGGCAUAUCUUAGACUUUAUCUAUAUGUAAUCAUUGCUCGUUAUGGAACUCGUCCCUAAAAGGGAGAAAUAAUGUCAUAGACAUAUAUAUUUAUCUUGAUAAUUAUCUAGAUAAUAAAAAUAGGUAGAAGUAAGUCAAAGUAGAUAAAUAUAAUAAUAUGUUGUAAAAAGCUUCUUAGAAGCUUCAUAGAUCCUGCUUUGUCUUUAUAUAUGUCUAUAGGUGAUUGAUAGGUUGAAAAUAUGGCCAACAAGGAGGCCAUGUAUCGACAUGUUAAUCACUUGUAGUACAAGUUGGACAUAUGGUACACACCUAAAAAACUUGCCUUGCAAAUUAGACAUGUAUUCUAUAAGUUGGAUGCAUAUUAGAGAUUCUAUAGAAUGUCUCCAUGUAUUCUUUAGUUCAUUAGUAUAUAUAGAGACAAGAGUGAGGCCUAUGUAUACUUAACAUUAAUACUUUUAACUUUACUAUUAGGACAAUUUUUUAACAAGACUUUGAUAGGGGCCUUCAAUCUAUAGCAUAUGAACUAUAUAAAAUUAAAAGGACAGAGUACAAUUAUUAUGUAUGCCAUCAAGAAUAACUAAUAAUUGUAUAUGCCACAAAGCUAUAACGACACUACUUGUUGAAAAAGCCAAUGACUGUUCGUAUUGACCACCAACUCCUACUAUACAAUUUGCAUCUAGAAAAUAUGAAAUCACAUCAUUGUUAAAAAGAAUAGCUAUACUUUUUGACAUUCAACUUUAAUAUAAGAAAGGAUGAUAAUAUAUCAUACUAGACAUCCUAUCAUGCAGAUACAACUUAAAAUCCGAAUCACAUGACAAGGUAAAAGUUUCUACUAUUAAUAGUAUUAUUUUAGACUUAAUAAGAAGAUUAGAAUGGAAGAAAGCUUUGUAUUGUAAUAUUUAUUUCAAGUUGGAUAUUGAUUAAUUAAAAGUAGAGGAUGUACAAUAUCAAGAUUAUCAUAUUAAUGAUGGCUUAUUUUAUUUCAAGAAGUAGAUUUAUGUUCUUAAAGAUGCUAUAAUUUGGAUGUACAUAUUUUAAGAGGAACACAACAUUCCAAUAUCUAGAUACCUAGGGUACAAGAAGACUUUAGAAUAGAUCUCAAAGACAUGAUUGUGGGCAGGUUUGUAUUGUGAUGUUUGAAUUUUUGUACAUUCUUAUAAUCAUGUUAAUAUAAUAAAAUACACAAUACACCAUCUUUCAAGCUAUUAUAGUCAAUUCUACUAUAUAUGGCAUGUUGAAAGCAAGUGACUAUGGAUCUCAUUACAUGUUUGUUGCAAAUGCCUUACAAUAAUACUAUGGUUGUUGUUUUUGUGGAUGUCACGGAUAUAUGCAUUUAAGCCAGUAAUUAUAUGUAUAAAUUUAUAGAAGUAAGUAAACAUAGGUAAAAGUAAGUUCAUUCUAUAAUAUUUGCUAUGAAAGCUUUUUAGAAGCUUCAUAGCCCUGCUUUGACUUUAUAGGUGUCUUUAAUUGACUUUUUGGAUUAGAAACGUCGUCAACAAGUUGACCAUGUAUCACAUAUGUUGAUAGCUUGAAGACCAAGCUAAUUAUAUAGCCUACAAGUAGAAAAACUUGCCUUGUAAGUCAAGGCAUGUGUCUUAAAAAGUCAACACAUAUUGAAGGUCCUAUAGAACAUUGCCACAUUAUUGAGAUAGAGAGAGUUUACUUCAAGAAAGCGUUGGACUUUUGGCUGCCACUAAAUGCUCAAUCAAGUCUAAGAUAUAAAAUUACCAAGUUUAUAUACAUAAUAUUUUCCCUUUUAGGACAAUUAUAUCAAUAUAUAAGCCCAAGUACCAAGAAAACAUCCAAAUGUAUGAUAAAGUAUCUUAAAACCUUAUAUGUCCAUAUGAGAAAUGUUUCUUGAACUUUAACAGAUCAUAUCUCACGAUUGGACUAUCCAAAAAACCUAAAAAUUUAUAGAAAGUACUCAUAUACUUUCAAAAACCACCACAAAAAAAUUAAACUAUAAAUUCGUUACAGAUCUUGAAAUAUCACCAAAAUACUAAUAGUAGCUUUAAAUCCUAGCUUAUGUACACAUAUGUGCUAUUUUCUUCAUAUCUCACAAAAAAGUAUUCAAAUAUUGUGAAACUUUGAUCUAUAGCUUUUUAACCUAAUGACUCAUACUUAUGAAAAUUUUGAGCUAAAAAUUCAUCGAGAAACCCAAGAUAUGGCUCCAACCAUUACUAUCAACAAAAUGACUCACUUACUACCUUUGAAUUACAUGUACUGUCUUCAAUGCCCUAUAACUCCUUCAUUUAGACUUAGAAUUCAUUAAAUAGUAUAAGUAAAAUAUAGCCAAGAAAGUGUUCUCUUCAAUUCCAGUCGCCAAUCUUUCAUUACUCUCCGUACGCAUGUGUUAUGCUUCAAAGAGUGAUAGUAGUACAAAUUUGGUACCUUAACUUUGAACACCUAUAUCUCCUUCACAAAAACUUGAAAUCACACAAACUCUUCACCCAAAUUAUAUCCAAAAUCCUAAAAUUGCUGAUUCUAGCCUCCAAAGCUCAAAUGACUUCGAAAGAGAAAUCCUAAUCCCUAAUAAGGCCUCACGCAACCUCCUUGAAGCCCAUUGGGUAUGGCCUUUGACCAAUAAGAAUGAAGUUUUUUAUUCCUUGCCUUCAUCCAACCAUUCCUUGCUUUCAUCCCUCCCAAUAAGCCUCCUAUUAGUUAAGACUUUCUUCUUAAGGCUCUAAUCUCCUUUCAAAGCUUUAUACUAAAUAUUUAGGUCUUACAAUUUUUUUAAAUGUUAUAAUUAAAAAAGAUAAAACUCAAAAUAGAGUUUCUUAAAUCCACUCUCUUUAAAUUAAUCUAUUAACUAUUCUAACAUAUAUCGAGACUUAUGAACAUAUUAUAUGUUCUAACUAAUUUUUAUAUAUUAUAAGCAUUUACAAUAUGACAACGUAGCUCCUAAUUAGAUAGUAUAUAUAGAGACAAGAAUGAAGCCCUCUUCACUCUUCUCAACUCCUUUCUUGCUUCAAUUCUAGUUUUAAGAGUCUCUAAUUUUCUUCUCUUUUGAUAAUAGCCAUUCCAAAUUCUUUUUUAAUAUAUAUAUUUAGUUAUUUCUAUUUUAUCAUCUUUCUUUGAAAAAAUUCUCUCUUGUUUAUUUAUUUCUAUCAAGUUCUUGUCCUUAACAAAAUGACAAGAAUACACUUACAAUAUCAGAGCUUUUUCUAAUCUUUAUUAAGAGUGGAUUAUACUUUUUUCUUGAUAAGAUAUAAGCAUAUUAGAAGUUGCAGAUUACCCUCUUCUAAGCUGAUAUUGUUCUUAAUAUUUUCUUUGUUCUCAAAUCUUCUCUUCUGUUUGACUUCAGUGAUAUUAGAUAUCUAUUUUUCUAAGUGUUAUCAUGGCAAAACUAACUAAAAUAAAGAGUGCAAUGGCACAAAUGUAGGAGCAAUUGAGGAAGUUAAUAUUUGCGAUGCAUCAAUUCAAUUUACUACCACAAGGAGCAAUAAGAUUGGCAGGAAGUGAAGAUAUAGAAAUGAUUGGAGCUACUUCAAUAUCUGCACCAAAUCAUGUCCCUUCUCCUAUGGUGGAACAUCCUUCAUGUGUUAGAGAACCUAAAAUUACCCUACCCAAGAAGUUAGAUGGUACCAAAUCAAAAUUUAGAGGAUUUAUCAAUUAAGUAUAACUUAUGAUUGAACUUCAACCUCAAAGCUAUCAAACUCUAGGAUCGCAAGUUAGAUUCGUUGGUAUGCUUCUUUCAAGUUCAGCAUUAUCAUGGUUUUUAUCUAUUCUUGAACAACAAGAUCUAAUAUUGGAUAAUCUAGAAGCUUUUUAGGCAAAGUUUUGAUCUAUGUAUGGAAAACAUGAUACAAUUCGUAUUGCAACCAAUAAGUUCCAUAUUUUGGGACAAGGCAAUCGAUCAGUAAUGAUGUAUGCUUCAUAGUUUUGACAACUUGUAAUUGAUAUCAAGUGGGAUGAUGCUGAACUUAUUAGCUAAUUUUCCUAUGGAUUAUAAUAUGAGGUAAAAAAAUUAGUACUCAACUUAGGUGAUCUUCAAAAAUUGAGUCAAGCAAUUGACUUUGCUUUGAAGUGUGACAAUCAUCUUUUUGAAUUCCGAUUUGGGAACCAUACAAGUAGACCUCAACGUAACUAUAAUCCAAUGCCAACACCAAUAUCUCUUCAAUACAUACAUUUGAAAGUAGAGGAUAUACAAAUUGAUGUGGUAAGUUUUAAACCUCUUACUAAGCAAGAAAAGACUCAUCAUGGUUAAGAAGAAUUAUGCUUAUAUUGUGGAAAACCUAAGCACACUACUCAACAUUUCCCAAAAAAGUGAUGUAAUCAUAAAAUGAGGUGUACAGCAAUCAAUGAAGGUAGCAUGUCAAAAAAUAAAUUUAUUUAGCUACAAUAGAGACCAUGUGGUUGGAACCUUGUACAACACCUAGUGAAGGUCAUAUUCUUUCCUCAGAACCCUCUCUAUGUUUUACGAUAUAUGUUAUUCUAGGACCUAAACAUCACAAAGCUUUUACCUUGUAAGAUUCAAGAAUCUCAUCAUGUUUCUUAAAUGAAAAAUUUGCUAAAAGACAUAGCAUACUUUUGGUAAAGAAUACUAAAUUUGUUCAUGUAGAAGUCAUAGAUGGUCGUCUAUUAUCUUCAAGAGACGUUACUCAUAAAAUCCUUCCUAUAGAAGUAACAACUAAUAAUCGUAGUAGCUUUGUAAUAUUUAAUAUCAUUAGAUCUUCCUCUAAUCUAGUCAUUUUAAUUUUAUCAUGGCUAAAAAAAAUAUAAUCCUAAAAUAGAUUGGACUUCUUGUAGUCUUGAUUUUUUUGAAAGUAUAACUAAGAGUGUAGUGAAUCAAGUAGAAAGUCAUAAGUCUAGUAUAAUUAAAGCUAUAUUUAUAGGUGCAAGUACUUUCUUGCAUGCUGCAAAAGAAGGAUCACCUUGUGUCAUUUAUGCCACACUUGUUUCUAUUGGUAGAAAGACUACAAGUGGCAUUCCAAGCCAAUAUUAAGAUUUUCAAGAUGUAUUUGAGAAGAAAAAUACGGAUACUCUUCCGAAACAUCAUUCCUAUGACUACUCAAUUGACCUUCAAGAAAGAACACAACCUUCAUUUGGAUCAAUCUACAAUUUAUCACAAAAUGAGUUGGCUGAACUCAAGGAGUAUAUUGAAGAGAAUCUAGCUAAGGAUUUCAUACGCUGUCAUAUUGUAAAUGCUUACAAUAUGUAAAAACUAGUUAAAACAUAUUAUAUGUUAAUAAAUCUAGACGUGUGUUACAUUUGCUAGUAGAUUAAAUUAAAAGAAGUUGGUAUAAAAAAUUUUACUUUGUUUUUUACUUGUUUUGAUUUUGACAUUAAUGUAUAUAUAUAUAUAUAUAUAUAUAUAUAUAUAGGACCUAAAUAUUUAGUAUGAAGCCUUGAAAGAAGGUGGAAGCUUAAGGCUGAAAAUCUAAACUAAUAGGAGGCUAAUUGAGAGGGAUGAAAGUAAGGCAUGGUCGGAUGAAGGCAAAGAAUAGAAAACUUCAUCCCUAUUGGUCGAAUACUGUGCCCAAUGGGCUUUGAGGAGGCUACCUCCGACCUUAAUAAGGAUUUUGGUAACUUCAAAGUAGGCAUUUGGAGAUUAGAAGCUAGGGUUGUAAAUUUUAGGAUUUGGGAUACAAUUUGUGUGUAUAAAUUAGACGAUUUGGAGUUAGGGUGAAGAAGUUAUAGUCGUUUGAAGUUAAGGUGUUAAUUUAAGACAUACUAUUAUUCUUUUGAGGAUAUGAGGAGUUAGAUAAUAGCUUUUGAAGAUCAGAAGGUUCGAAUGGAAUGGCGAUUUUAAGGCCUACAUCUUUUACGAAAAAAUUAUUGCUUUUGGAGUUCAUGUGAAGGAGUUAUAAGGAGUUGAAGGCGGCACUUCCAAAUCAAAGGCAGUAAGUGAGCGGUGUCAUGAUGUAAUACAGAUGGGUGAAGAAAAUAUCAUGUUUUGAGGAUCUCACUUCAAAAGUAUUGUAGCAAAUUAUCUUGAAAAAAUAGAUAUUAAUCAAAGGGUAGAAAAAUUAAAGGUGCUAAUGCUGCCUAUUUGUAAAUUAUGCUUCUAUGUACUUUAUAAGGCCAUAAAUAAAGCAAAACAAGGUAGAUUAGAAAAAUAAAGGAAAAAGGCAUAUGUAUAGAAGAGUGAGGAGUGCAAGUUAGUAAAAAUUACCUCAACAAGACGAAAGUUGAUACCCAAAUAAGACCAGUUAUGAACCUAGAUCAAAAUGAGACCCCAAGGCACAAAACCACGCUCUGACGGCGACUCAAGGGUUCUUUGGGAGAUCAAAGAGCCGAAUUAGAGAGAAGACUUAUAGAGAGAUUUUUGAGAGGUGAUUUUGUAUUGUUUAGAUCAGCACUAGAUUUUUGAGAAAUUUUCAAAGUGAGUGAUUUUCUCUAUGAAUUUAGAUCUUUGAGAAAUAAAAUCGGUUUACAAAUUUUUGGAUUUUGUGUCUUUUGUAGCAUUUUUACAGUGUCGUGUUGUAACACGAGUAUACAGUGAAAAUAAAAAGAAAGGGGAAUUUUAUUAAUAUUGAGUUACCUCGAAUAUUGGGAGCAUCGACCAACUCCAGUACAAAUACUGAGUGGUCAGGUUCAGUCACUCCGUUACAGUCAGCCGGGUUAUACUGAAAUGCUCUGUUCGAUUCCAAUAACGGGAGUCAGCAGGAAGAGAAGGACCAAUUCGCACGGCAGGUUCGAGGAGCCAAUUGGAUCCAAUUUCGAUAAUCCAAUCCGGGUCCUCUUAUCCAAUAUGAGACCUGAAUUGGCCGGUCAACCCAAUGCAGUCUAAUUACGAGAAAUCCAGGUCUUACUACGGGUCUUAGCCAAUCUGACGCGAGGACCAAUUUGACCCAAUUACGGGAACAUCCAGGUUACUACGGGCAUCUUUCCCAAUAUACGACCUGAAUUGGUCGGGCGACUCAAUGUGGUCCCGAUUACGGGGUUCGAUUCUGUUUCAGGCUGUCCUGUUCUCUGUGCCAUUUCAAGGAACGUUGUUUUCGGUAAAUGGAUUUCUUAAAGGUAAAAAUGGAGGAGAAAGCUUGACGGCGAGAGCCAAUUUCGGAUCCAAGCUUGAGGUGGGAGCCAAUUCCGAAUCUAAGACGGAAGAUUGAAGAAAUUCAGAAGAUAAGGUUAGUAGGGAUAUAGUUUUGAGGAGCGGGGGUUUUUUUUUAAAGAGGAAUCGGGGGGGGAGCGAGUUUUCAAGCUUUUGCAAGGUUACCAGUGUGGGUUUCAUGGGAGGUUUUUUUUUGGAAGAUCAAGGGAAUUAGAGAGAGGAGCUUCAUGCUUCGGGUCGGAGAAGGAAAGACAUAGAAUUUGGAUUUUUCUUCCUCGUAGAGUUUUGGGGAAGACUGAGGCAAUCGCUGCUGAAGUCAGUGUUGUAAUGGUGAAUCGGGAUUUUUAAAUGAAGUGGGUUUGAAUACUCUUGACUGUUUUAUAAAAUCGAGUUACGUCUGUGAUUGAAGGAUUAAAGGGGUGUCUAUAGGAUUGAGUAUGCGGAGUGAAUGAAAUUUAUUGGGUUAAUCUAACAGGACAGUCAGUGGAUACAAGAUCGUAAGUACAAAGGGGUAUUGAAGAUUAACAGUUUGGGUUAUUCGGGGUUCUCUGUAACGUCUAGAGACCUAUCGGCUGCGGCAAAAAAAAAAAAAAAAAAAAAAAAAAAAAAAAAAAAGACUUCGACAAGCAGUCGAAGAGCAUCCGUAUAAAUUUACGGUACAUUGUUGCAGUCGUUUAUAUUCUAGCAGUCAAAAACUGAUAGACUGCUUGACUAUCGGCGAAUCUCCAUACUACCUUCUACAGCCAGACGCCCGGCGCUUUCUCGAGCGGGAAAGUACGUAAUACGACAUAAGUGGUGAACCCGACGUGAAAGCUUGAGGUAGAAGGUAUUGGAUUUCGGUUGAUUUUAUCUUUAUUUUUAUGGAAAACGAAAAUAAAAAUUUUGAAGGAUUUUUGGGAGAAGUUUCUGGUGGGGAGUCUUCUAAAGGACAAGGUAUGGACAUGGAUCCGUCUAUUGCUAGUUUGUUUCAAGCCUUCUCAUUGUCAAUGCAGCAACAGCAAAGCAAUGAUCGAAAGGAAGCUUUGGCAACCAAAGCAUUGCAAGCAGUGGUCAAUAAAAUUGAUCAAUUUGAUGGGAGGAAUAUUUCAAGGUAUUUAAGAUGUUAUGUUCGUGAAAUGGAAUUAAAUCGGGUUUCUGAGAAGAAAAUGGUUGCACUAUUUGGACUUGCCACGAUACCGGAGAUAAGGGACCACAUUACAUCGAUUACGGAUCGUUGUGGGAAUUCAUGGGAGGAUUUUUCACAUGCAUUGAAAGACGAAUAUUUCUUGGAAGAUGCUGAUCGCGUUACUAAGAAGCUGUUUCUGGGAUGGAUUGAACGGCCCAAUAAGAAUUUGCAAGCAACAGAGCUACUAAGGGAAUUUGAGAGGCAGUACUCUCAAUUAUCGAAGGUAGAAAAAUUGACAUUGGAGCCGAACAAAGUUGAUCUAUUUCUUCAAGCUGCUGAUGGAGAAUUGCAAGAGAAAUUAGAACUCCUUCUUGAAGACAAAGAAGAAGAUGAAGGAUUGACAACGAAGUGGAAGAACAUUGAAGAUGCGGUGGGGUUCCUUACAAAAAAAGAAAAGAGGAAGGAUAGGAGUAAUAUUCCGAAAACAGUACAAGCACCCAAAGCUCCAGUACGUACAACACCACCGACAAUGCCUACAGUUCAACCUUCGACAUCCUUGUCAAAGAAAGCAGAUAUGGGUAUGGAAGAAAUUAUACGAGGAAUGCGAGAUCUUCAAAUCAAAUUGGCAAGACUUGAAGAGAAUACUUCUAUAAACAAUUCGAAGAAUGUUUCAAAACAAGGAUAUGUACAAAGAUGCAUUUGGUGUGAUGAUGCUUCACACACUAGAAAAGAUUGCAAUGAAUUUAAUAAUAUGAUACGGCAGGGAAUUAUUUGCUGGAAAGAUGGGAAGAUAGCAUUGAAAGAUAGGGAGGAUCUUCUUCAAAUCAAUUUUGGCAAGGGAGGAAUGAGAGCAUUGGUUCAAGAUUACUUAAAAGAGCAUGAAACAAUAGCACGAGAAAGUGCAAGUUAUGGUGCUAGAGUAGAUGAUGCAAUUGGUGGAAGUACGGAAACUAGUGAGUUUUGGGCUUCUGCCGUUUCUACAAUGCAAGAAGGGAAAUUACCUCGAGAAGCGUUAUUGAGAACUGCAGCUACAAUACGAGGAAGAACAGGUUGGGAGGAUCCUAUUGAGUCUCUUUCAGUUCAUGCAUAUAUUGCUAAGAGCCAACAUGAAGCUUUGAUGGAAGAAAAAAGACGAGGAAAUUUUGAUGAUACUAGAGAAGGAAAUUCUUUUAAGAGGCAAACUCGAGGAGACAAGGCUCGGGAGGCAGCUUCACAAGAAUUGCCUGUAAAGGAUACCUCAGCAUCAUUGGGAGAAAAAACAACGGAGACAAAAGAUAAGGGCAAAUCAAUUGCUUAUAAGCUACUUUCUGACAUUGAAGCGGCAAGAAAUUUGAAAGGGGUGUUGGAAGAACGUAUAUUAAACGCUAAGGUGGAAUUCACAUUGAAAGAAGUCUUGGAAAUUGCAAAGAAGGAGUUUCAUGAUGUUAUCAUUGACAGCAUUAAGCGAAAGAGGCAAUUAAUGAGCGAAAUUGGAAUGAGUCAUGCUAUUGAUGCAAGAAUAUGUAGAGAUGAAGAAGAGGUUGAUAUUGGUUACAAGCAACCAACAAAUGAAAAGAAUGGAUAUAAUCAGCGAAUACAUUUCGAAGAUUCUAGUGACAAGGGAAUGGAAACUUUGAGCCAUUAUAUUCGAAAGCAUUGGGCAAGGGCAACUACUGAGGUAUUGGUGAAGGUAGGAGAUAUAGAAGAACCAAUAGUUGCUUUGGUGGACCAUGGUUCUGAAAUAAAUCUCAUGUCUAAAGAUCUUUAUAAGAAGCAAAAAUGGCCAAUUGAUAUGGAACAUAGAUGGGCAAUACGAGUGACUAAUAACACACGAGGCGAAUUAUAUGGAGCUUGUCCAGAUGUCAAAAUUUGGAUUGGGGAUGUUGCUACGGAGCAACAUUUCUUCGUUCAAGAUACAACGUCUUAUCCAUUGAUUUUAGGACAACCUUAUAUCACGGCAACACGGAUGGAAACAAAGGUACUUGACGAUGGUUCUGCUUAUGCAAGGGUACGGAGCGAAGAUGGAAGAAAAGCUGUACAAUUUCUAACAGUACCUCCUAACCAUGAACGGAAUCGAGAUAGGUUGAGGGAGAAACCAUUGCCAAAGAUUGUUGAAGGAUUUAAGGAUUUUGGGGAGGUACCACUGUAAAGCGAGAUUAUGGAGGUACAAAAAAGGAAGUACUCUCGCGAGAUGAAGGUGCCUUUGAUGCGAGUUUUAUUGGUAUAUUGGAGAAUGGAAAUAUUAUGUAUAAGAAAGUUGAUGAUUUUAAAAGAAAAGAAAGAAAAAGAUUAUAUGAUAUUGAAAGACAGUUACGCAAGAUAGGUACAUUACAAGAUGAUGAGAGAAUUUUGGGUGUUUAUGAAGAAAAUGGACUGGAAGAUUCAUUGGAAUUGAUUACAUCUAUUGGGUUAGGAGAUAAUGAUAAGAUUGUUGAGAUUCAUUCGAGAGAGGUUUAUACCAUGCUUGAAUCUUUUCAAGCACCAGAAGUCACAGUAGAGACGAGAUAUAAAAUGGCAGAUAAGAAGGUAAAGCCUGUUGCCGGACCAUUAUCAGAGGAUUCUAAAGAACAAAUGAGAGAAGCAUCAAAAGAAGCAAGUUUAAGAGAUCCAAUGAGUAUUGGACAUCAGUUUACUGAAGAGACUUUUGAAGAAUUGAAGAUUGGUUCUGAUGGUUCUUUAUUGCCGGAGGAAAUUACUUGCUUCAAAAAGAUGUUGGCUAAACAAGGUAGAUCGUUUGCCUUCGAAUCUCAUGAAAUUGGGUGUGUGAAUCCAAAUAUUAUAACACCUAUGGUUAUCUUCACUGUACCGCAUGUACCUUGGAAUCUAAGACCAAUUCCAGUACCGAGGGCACAUUUACCUAAAUUGGUGGAACUAUAGAAAAAAAAGAUAAAGAUGAAAAUAUUAGAACCUUCAUUUGCGCCAUAUUCUAGUCGAUGGUUUACGGUACCUAAGAAGAAUGGGUCACUACGUUUUAUUCAAGAUAUGCAGCCGGUGAAUGCUGUAACUGUCAGGAAUGCAGGAAUUGGACCUAUUGUGGAUGAAUUUGCUGAGGCGUUUGCUGGAAGGGCGAUCUAUUCAAUGGGUGAUUUGUAUUCAGGUUAUGAUCAAUUUCAACUUGCCGAAGGAAGUAGAGAUAUGACAACGAUGAGCACACCGCUUGGAUUGGUUAGAAUGUGCACUCUUCCUCAAGGCGCGACCAACUCAGUUGCGCAUAUGAUGAAUGGGAUGAAUAAGGUAUUGAGAGAUUUUAUUCCGGAAAAGACUAUGCCUUUUCUGGAUGAUGUUCCAAUAAAAGGGUGCAGAGAAGGAGACAAGGAUGAAACUUUAGAUACGAGGGGGUGUUGCAGAUAUAUUGUUGAUCAUAUACAAGAUUGUGAAAAGAUUAUAACUCGGCUUGGAGAAGUUCAUCUUACAUUAUCGGAUAUGAAGUCCGUAUUUGGAGUGCGAGAGGUUGUAAUUGUUGGACAUUUAUGUGGAUCUUACGGAAGAAAAUCAGAUCCGACUAAAGUUGAUGCAAUUGGAAGGAUGAAAGACGAUUGUGGUUCUUUAACAGAGGUUCGCAGGUUUUUGGGUGCAUGUGUAUUUUAUCGAAUCUGGAUCCCUCAUUUUGCUCACAUAACGGAUCCAUUAUAUGAACUGUUACGCAAGGGUUACCGAUUUGAAUGGAAAGAAAGGCAUAUUCAGGCAAUGCAAAGAUUGAAGAAAUUAUUGAUGUCACCUCCAAUAUUGAGGAAGGUUGAUUAUAAGUGCAAUAGACCAGUGAUUCUUACUGUAGACGCUAGUCCAAUUGCCGUUGGAUGGGCGGUGGGUCAAGAUGAUUUAAAUGGGAGUAGAUUUGCAGUUCGAUUUGGGACUAAAGUUUUAAGUAUUCGUCAGCGUGCAUAUUCGCAAGUCAAAAGAGAACUUUGGGGAGUCGUUUCGGCUAUGAAAGCUGAAAAGGACUAUUUGAUUGGGGCAGUAGUAGUAAUUGAAACAAAUUGCUUGCUAUUGCUUGGAAUGAUUACUAACUGUUCAACGCCAGAUAUUGCAAUGUUGAGAUGGAUUGCUUAUAUUAAGUCACUAAAUCCAGAAUUUAAACAUAUCACUAGAAAGGACAAUUUAGUAGCAGACAUGCUAUCUCGAGCAAGAUACGAGAGGGAGGACGAAAUGAUUGAAGACAUUGAUGAUGUCGAAUUGAAAUUCUAUUCAAUAUCAAAUCUCAACAGAGAAGACAAGCUAUUUCUUGAAGAAUCUUAUGAAGGAGAAUUAUUGGAUAUUGGUCAUUAUUUGAAUACCUUGUCUAAGCAGGGGAAUUGGUCUACAGAAAAAUUCAAACAAAUAAGAAAAAAAGCAUAUGGAUUUUUACUUCGAGAUGGAUUCUUAUGGAAGAGACCGAAGAAAGGAAUUGGGAUGCCACAACGAGUGAUAGGCAAAAGGGAAGAAAAACUAAAAUUAUUAAAGGAGUUUCAUGAUAGUUUAUGGGCAGAGCAUAGAGGAAUCUGGGCUACUUUUGCUAAACUCAAGGAACGAUAUUGGUGGAAAAAUAUGUAUCAAGAUGUGCUCUCAUUUGUAGAGUCAUGUGAAAUCUGUCAAUCGUAUUCUAAUAUCCGACAUCGAGAUGGUCUUCAUCCUACGUAUCCUCUGGCUAUUCAUUUUAAAUGGGUUGUUGAUUUGGUUAUUAUGCCGGUUGGGUUAUGGCAGAUGAGAUAUUUGGUUUUAGCUCGUGAAGAUUUAUCAAAUCAAGUAGAAGGAAGAGCAUUGAGGACAAAAUCUACAGAGGAGAUUUGUAGGUUUUUGCUUGAAGAUGUCAUUUGCCGUUACGGGUGCGUAGGAAAAAUCACUGCAGAUCGUGGAGAAUUAAAUGCACAAGAAGCUCGUAAGUUCUUUGAAAGAUGUGGAGUUAAACUAUCACUGACUACUGCUUAUAAUCCGAAAGGGAAUGCGAAAAGCGAACGCGGUCACCCGCCGAUUGUGAAAGCAUUGGUUAAAGCUUGUAAUGGGAAGGUUAAAGAGUGGCCACGGCUUUUGUCAUUUGCAUUAUGGGCUGAUCAAACAACACAUAGUUCGGUGACAGGAUAUAUGCCAGUAGAACUUAUGACAGGUCAAAAACCAAUUAUGCCGAUUGAAGAAAAGGUACUUACUUGGAGUAUGCUACCAUGGGAAGAUGGAUUGACAAGAGAAGAACUUCUGGCUAUUAGGAUUCGACAAUUGGAGCAAAGAACGGAAGAUGUCCAGAUAGCAUUGGAAAGGUUAAAAAGAGCGAGGUUACAAAACAAGGCGCGAUUCGAUAAGCAACAUCGAUUGAGACCAAAAGCAAUCGAGGAAGGUGACUGGGUACUUGUUUAUGACAAUAGUUUGGAUAAUCAACAUAGUACUUUGCGGAAAUUUUCAAAACGUUGGUUUGGACCAUAUGUUGUAACAACUGUUCGUGAUAAUGCGACUUACUCAUUACGGGAGUUAGAUGGUACAAAAUUGAAAAUACCAAUUGCAGGGAAGCGAGUAAAAAUAUUUAAACAAAGACACGCAGAGAUGAAUAUGGAAGACCUUAAUGAAGGUACAGAGAUUCCGUAGCAAGAAGAUGAAAGUGAUAUGGAUAAUGAAGGUGACGAAGACGAACUCGACAAAGACGUAGGGGAUAUAUUCUGAAUCAAACAGCAAUUGGGUAAAUUGGUGCAUACCGGAGGAUGCAUAGGUUCAGAGGGGGUGGAUGUCGUGUUGUAACAUGAGUAUACAGUGAAAAUAAAAAGAAAGGGGAAUUUUAUUAAUAUUCAGUUACCUCGAAUAUUGGGAGCAUCGACCAACUCCAGUACAAAUACUGAGUGGUCAGGUUCAGUCACUCCGUUACAGUCAGCCGGGGCAUACUGAAAUGCUCCAUUCGAUUCCAAUAACGGGAGUCAGCAAGAAGAGAAGGACCAAUUCACACGACGGGUUCGAGGAGCCAAUUGGAUCCAAUUUCGAUAAUCCAAUCCGGGUCCUCUUAUCCAAUAUGAGACCUGAAUUGGCCGGUCAACCCAAUGCAGUCUAAUUACGGGGAAUCCAGGUCUUACUACGGGUCUUAGCCAAUCUGACGCGAGGACCAAUUUGACCCAAUUACGGGAAAUCCAGGUCUUACUACGGGUCUUAGCCUAUCUGACGUGAGGACCAAUUUGACCCAAUUACAGGAAAUUCAGGUCUUACUACGGGUCUUAGCCAAACUGACGCGAGGACCAAUUUGACCCAAUUACGGGAACAUCCAGGUUACUACGGGCAUCUUUUCCAAUAUAGGACCUGAAUCGGUCGGGCGACUCAAUGUGGUCCCGAUUACGGGGUUCGAUUCUGUUUCAGGCUGUCUUGUUCUCUGUGCCAUUUCAAGGAACGUUGUUUUCGGUAAAUGGAUUUCUUAAAGGUAAAAAUGGAGGAGAAAGCUUGACGACGAGAGCCAAUUUUGGAUCCAAGCUUGAGGUGGGAGCCAAUUCCGGAUCUAAGACGGAAGAUUGAAGAAAUUCAGAAGAUAAGGUUAGUAGGGAUAUAGUUUUGAGGAGGGGGGGUUUUUUUUUUAAUGGGAAUUGGGGGGGAGCGAGUUUUCAAGCUUUUGCAAGGUUACCAGUGUGGGUUUCAUGGGAGGUUUUUUUUUGGAAGAUCAUGGGAAUUAGAGAGAGGAGCUUCAUACUUCGGGUCGGGGAAGGAAAGACAUAGAAUUUGGAUUUUUCUUCUUCGUAGAGUUUUAGGAAGACUGAGGCAAUCGCUGCUGAAGUCAAUAUUGUAAUGGUGAAUCGGGAUUUUUAAAUGAAGUGGGUUUGAAUACUCUUGACUGUUUUAUAAAAUCGAGUUACGUCUGUGAUUGAAGGAUUAAAGGGGUGUCUAUAGGAUUGAGUAUGCGGAGUGAAUGAAAUUUAUUGGGUUAAUCUAACAGGACAGUCAGUGGAUACAAGAUCGUAAGUACAAAGGUGUAUUGAAGAUUAACAGUUUGGGUUGUUCGGGAUUCUCUGUAACGUCUAGAGACCUAUCGGCUGGGGCAAAAAAAAAAAAAAAAAAGAAAAAAAAGACUUCGACAAGCAGUCGAAGAGCAUCCGUAUAGAUUUACGGUACAUUGUUGCAGUCGUUUAUAUUCCAGCAGUCAAAAACUGAUAGACUGCUUGACUAUCAGCGAAUCUCCAUACUACCUUCUACAGCCAGAUGCCCGACGCAUUCUCGAGCAGGAAAGCACGUAAUACGACAACGGGUGAAAAUUUAGAAACUUAUUGUUAUGCUUGUUGUGAAUGUGUAUAAGAGAUUUGAGGUCAAUCGAAUGGCUAGAUCGUUACAUAUGAAGAUUUUUGUGGGCUAAGGUCUCAGGAUUUAGGAUUUUGAGGACCAAUAAGAUUUUCUUAGAUAUCUAGCAAUCUCCCAGUUGAAUUGGAGAGAUUUCUGGUUUUAUCAGUAGAAGACUAGAUUUCCUAUGUACAAGUAAAAUUUGAAAGCAAUCGAAUGGUGGAAAAGGGAGAUAUCAGCACUGGAAGUUAGUAUCAAGAUUGGAGAAGGAGAGACCAUCUGACAUCCCAACGGAAUUUUGAGGUCAUCGACUAAUUGGUAAGUGCAAUUUUCUUCAAAAUUUGUGUACUAGUUUCUAACUUAAAUUCUAAGAAGUGUACGAAUUUUGAAUUAGAAUCAACGGUUUAAUCUUUAGUUAUUUAAUUUUCAAAUCUGUAAUUAGGGUUUGGUUUGGAUUACGAUUUGAUUAAGGUUUAAGGUUAAAGGUUUUUUAGAAUUUAAGGUUUUAUUAGAUUUUUGUUAGGAUUUGACUAAGUUUUUUUUAAUAUUCUUUUAUAUUUUUUUAGGAUUUCUUUGUAUUUCUUUUAUAACUUCAAUAAAAUUUAAUUGAGCUUGUUUAAUGUUUGAUUAUGAUUUUUAAUAUUUAAUUGUAAAUUCUCUAUAAUCCUAUUGGAUUUUUAGGACCUUUUGUUGCAAUUUUCUUUUACCUUCUACAGCCAAGUGCUUGGUGCAUUAUCAAGCAAGACUUCACAUAAUACGACACCGGUUUUGUUUAUAGUAGUGGUUGGAGCCAUAACUUGAGUUUUUGGAAAAAAUUUUGGCUCAAACAUUUUGGAGAAUGUAACAUUUUGUGUUAAGAAGCUAUAAAUAUAAAUUUCAUGGCAUUUGAGCUUAUAUUUUGUAAGAUAUAAAGAAAAUUACAUGCAGGUGUAUAAAGACAAGGGUUUGAAGUGAUUGUUAGGAUUUUCAAGAUAUCUCAAGAUCCGCAAUGAAUUUGUAAUUAAAAUUUAUUGUAGAAGUUAAUAAAAAUACAUCAGUACCUCAUGUAAAAUUUUAGUUUGUUUGGACGGUCACAUUAAGAGAUAUGAGCUGUUGAAGUCUGGAAAAAUUUCCACAUAAGGAUAUACAAGGUUUUAAAGGAUUUAUCAUAUUUUGGAUGUUGUUGGUUACUUGAGGCUUGUGUAUUUGGUAUAAUUGCUCAAAAGGAAAAAUUUAUAUAUAAACUUACGGCUUCCCUUAUUUUGAAGCUUGAUUGAAUGAUAAGUGAUAGAUAGAUGCCCGGCAUUUUUUUGAGAAAAAUUCUCUCUAUCCCGACAACGCCAUUCCAUAUCUCUAGUAGGAAUUCCAAUUUUAUUUGUGAAGAAAAAAGAUGGAUUAAUACGGAUGUGUGUUGAUUAUUGAAGACUCAAAAAAAUCACCAUUAAGAACAAGUAUCUACUACCUUUGAUAUUUGAAGUCCUUGAUCAGUUGAAUCAAGCUAAGAUCUAUACAAAAAUAGAUCUAUGAGGAGAAUAUAAUCUAAUAUGCAUCAAAGAAGGAGAUGAAUAGAAGACUGCAUUUCAAAUAAGGUAUGGACAUUUCGAAAAAAAUGUCAUUCCUUUUGGACUUACAAAUACACUAGCAGCAUUCUAACAUUUAAUGAUUGAUGUCUUUUGAGAGUUUUUAGAUGAUUUUGUUGUCUGUUACCAAGACGACAUCUUAAUCUAUUCUAAGAACCCAGAAGAACAUGAACUUCAUGUUUGCCAAGUAUUACAAAAACUAAGAGAUGCAGGACUCUAUGCCAAGAUAGAAAAGUGUAUAUUUCACACUACUCAAGUCGACUUCUUAGGAUACAUCAUUUCAAAUGAUAGACUUAUGAUGGAUUUUAAGAAAGUUCAAACUAUUAUGGAUUGGAAGAUCCCAAAAAUGGUAAAAGAUGUCUAAUACUUUUUGAAAUUUGCCAAUUACUAUCGGAUCUUCAUCAAAGACUUCUCUCAAGUUGCAUCUCCACUUACACGUUUGACUUGCAAAGACAAACUUCAAUGGAAUCAAGAAACAAAACUAGCAUUUGAAGCUUUGAAGACAGCCUUUAUUUCUACACCAAUCUUGUAUGCACCAAUUUUUCUAAGCCAUUUUUUAUGGAAACAGAUGCAUCAGACUUUGCUUUGGGUGCCGUAUUGUCACAAAUGGAAAUAGAUGAUAAACUUCAUCCAAUAGCUUUUCAUUCCAGAAAAUUUUUAGCAACCGAGAUUAACUACAAGAUCUACGAUAAAAAAUUUCUUGCAAUCGUGGAUUCGUUUUAAGAAUGGCACCAUUAUCUAGAAGGUGCUUCUAGCCUAGUCACAGUAUAUACGGAUCACAAGAACCUUAAAUAUUUUAUGUCAGCACAUGUUUUGAAUCAUUGCCAAGCUCGUUGCAGUAUAUCUUUGUCAAGAUUUAAAUUCAAGAUCACUUAUCGACCAAGAAAACAAUAAGGUUUAUGAGAUGCACUCUCUAGAUGAUCUUACUUUGUACCAAAAGAAAGAGAUAUUUUUUUUUUAUCAACAAUGGAAAAUUCUCUUGAAGCUAGAGCAUCUUCAUCUUUGAGCAAUGAAAUCAAAACUAACUGUUGAUUCAACUUUCAUUAAGCAAGUUCAGUCAAGUAUGUCUUCUUAUCCUCUUCUUCGUGAUAUUAAGGGAAAUCCUUCAAAGUCUCAUGAUACUUCUAAGUUUGAAUUCAACAACAAUCUACUAUAUUGUGAAGGACACCUAUAUGUUCCAGAAGGUGAAGCUCAAUUAUGUAUUCUUCAAGCUCAUCAUGACUUUCUAGUAGUAGGACAUUUUGGAUACAAUAAAACUUUAGAACUAAUAUCCAGGGACUUUUGGUGGCCACAAAUGUGAAAAUAAGUCAAAGAUUUUAUACAAUCUUGUGAUGUUUGCUCAAGAUCAAAAACUCCUUGUCAUCGACCUUAUCGACUUCUUCAGCCAUUACCCAUUCCAGAACAACCAUGGUCUUUUAUUUCUAUGGAUUUUAUCACGGAUCUUCCAAUCUCAGGUUCUUAUGACUCUAUAUUUGUGAUAGUAGAUCGUUUUACCAAGAUGGCACAUUUUGUACCAUGUACAAAAUCUAUCACAGGUGAAAAAAUAGCUAAGCUCUUUCUUGACAAUAUUUAUCGCUAUCAUGGAUUACCCAAGGAUAUUAUAUCAGAUAGGGGAACUCAAUUUGUAUAAAGAUUUUGGCGGACUCUUUUCAAGAUUCUAAAAGUAGAUAUAAAACUAUCUUUGGCAUUCCAUCCUCAAAUUGAUAAACAAAUGGAGUGUAUUAAUCAAGUUUUGGAGCAGUAUUUAAGAUGCACCAUCAACUACCAAUAAGAUGAUUAGACAACUCUUUUGCCAUUGGCAAAGUUUGCUUACAAUAACACGGUACAUUUUUCUAUAAAAUAAAUACCGUUUUUUUUCAAUUAUGGUUAUUAUCCAUGACUUGAUAUUUUUGACUUUUCAAAAGUUGAUAAUCCUACUGCGAAAGAUUUGACAAUUCAUUUGUCAGAGCUACAUGCAACAAUGAAGGCGUAGUUAAUAGAAGCUCAAGAACAAUAAAAAGUCAAUGCGGAUGUCUAUCAAAAGGAACAACCACCAUUCUACAUAGGAGACAAGGUAUGGUUACUUUGUCGCAAUAUCAAGACCACUCGUCUUUGUGACAAGUUGGACUAUCAAAGGCUUAGACCAUUUUCUAUUUCUGCACAAAUUAAUCCAGUUGUAUAUCGUUUAUAUCUAUUGGAGUGAAUAAAAAUCCAUCUAGUAUUCCACAUGUCUCUUCUUGAACCAUACAAGACAGUGGACAUACCAAAAGGAAGACAAGCUCCAUCUCCUCCUAUAGAAGUAGAUAAUAAUGAAGAGUUUGAAGUGGAAGAAGUCUUAGAUUCAAGAUAGCACCAAAAUAAAUUAGAAUAUCUUAUCCAUUGGUGCAAAUAUGACAUUAGUGAACGCACAUAGGAGCCAGUAAAGAAUCUUGCAAAUGCAACAAAGGUAGUGGAGGCUUUUCAUCAAUGACAUUCAUCUUAAUUAAAAUAAAAAUCUUUCUUAUAAAAGAUAUAAGAUCUAGACAAGAUAACAUUCUACUUUCAAUCUUUUUUUGUAGCUUCUUUGUAGUUGUGACGCUAAUGAUGGAGAACCAACAACUAGCGGAUUUGACUCAAGAGCCUUCAUGUGCUGACCUGCCGAAUAAGACAUUAUGAUUGUCACAACCUUCAAGAUAAUGCAAUCAAGAUGAAGAUCUUCAAGAACAACAUGUUCUUUUUUGAAUAGAUGGCAAGAUACAAUGCGUUUGGUAUCACGACCUUGGAAGGGACUCCCAAUAUUUGGUGAUUUUACUAGAGGUAGGAACAAUUCCUGAUGGUGUUCUAAAUAUUUUAUUUGAAGGAAGUUAUGAAGGCCUCAACAAUGAUCAAAUAACUAGGUGGUCUUCCUAUCCUAGUAUGGAACACUAUCGAUGGUUGAGAGGCCCUAUGAAUCAUCUUCGAAGAGAAUAAAGAUCAGAGUAUGUGACGAAUAUAAUUCGUUACAUCAUAGAUUUCUUUAAUAUAUGAUGAUUGCUUCUCAAGGAACUGGUCCCUAGAAGGUGGAGUAAUGUCAUGGACAUAUGCAUGUAAGCCAAUAAUUAUAUAUAUAAAUAGGUAGAAAGUAAGUAAAAGUAGAUAAAAGUAAAUUAAUUCUAUAAUAUUUGCUAUAGAAGAUUCUUAGAAGCUUUAUAGAUGUUGCUUUGACUUUAUAGGUGUUUUUAAUUGAUUUUUUGGAUUAGAAACAUGGUCAAUAAGUUGGCCAUGUGCCACAUAUGUUAUUAGAUUCAAAAUAAAGCUAAUUAUAUAGUCCACACAUAGAAAAACUUGCCUUGUAAGUCAAGGCAUGUGUCCUACAAAGUCAACACAUAUUAGAGGUUUUAUAGAACAUUGCCACGUAGCCCCUAAUUAGAUAGUAUAUAUAGAGAUAAGAAUGAAGCCCUCUUCACUCUUAUCAACUCCUUUCUUGCUUCUAGUCUAGUUUCAAGGAUCUCUAAUUUUCUUAUUUUUUUGGCAAUAGCUAUUUCCGUUUUUUUUUUUAAUAUACAUAUUGAGUUAUUUCUAUUUUGUCAUCUUUCUUUGAGAAAAGACUCACUUGUUUAUUUAUUUUUAUCAAGUUCUUGUCCUUGAUAAUAGAUCAACUUUUCAAGCAACUUUACUUAGUUUUAUUGUAUAAUGAUAUUGAUGCCUCAACACUUGCAUGAGUCUUCUUCAACAUUAUCUUUUGUCACUAUAGAUUAUUUUAUGUCACCAUUUCAAAUUGAGAUCCGUGUUUUAUGAAGAGCCUUAUUCAAGCUUCUAGACACAUAACUUGCUAUGUCUUUGGCCUUUUAUCUUCAAACAAAUGGAUAAACAAAGCAUGUAAAUUGGACUUCAAAAGAUAUCCUAUAAACAUUUGUAGGGAUUCACUAUAAUGAUUGAAAUGAAUAUUUGACACAUUUGAGUUUACCUACAAUGGUAGUAUUCAAGCAAAUACUAGUUAUUUAUCAUUCUUAUUUAAUACUAAUUAACAUCCAAUUAUGCCAGCAACUCUCCAUUAUUCCAUUGAUACCAAGAAUCCAACAACGAAGGAAUUUAUAAAAUAGAUUACAACAACCUUGCAAAAGACAUGAUACCAUCUCUUUAUUGCAUAGAAUCAACAAAAGUAAUAUGAAAAUAACCACUUGCAAUAGAAGACCUUCUAAGAGGGAGACUAGGUAUUAUUCUCUAAUGCCAAUCUUCCAAUUGCUACAUCAACACAAGUCUAUAAGCUAGCACCUUGAUGGCUUGGACCUUUCCAUGUUUCUGUAAUAAUUUUUGAUGUUUCAUACCACUGUCGUAUGGCAUGAUUUGCUAUCUGAGAAUACACUGGAUAUCUAGCUAUAAAGAGUGUAGCUUAAACCUUUAUAUGAAUCUUUUCUUAGCUUCCAAAAUUCUUUUAUUUUACAUAAAAUUCAAAAUAUAAUAAAAUCCCUUCAAAAUAUAUUUUUUUCGCAAAGGGGUUUCUUUUUUUGAACUUUAGAAAUUCAUAACUCUUGAUCUAGCUGAUCAAUUUGUUUCAAAUUUAUAGAAUAGGUAGAAUUAACCCUUAACUUUUACCAUAAAAAAAACCAACUUCAAAUUCACUUCCGAUCUUUUGGCAUCUAAGAAACUCUAGCAGACACUCUAAAUCCUAAUUUACAAGUACAUGAGCACUAUUUUCUUAGUAUCUCAAGAACUCAAUACUCAAAUAUCAUUAAACUUAUAUAAAAAUUUUAUUAACAUGAAUUUGCACAUUUCUUGAAAUUUUGAGCCAAAACCUUGUCAAAUUGCUCAAGAUAUAACUCAAGACACAACCACUAGUAAAUCGGGUCAUUUACUACCCUUAGAUUGCAUGCAUUGACUUCAAAAUUCAAUAACUCCUUCAUCCAAACUUGGGAUCCAGCAAGCAAUAUGCAAAAAGUGAAGUUGCAAAAGUUUUCUCUCCAAUUGUAGUCACCGAUCCUCAAUUGCUAUCUAUACGCGUGCAUUAUGCCAAAAAGAGUGAUAGUAGCUUCCAAAUGAACACCUUAACUUUGAGUGCGUAUAUCUCCUUCAUAUAAACUCCAAACCAUACAAAACUUGAACCAAAACCAUAGCCAAAAUCCUAAACUUGUUGAUUCUAGCCUUCAAAAUUCGAAUGGCUCCGAAAAAUAACCCUAAUCUCUAAUAUAGCCUCGGAUAGCCUCCUCAAAGCCUAUUGGUCAUGAUUUUUGACCAAUAGGAAUGGAGGUUUUCAUCAUUCAUCUCUAUUCAUCUAUAUUGGUGCCUUUAUUACUCCAUUUUCUACCAAAAUCCUUUUCAAUCUUUUUUCUUAUAAGAUUUACAUAAUUUAUGCUCUAAAUACCAAAUAAAAGAACCAAAAUAAGUUUUCAAAGGUCACCAAUGUCUAAUAAAGGUGACUCUAAAUAUUUAGAAGUUACUAUCAACCAAAACCAAUCUUAAAAGCCACUAUCAAAAGGAAAUUAAAGUUAUAAAAAUUCUAUAGUAAUCUUUUUGAACAAUCUCUUCUCAAAGUAAUAAUCAAAUUAUAUUCUACAACCAACUAAAAUCUACUAACAUGGCUCUCUCCAUAUUACUUAAUAAAUUAUAUAUUAAGCACAUAAUUAUAUUAUUUUCAUAUAAUAGCCUAACCACAACACGACACUAGUUUGAGCUUCUGUCACAUAUAUGGAUCCAUCUAGUCUUCCAUAUAUUGAAACUUAAAGAGUUUCAUAUUAAACCAAGGUGCUUUUCAAAUCAACACCAACUACUACUACUACUAUUUGUUGUAAUUGAUGACCAACAAGAAUAUGAAGUAUACAAUAUUUUAGAGCUUUGUUACCUUUGCCAUCGCAAUGGAUGUUGUUGUAAUGUAACAUGACUAAUAGGUGAAAGAGUGUGGAAAUUAUUAUAAUGUAAGAGAUCUUAAUUCAAAGUAUUAGAGCAAAUUAUUUUAGAAAUAUAGUUAAUAGUCAAAAUGAUAGUAAAACUAAAAGAUUGGAGCAUGGAAAUUGAUGGCAAACUGAAUAAGGUUUCUAUGACAUUGGUUUUGGAUGAUUUAGAGUUGUUGUGACUUUGUAAGAGCUUUACAAAGUCAAGAUUGUUUCCAGAUGACUUGGAUUUUGUGAAAUAAAAUAAGGUUGAAGUUUCUAGUGAUUUCAAGAGUUUUUUAAUAGAUCUAUAAGUGAAAUUUUGUGGGUUAAUGGUCAUAGUUGUUCUUAAUAUGUAUUGUAAAUCUUAGAUUGAUUUAAUGGUUGAAUUGAGGGUUAUUGAGAUUUAAGUAGAUCAAGGUCUCAAAAAUUAGAAUUUUAGGUCUUAUAAGAGUUUUUAAGAUUUCUUGUAAUCUUCUAAUUGGAUUGGAGUGAAAUUUGUAGUUGAAGAUAGUAGACUUGUUUUUCUAUGUAUUUAAAAAUUUUGAGAUCAAUUGAAUGAUGAAAAGGAGAGAUAUCGGCUCUAAGAGAUUGAGUCAAAUAUUACAGAAGAAGGCCGGCCAAUACUAAAGCACAUUUUUGAGGUUAUCGUCUAUUUGGUAAUUUUGAUCCUUUUCAAAUUUUUUGUGCUUAUUUUUAAUUUAAUUUUUAAGAAGUGUGAAAAAUCUGAGUUAAGAUCAAUGGUUCAUUUAUUAUUUAUUGAGGUUUAAAUCUAUUACAGAAAUUAUUAGGAUUUGAUUAAGAUUUGAUUUAAGAUUUAGGAUUUGAUUAGGGUUUGAUUUAGGAUUAGGAUUUGAUUAGGAUUUGGUUUAAGAUUUAAGAUUUGGUUAGGAUUUUAUUUAGGAUUUAGGAUUAAGAAUUUGAUUAGGAUUUGAUUAGGAUUUGAUUUAGGAUUAGGAUUUGGUUAGGAUUUGAUUUAGGAUUAGGAUUUGGUUAGGAUUUGAUUUAGGAUUAGAAUUUGGUUAGGAUUUGAUUUAGGAUUUAGGAUUUGGUUUAGGAUUUAAGGUUUAAUUAGGAUUUGGUUUAGAAUUUAAGAUUUCAUUAGGAUUUGAUGUAGGAUUAGGAUUAGAUUAAGGUUUGAUUUAGGAUUAGGAUUUGAUUAGGAUUUGAUUUAGAAUUAGGAUUUGACUUAGGAUUUAGGAUUUGGUUAAGGUUUGAUUUAGAGUUAGGAUUUGAUUAAGAUUUGGUUUAGGAUUUAGAAUUUGAUUUAGGAUUUAAGGUUUGGUUAAGGUUUGAUUUAAGAUUUAGGAUUUGAUUAAGAUUUGAUUUAGGAUUUGGUUAGGAUUUGAUUUAGGGUUUAAGAUUUUAUUAGGAUUUAUUUAGGAUUUGAGAUUUAGUUAGUUUUUGGCCUAAAUUUUGAAUGAAGUCUAAUAGGAUUUUAAUUAAGAUUGAAUUGAGAUAUAUUUGUGAUCAUUUUAAUAUUUUUUUAAGAUUUCUUAUCAUUUCUUUGUAAUUCCUUUGAAGUAUCUUUGAAUUUGAUUAAAUCUUCUUUAGCAUUAUUUUAAUCUAAUUAGAGUUUAAUUAAUAUUCUAUUAGAGUUAGGAUUUUUUUGUUACAAUUUCCAUUCUACCUUCUACAAUCAGGUGCUUGGAGCAUUCUCAAGCAAGACUUCAUGUAUUAUGACAACAUUUACAACUUUAAUACAAAAUUCUCUAAAAAGAUUAUUCCAUCCACGAUGGAAUAUGAGAACCUAUACAAAACCUCAUUCAUUCUCAAGAAACCAUUUGGAAAUACCAUUCAAAGCAAAAUAAAGAUGUUCCGCAUUAAUAGAGGGAAUUAAUUGUAAUAAGGGAUGGAUAGGAUAUUUAUAUUAUUCAUAUAUAAAGAUAUGUAAUUGGAGUCAUUUUUGAAAAGUUUCUAGAAUUGAAGUUAGGGUGGUGGUUCAUAUGAUAUCUACCAUAGAACCUUCUAAAAAAGCUUAGGGCGGUUAUCAUGGUGGAAUCCACUUCUAAAAUCUUCUAGAAGAGAAAUUAUCUUAAUAGAAUCCACUAUUAAGGACAUUCUAGAAAGUUUUAAGGAUAGUUGAAUAAAGUAUAAAUAGGAAUGACUGAGGCAAUUUGGACAAUUAAUCAUGUAUGGCUUUAGAUUCUUUCUCUUAGUAAAGUAUGGUCUUUUUUUUUCUAUUCUAUUCUGUUUGAUUCUAUAUAUUUUCAUUUUCUUUUACUUAGUCCUAUCAUUCAUAUUCCAUUCUGCUUAGUUACUUUCAAUUAUGUUUUGAUGUACUUAGUCUUACAAUGUGUUGAGAUCUUUAUUAUUGUGAAAUUGGUAAGGUUUUAGACCUUAGAGAAUCCAGUCUUGUUUUACAAACAUUCUAAGGGUUACAAGAGCUUAAAAUAUUUUUCAAUCAGUCAUUUGGUUUUUUUAAUUUUUAUGUGAUUUUUUUUAUUAUUAUAGCUUCUGAUAUUAACUUUUCAACAAGAUAAGACUUACUUGAUUUGGAGUAUGAUCGAAUUUUUGGUGAAAUUUUGAGUGCAAGAGGGUCGGCUGCCUUGGCAGUUGAGAUCAUCUAUCUUUAAAAAUGUAGUUCUCAGUGACUUCUAAUUGGAUUAUUAUGAAAUUUUGGAAAUAAAUGCAUCUUUAAGCUAAGAUUUUAAGGACAUAAAAUUCUUUGAAUUUAAAGAUGAAUUAAAUUUUUGGCAAAUUUCCAAGUAGAGGGAGGUUGCUUGCUACAACAAUCUUUGUCUCUCAUCUUUAAAGGAGCAUUACUCAUGGUAUAGGUACUAGAUUGAGUUGUAAUUUCUAAGAUUAUGAGCGCCUUUAAGUUGAAUUUUAAAAAAAUUAAAAUCAUUCAAUUUAAAGCUUAUCAUGAUUUUUGAAAAUUUUUGGAAUAGAAGGAGGUUGCUGCCCUUAAUUCUUCAGUGUUAUCAAGGUACCUUCGCUUUUAUCUUUCUUUAGUUCCAUUUUUAUUUUUACUUUUACAGUAACUCAUAACUUUCAUAUUUCAACUUUAGAUGUUUAAUUUUUAAAUUUUAACCUUUAAUCUUCUUUCAUUUGUUUUUAACUUUUAUUUUUAACUUAAAUUUUAAGAUUUUAUUUUUACUAUGGAUUAAUGGCAAAAACUUAAUUAAUUACUUUUAUUGUUAUUUAUUUAAGAAGUAAUAAUUUAUAAAUUUUAAUUAAUAAAAUUUCUAAUUACUUUAAUUAAUUAUAAUUUUAUAACCAUACAAAAUUUUGUAGAAACUAUAAGAAUAGUCUUUACUAGUUUGUAAAAUAUUAAAUAAAAACCAAAUGAAUGGUUUGAACAAUCUAAUGGCAUUUGAAUAGACACCAUGUAAGUGGUAUUGAAAGAACAAUAGUAGUCAAGAAAAGGUCAUAAAAAUGAUGUUGAAUUAUGUGAAUUAAAUCCUAAAACAACCAACUUCCUUAAAAUUUAUUUUAUUCCGUCUUCAUUAUUUGUCUCUAUUGUAUUUUCUUUGUUGAGAGAUAUUAUAGGCUUUUAUAAAUUUUAUUUAUUUUCUUCUUCUUUUUUUUUAUUAAUAAAUUAAAUUAUAAGCCUAAAAAAUAAGGGAUUUAGGUAAAAAUUAUAUAAAUGGUCUUGCAAGAACCUAUGACAUUUAAAUAAAGAUUAUGCAAGUAGUCUUGAAAGUCUAUAGUAAAGUUCAUUAAAUCUUUUUUUUUUAAUAUUGAUAACCAUUGCUUCGAGGGCAUUAAGUUAAUUAAAUUACAACCACUAAGAUUUAAAUUAACUUAAUAAUUACACAAUUGAGAGUUCUUCUACUCUACCUCUUGAAUUUAUUCCCAUAUCAAUUUCAUGAAAUGGUAAAAAUUGGGCUCAUAUGCCCCGAAGGCCAAUACUAAGAAUAGCUACUAUCUCUUAGAGACAAAUGGCAUGGCCUUAGAAAACUAUCAAAAGGGUUGAUUGAAGGGUCUAAUAGAUCAAUUAAAAAAAUAGCCAUAUCAAGUGCUUGUAGAUUAUAGCUUCACAGAAAAAAGAAUCUCAAUUGGGAUUGUGAACUGACUUUAGAUUAAAACCAAGGUAAUCAAAGGAGGGAGUAUAUACCUAACAAAUAAUCAAAAGAAUAUAUUGAAUGAAACAUGUGAGGAAGAAACCUUGACAUUAAAUCACACCAAUGCCUUAAGAAAAAAUUUCAAAGUAACAAAGCUUAGAUAUGACUUCAUUUUUGUUUUGAUAUACGUAGAAGUGAAAAAUAAGCAAGUUGAUUCAGUAGCAAGGAUGAUUUCUUUCAAAGAUGGUGGACAUAAGAUGACUCUUUAUACUUUCACAUCAAGUGAGAUAUAAAAACAAUCUACAGCUAAAGGCUUACUUGUAAAGAUGAUUUUUAUGAAGAAGCAAAUAUAGCAUAAGAAAUUGAUAUAUAUGGUGGUUCCAAAUCUUAUAUUAAUGGUCAAAAAUAUAGCCAAAGGAAUAGAAUGGAUAUAAAAAUUCAUACAUGAAUAUUAUAAUGUCUUCUUAAUCAACUUAUCUAGUCACAUACCACUUGAUUAAGGUACCUCUUUCUAAAUAGAAUUAUUUUUUGAGGUCAAACUGAUAAAUUGGCUAAUUUAUUACCUACAAAUUUGAAGAAUUAUAAAAGAUAUUAGAUAAACUCUUGAAGAAGGACCUCAUUUAAGAAAGCACGUCACUCUAAAAAAGUACAUGUAUUCUUUCAUUCAAAAAGGAUGGUAAAUUUUGGGUUUACAUUGAAUAUUAAAGCUUCAAUAAGCAGAUUGUCAAAAAUGCAUAUCCACUUUUACGCAUGGAUGAUCUUCUUGACCAAAUUUGAAGUGCAAUCAUCUUUAGAAAAUUUAAUAUUUAAAGUGGCUAUUUGUUACGGACAUAGUCCUUAGACCUUUCUAGAGACAAGUUUCUAGAACCUUCUAGAAAGAAGUCUCUAGAAACUUCCCGAAGAUUCCUUGAAUAUUCUCUUAGAAUAUUCUUCAAAGAUUCUCUAAAGAUUCUUUGAAGAUUCCCUAAAGAUUCCCUUAGAAGGCUCUAGAAGAUUCUUAGAAUAUUCUAGUAGAUUCUAGGAAGUUACUUGAGAAGCUUCUUAGCUCUUGGGUAGUUGCUCGAGAAGCUUCAUAGUUCUUGGGAAGCUUCUUGAUGCGCUUCUUUAGAACCAUAGGCCAGUAGUAUAUAUAGGAGUCGAGGCUGAAGAGUUCUUCAAUCUCGACAACACAUCUCUUGAAGCUCUAGCUCAAUUCUCUUGGCGUUGCUCUUCUACUCAUCUGAUAAUCUAGUUCUUGUCAUUUCUUCUUGAACUUCUUGUUUAGAUUUCUUGUUUGUAUUUUUGGUCCGUGACAGUUUGUCGAGACUACCUUUAUCUUAAUAUCAGAGCUGAAUCCUUCUUCUUUGAGAGCGGAUUACCCCUCUUCUUGAAGGUAUUCUAGCGCUUUAGGGGUUGCGGAUUACCUUCCUCUAAACUGAUAUUUUCUCAAUCACAAUAUCAGAGCUUAGUUCUUUGAGGCAAAGAGUGGACUACCCCUUUUCUUGGAGAUACUUGAGCGUUCUAAGGGUUGCGGAUUACCCUCUCUUGGACUGAUAUUAAUUCCUUCUUUUUGUUUAGCAUAGCUAGUAAAAAAGACUGUUAACAUCGAUUUCAGAGCUUUGCCUUCUUGAUAGAGUGCGGAUUACCCCUCUUCUCGAAAGCAUUGAGGCAUUUUUAGAGGUUGCGGAUUACCCUCCUCUAAAACUGAAAUCAUUUAGUGUUUUUUUUUCUUUUCUCCGAGUAGGUUUUAGUGACAGGUAGUGCUACAAUUUUCUCCAAGAGACUUAGCAAUUUCUUCUUCUCUCAAAAUUUUAAUCCAUCUAUUCUCUAAAUAUGGAAGUAGACCAGGUCAUAGACAGUGCAUCUCCACAAGUAGACAAUAGAGUGGCAACUCUUGCAGAUCUUCAAGCUCUUAUGAAUAGUGUACGAAAGGAGAUUGCAUUUCUUCGCAAUCCAAGUAAAGAACCUCAAAUUGAUCUAGUGACCGAAGAAGCUAGACGCAAAAUUCAUAGCCUACAACAAGAGAUUAUUCGAAUGAGAGAAGCAAGACAUGUGUCACAUACGAUCCCUAUGGAUACUUCAAAGAUUAGUACGAAAGAACCAAAAGUGAGUAUGCCAGACAAGUUUGACGGAACAAGAGCCAACUUCCGAGGUUUUGUGCAACAAGUACGGCUUUACCUACGCCUAUACCCUUCUCGUUAUCCAAAUGGAUUUACCCAGGUUGCUUUCAUAGGUACUCUUCUAUCAGGAAAUGCUCGCUCUUGGUUUGCUCCACUAUUGAAGAAGGAUUCUCCAAUAUUGUACGACCUAGAGGCUUUCAUAGAGAGACUUACUGCUGCGUUUGGAGAUAGCGAUCGAGAAAGAGUGACUGAAAGAAAGAUACAAAAUCUGCGACAAGGAUCACUUUCUGCUGCAAUCUAUGCUGCAGAAUUUCAACAGCUUACAUGUGAUCUUGAUUGGAAUGAUAAGGCGUUCAUGACACGAUUUUGAUAUGGACUGAGAGAUGAUGUCAAGAACUUAUUGAUCACCAUGCCUAAGGCGGAUACUUUAGAAGAACUUAUAUCUCAGGCAAUUAUUUGUGACAACCGCCUCUUUGAAUUACGACAAGAAAGACGAUCAGGCUGGAGAAAUGAUGGAGCAUUUGCUACAUUUUCAAAAGGUCCAGAGAAUCACUCCACAGAUCCUGAAUCCAUGCAAAUUGAUGCGGUACGUUUCAAACCCCUCACAACUGAGGAAAGGAAGCGACGGUUUGAACAAAACUUGUGUUUAUAUUGCGGAGAAGUGGGCCAUAAAGCUGUAGAUUGUCGGAAGAAACAGAAGCCUCAAACAACAAGACUCAGGAGUACAAGCAUGCAGGAAAACAAGGACGCCCAGCCACAAUAGGGACCGUGUGGCUGGACAUCUCAACAUCCAAAAUUAAUCUAGGUCCCUUUCUCUCAGCUCAACCUUCAGAUUGUUUUAUGGUACCUUUACAUCUGAGUAUUCAAGAACUAUAAGUCGAUGCUUUAUUAGACUCAAGUGCAUCCGCUUGCUUUAUAGAUGAAGAGUUUGCCAAGCUUCACAAUAUUUCUCUUGUAAAGAAACUUAAGCCUGUCCAUGUAGAAGUCAUAGACGGACGACCAUUGUCUUCGGGCAAUGUUAUCCAUGAAACUAAACCAUUGAAGGUACGUCUUGAAAACCAUGAGAGCAAUAUUGUAUUUAAUGUUAUCAAGACCCCUUCAUGUCCUAUCAUUUUGGGACUAUCUUGGCUUGAUAGAUAUAAUCCAUUGAUAGAUUGGAAGUUGCGGAAAGUGACAUUUCCAACAAACUCCUUGAAGGUGGAAUCUGCCAAGACAAUGUCUAGAAACAAAUCCUUGUUUAUAGGUGCAAGGGCUUUCAUGAAGGAAGCCAAGCAAAAUACACCUCUUGUCAUCUUCGUAACUCCGACUCGAGAAGAUGCAACUCCGACUUUGGUUAUUCCAAAGCAGUAUGAAGAAUUCAAAGAUGUCUUUGAAAAGAAGAAUGCUGAUAUGCUGUCAGAGCAUUGACCCUAUGACUGUGCCAUUGAAUUGCAAGAAGGAGCACAACCACCUUUUGGACCAAACUGUAAUUUAUCGCAGACGGAGUUGACUGAGUUGCGGAAGUACAUUGACGAGAAUCUAGCCAAGAACUUCAUCCGUCAUUCGAAGUCGCCAGUUGGGGCACCAAUCUUAUUUGUGAAGAAGAAGGAUGGCUCACUACGGAUGUGCGUGGACUAUCGAGGUUUCAACAAGGUGACAAAAAAGAAUCGCUACCCACUGCCUUUGAUCUCUAGUCUUCUAGAACAACUUGGGCGUGCAAAGAUCUUUACAAAGAUUGACCUAAGGGGAGCUUACAACCUUGUACAAAUUAAGGAAGGAGAUGAAUGGAAGACAGCGUUCCGAACAAGGUAUGGCCAUUUUGAAUACAAUGUCAUGCCAUUUGGUCUUACUAAUGCUCCAGCGGUGUCGUAUUACGUGCUUUCCUGCUCGAGAAUGCGCCGAGCGUCUGGCUGUAGAAGAUAGUAUGGAGAUUCGCCGAUAGUCAAGCAGUCUAUCAGUUUUUGACUGCUGGAAUAUAAACGACUGCAACAAUGUAACGUAAAUCUAUACGGAUGCUCUUCGACUGCUUGUCGAAGUCUUUUUUUUUUUUUUUUUUUGCCCCAGCCGAUAGGUCUCUAGACGUUACAGAGAACCCCGAACAACCCAAACUGUUAAUCUUCAAUACACCUUUGCACUUACGAUCUUGUAUCCACUGACUCUCCUGUUAGAUUAACCCAAUAAAUUUCAUUCACUCCGCAUACUCAAUCCUAUAGACACCCCUUUAAUCCUUCAAUCACAAACGUAACUUGAUUUUACAAAACAGUCAAGAGUAUUCAAACCCACUUCAUUUAAAAAUCCCAAUUCACCAUUACAACACUAACUUCAGCAGCGAUUGCCUCAGUCUUCCCAAAACUCUAUGAAGAAGAAAAAUCCAAAUUCUAUGUCUUUCCUUCCCCGACCCGAAGCAUGAAGCUCCUCUCUCUAAUUUCCCUGAUCUUCCAAAAACCUCCAAUGAAAACCGAACUAGUAACCUUACAAAAGCUUGAAAACUCGCUCCCCCCGAUUCCCCCCCUAAAACUAUAUCCUCCCCUAACCUUAUCCUCUGAAUUUCUUCAAUCUUCAGUCUUAGAUCCGGAAUUGGCUCCCACCUCAAGCUUGGAUCCAAAAUUGGCUCUCGCCGUCAAGCUUGGAUCCAAAAUUGGCUCUCGCAGUCAGAGCUUUCUCCUCCGUUUUUAUCUUUAAGAGAUCCAUUUACAGUAAACAACGUUCCCUGAAACGACACAGAGAACAGGACAGCCUGAAACAGAAUCGAACCCCGUAAUCGGGACCACAUUGAGUCGCCCGACCAAUUUAGGUCCUAUAUUGGGAAAGAUGCCCGUAGUAAUCUGGAUGUUCUCGUAAUUGGAUCAAAUUGGUCCUCGCGUCAGAUUGGCUAAGACCCGUAGUAAGACCUGGAUUCCUCGUAAUUAGACUGCAUUGGGUUGACCGGCCAAUUUAGGUCUCAUAUUGGAUAAGAGGACCCGGAUUGGAUUAUCGAAAUUAGAUCCAAUUGGCUCCUCGAACCCGUCGUGUGAAUUGGUCCUUCUCUUCCUGCUGACUCCCGUUAUUGGAAUCGAACGGAGCAUUUCAGUAUGCCCCGGCUGACUGUAACGGAGUGACUGAACCUGACCACUCAGUAUUUGUACUGGAGUUGGUCGAUGCUCCCAAUAUUCGAGGUAACUGAAUAUUAAUAAAAUUCCCCUUUCUUUUUAUUUUCACUGUAUAAUCGUGUUACAACACGACAUCCACCCCCUCUGAACCUGUGCAUCCUCCGGUAUGCACCAAUUUAUCCAAUUGCGGUUUGAUUCAGAAUAUAUCCCCUACGUCUUUGUCCAGUUCGUCUUCGUCACCUUCAUUAUCCAAAUCACUUUCAUCUUCUUGCUGCGGAAUCUCUGUACCUUCAUUAAGGUCUUUCAUAUUCAUCUUUGCGUGUCUUCGUUUAAAUAUUUUUACUCGCUUCCCUGCAAUUGGUAUUUUCAAUUUUGUACCAUCUAACUCCCGUAAUGAAUAAGUCGCAUUAUCACGAACAGUUGUUACAACAUAUGGUCCAAACCAACGUUUUGAAAAUUUCCGCAAAGUACUAUGUUGAUUAUCCAAACUAUUGUCAUAAACAAGUACCCAGUCACCUUCCUCGAUUGCUUUUGGUCUCAAUCGAUGUUGCUUAUCGAAUCGCGCCUUGUUUUGUAACCUCGCUCUUUUUAACCUUUCCAAUGCUAUCUGGACAUCUUCCGUUCUUUGCUCCAAUUGUCGAAUCCUAAUAGCCAGAAGUUCUUCUCUUGUCAAUCCAUCUUCCCAUGGUAGCAUACUCCAAGUAAGUACCUUUUCUUCAAUCGGCAUAAUUGGUUUUUGACCUGUCAUAAGUUCUACUGGCAUAUAUCCUGUCACCGAACUAUGUGUUGUUCGAUCAGCCCAUAAUGCAAAUGACAAAAGCCGUGGCCACUCUUUAACCUUCCCAUUACAAACUUUAACCAAUGCUUUCAUAAUCGGCGGGUGACCGCGUUCGCUUUUUGCAUUCCCUUCCGGAUUAUAAGCAGUAGUCAGUGAUAGUUUAACUCCACAUCUUUCAAAGAACUUACGAGCUUCUUGUGCAUUUAAUUCUCCACGAUCUGCAGUGAUUUUUCCUACGCACCCGUAACGGCAAAUGACAUCUUCAAGCAAAAACCUACAAAUCCCCUCUGUAGAUUUUGUCCUCAAUGCUCUUCCUUCUACUAGAUUUGAUAAAUCUUCACGAGCUAAAACCAAAUAUCUCAUCUGCCAUAACCCAACCGGCAUAAUAACCAAAUCAACAACCCAUUUAAAAUGAAUAGCCAGAGGAUACGUAGGAUGAAGACCAUCUCGAUGUCGGAUAUUAGAAUACGAUUGACAGAUUUCACAUGACUCUACAAAUGAGAGCACAUCUCGAUACAUAUUUUUCCACCAAUAUCGUUCCUUGAGUUUAGCAAAAGUAGCCCAGAUUCCUCUAUGCCCUGCCCAUAAACUAUCAUGAAACUCCUUUAAUAAUUUUAGUUUUUCUUCCCUUUUGCCUAUCACUCGUUGUGGCAUCCCAAUUCCUUUCUUCGGUCUCUUCCAUAAGAAUCCAUCUCAAAGUAAAAAUCCAUAUGCUUUUUUUCUUAUUUGUUUGAAUUUUUCUGUAGACCAAUUCCCCUGCUUAGACAAGGUAUUCAAAUAAUGACCAAUAUCCAAUAAUUCUCCUUCAUAAGAUUCUUCAAGAAAUAGCUUGUCUUCUCUGUUGAGAUUUGAUAUUGAAUAGAAUUUCAAUUCAACAUCAUCAAUAUCUUCAACCAUUUCGUCCUUCCUCUCGUAUCUUGCUCGAGAUAGCAUGUCUGCUACUAAAUUGUCCUUUCCAGUGAUAUGCUUAAAUUUUGGAUUUAGUGACUUAAUAUAAGCAAUCCAUCUCAACAUUGCAAUAUCUGGCGUUGAACAGUUAAUAAUCAUUCCAAGCAAUGGCAAGCAAUCUGUUUCAAUUACUACUACUGCCCCAAUCAAAUAGUCCUUUUCAGCUUUCAUAGCCGAAACGACUCCCCAAAGUUCUCUUUUGACUUGCGAAUAUGCACGCUGACGAAUACUUAAAACUUUAGUCCCAAAUCGAACUGCAAAUCUACUCCCAUUCGAAUCAUCUUGACCCACAGCCCAUCCAACGGCAAUUGGACUAGCGUCUACAGUAAGAAUCACUGGUCUAUUGCACUUAUAAUCAACCUUCCUCAAUAUUGGAGGUGACAUCAAUAAUUUCUUCAAUCUUUGCAUUGCUUGAAUAUGCCUUUCUUUCCAUUAAAAUUGGUAACCCUUGCUUAACAGUUCAUAUAAUGGAUCCACUAUGUGAGCAAAAUGAGGGAUCCAGAUUCGAUAAAAUACACAUGCACCCAAAAACCUGCGAACCUCUGUUAAAGAACCACAAUCCUCUUUCAUCCUUCCAAUUGCAUCAACUUUAGUCGGAUCUGGUUUUCUUCCAUAAGAUCCGCAUAAAUGUCCAACAAUUACAACCUCUCACACUCCAAAUACGGACUUCAUAUCCGAUAAUGUAAGAUGAACUUCUCCAAGCCGAGUUAUAAUCUUUUCACAAUCUUGUAUAUGAUCAACAACAUAUCUGCGACACCCCCUCGUAUCUAAAGUUUCAUCCUUGUCUCCUUCUCUGCACCCUUUUAUAGGAACAUCAUCCAGAAAAGGCAUAGUCUUUUCCGGGAUAAAAUCUCUCAAUACCUUAUUCAUCCCAUUCAUCAUAUGCGCAACUGAGUUGGUCGCGCCUUGAGGAAGAGUGCACAUUCUAACCAAUCCAAGCAGUGUUCUCAUCGUUGUCAUAUCUCUACUUCCUUCGACAAGUUGAAAUUGAUCAUAACCUGAAUACAAAUCACCCAUUGAAUAGAUCGCCCUUCCAACAAACGCCUCAGCAAAUUCAUCCACAAUAGGUCCAAUUCCUGCAUUCCUGACAGUUACAGCAUUCACCGGCUGCAUAUCUUGAAUAAAACGUAGUGACCCAUUCUUCUUAGGUACCGUAAACCAUCGACUAGAAUACGGCGCAAAUGAAGGUUCUAAUAUUUUCAUCUUUAUCUUUUCUUUCAAUAGUUCCACCAAUUUAGGUAAAUGUGCCCUCGGUACUGGAAUUGGUCUUAGAUUCCAAGGUACAUGCGGUACAGUGAAGAUAACCAUAGGUGUUAUAAUAUUUGGAUUCACACACCCAAUUUCAUGAGAUUCGAAGGCAAACGAUCUACCUUGUUUAGCCAACAUCUUUUUGAAGCAAGUAAUUUCCUCCGGCAAUAAAGAACCAUCAGAACCAAUCUUCAAUUCUUCAAAAGUCUCUUCAGUAAACUGAUGUCCAAUACUCAUUGGAUCUCUUAAACUUGCUUCUUUUGAUGCUUCUCCCAUUUGUUCUUUAGAAUCCUCUGGUAAUGGUCCGGCAACAGGCUUUACCUUCUUAUCUGCCAUUUUAUAUCUCGUCUCUACUGUGACUUCUGGUGCUUGAAAAGAUUCAAGCAUGGUAUAAACCUCUCUCGAAUGAAUCUCAACAAUCUUAUCAUUAUCUCCUAACCCAAUAGAUGUAAUCAAUUCCAAUGAAUCUUCCAGUCCAUUUUCUUCAUAAACACCCAAAAUUCUCUCAUCAUCUUGUAAUGUACCUAUCUUGCGUAACUGUCUUUCAAUAUCAUAUAAUCUUUUUCUUUCUUUUCUUUUAAAAUCAUCAACUUUCUUAUACAUAAUAUUUCCAUUCUCCAAUAUACCAAUAAAACUCGCAUCAAAGGCACCUUCAUCUCGCGAGAGUACUUCCUUUUUUGUACCUCCAUAAUCUCGCUUUACAGUGGUACCUCCCCAAAAUCCUUAAAUCCUUCAACAAUCUUUGGCAAUGGUUUCUCCCUCAACCUAUCUCGAUUCCGUUCAUGGUUAGGAGGUACUGUUAGAAAUUGUACAGCUUUUCUUCCAUCUUCGCUCCGUACCCUUGCAUAAGCAGAACCAUCGUCAAGUACCUUUGUUUCCAUCCGUGUUGCCGUGAUAUAAGGUUGUCCUAAAAUCAAUGGAUAAGACGUUGUAUCUUGAACGAAGAAAUGUUGCUCCGUAGCAACAUCCCCAAUCCAAAUUUUGACAUCUGGACAAGCUCCAUAUAAUUCGCCUCGUGUGUUAUUAGUCACUCGUAUUGCCCAUCUAUGUUCCAUAUCAAUUGGCCAUUUUUGCUUCUUAUAAAGAUCUUUAGACAUGAGAUUUAUUUCAGAACCAUGGUCCACCAAAGCAACUAUUGGUUCUUCUAUAUCUCCUACCUUCACCAAUACCUCAGUAGUUGCCCUUGCCCAAUGCUUUCGAAUAUAAUGGCUCAAAGUUUCCAUUCCCUUGUCACUAGAAUCUUCGAAAUGUAUUCGCUGAUUAUAUCCAUUCUUUUCAUUUGUUGGUUGCUUGUAACCAAUAUCAACCUCUUCUUCAUCUCUACAUAUUCUUGCAUCAAUAGCAUGACUCAUUCCAAUUUCGCUCAUUAAUUGCCUCUUUCGCUUAAUGCUGUCAAUGAUAACAUCAUGAAACUCCUUCUUUGCAAUUUCCAAGACUUCUUUCAAUGUGAAUUCCACCUUAGCGUUUAAUAUACGUUCUUCCAACACCCCUUUCAAAUUUCUUGCCGCUUCAAUGUCAGAAAGUAGCUUAUAAGCAAUUGAUUUGCCCUUAUCUUUUGUCUCCGUUGUUUUUUCUCCCAAUGAUGCUGAGGUAUCCUUUACAGGCAAUUCUUGUGAAGCUGCCUCCCGAGCCUUGUCUCCUCGAGUUUGCCUCUUAAAAGAAUUUCCUUCUCUAGUAUCAUCAAAAUUUCUUCGUCUUUUUUCUUCCAUCAAAGCUUCAUGUUGGCUCUUAGCAAUAUAUGCAUGAACUGAAAGAGACUCAACAGGAUCCUCCCAACCUGUUCUUCCUCGUAUUGUAGCUGCAGUUCUCAAUAACGCUUCUCGAGGUAAUUUUCCUUCUUGCAUUGUAGAAACGGCAGAAGCCCAAAACUCACUAGUUUCCGUACUUCCACCAAUUGCAUCAUCUACUCUAGCACCAUAACUUGCACUUUCUCGUACUACUGUUUCAUGCUCUUUUAAGUAAUCUUGAACCAAUGCUCUCAUUUCUCCCUUGCCAAAAUUGGUUUGAAGAAGAUCCUCCCUAUCUUUCAAUGCUAUCUUCCCAUCUUUCCAGCAAAUAAUUCCCUGCCGUAUCAUAUUAUUAAAUUCAUUGCAAUCUUUUCUAGUGUGUGAAGCAUCAUCACACCAAAUGCAUCUUUGUACAUAUCCUUGUUUUGAAACAUUCUUCGAAUUGUUUAUAGAAGUAUUCUCUUCAAGUCUUGCCAAUUUGAUUUGAAGAUCUCGCAUUCCUCGUAUAAUUUCUUCCAUACCCAUAUCUGCUUUCUUUGACAAGGAUGUCGAAGGUUGAACUGUAGGCAUUGUCGGUGGUGUUGUACGUACUGGAGCUUUGGGUGCUUGUACUGUUUUCGGAAUAUUACUCCUAUCCUUCCCCCUUUCUUUUUUUGUAAGCAACCCCACCGCAUCUUCAACGUUCUUCCACUUCGUUGUCAAUCCUUCAUCUUCUUCUUUGUCUUCAAGAAAGGGUUCUAAUUUCUCUUGCAAUUCUCCAUCAGCAGCUUGAAGAAAUAGAUCAACUUUGUUCGGCUCCAAUGUCAAUUUUUCUACCUUCGAUAAUUGAGAGUACUGCCUCUCAAAUUCCCUUAGUAGCUCUGUUGCUUGCAAAUUCUUAUUGGGCUGUUCAAUCCAUCCCAGAAACAGCUUCUUAGUAACGCGAUCAGCAUCUUCCAAGAAAUAUUCGUCUUUCAAUGCAUGUGAAAAAUCCUCCCAUGAAUUCCCACAACGAUCCGUAAUCGAUGUAAUGUGGUCCCUUAUCUCCGGUAUCGUGGCAAGUCCAAAUAGUGCAACCAUUUUUCUCUCAGAAACCCGAUUUAAUUCCAUUUCACGAACAUAACAUCUUAAAUACCUUGAAAUAUUCCUCCCAUCAAAUUGAUCAAUUUUAUUGACCACUGCUUGCAAUGCUUUGGUUGCCAAAGCUUCCUUUCGAUCAUUGCUUUGUUGUUGCUGCAUUGACAAUGAGAAGGCUUGAAACAAACUAGCAAUAGACGGAUCCAUGUGCAUACCUUGUCCUUUAGAAGACUCUCCACCAGAAAUUUCUCCCAAAAAUCCUUCAAAAUUUUUAUUUUCGUUUUUCAUAAAAAUAAAGAUAAAAUCAACCGAAAUCCAAUACCUUCCACCUCAAGCUUUCACGUCGGGUUCACCACUUAUGUCGUAUUACGUGCUUUCCUGCUCGAGAACGCGCCGGGCGUCUGGCUGUAGAAGAUAGUAUGGAGAUUCGCCGAUAGUCAAGCAGUCUAUCAGUUUUUGACUGCUGGAAUAUAAACGACUGCAACAAUGUACCGUAAAUUUAUACGGGUGCUCUUCGACUGCUUGUCGAAGUCCUUUUUGCGCCAGCCGGUAGGUCUCUAGACGUUACAGAGAACCCCGUACAACCCAAACUGCUAACCUUCAAAACUGCUUUGUACUUACGAUCUUGUAUCCACUGACUGUCUUCUUAGAUUAACCCAAUAAAUUUCAUUCACUCCGCAUACUCAAUCCUAUAGACACCCUUUUAAUCCUUCAAUCACAGACGUAACUCGAUUUCACAAAACAGUCAAGAGUAUUCAAACCCACUUCAUUUAAAAAUCCUGAUUCACCAUUACAACACUGACUUUAGCAGCGAUUGCAUCAGUCUUCCCCAAAACUCUACGAGGAAGAAAAAUCCAAAUUCUAUGUCUUUUCUUCCCCGACCCGAAGCAUGAAGCUCUUCUCUCUAAUUCCCUUGAUCUUCAAAAACCUCCAAUAAAAAAAACCGAACUGGUAACCUUGCAGAAGCUUGAAAAAUCCUUCCCCCCCCCGAUUUCCCUCAAAAAAAAACCACCCCCAAAACUAUAUCCCACCUAACCUUAUCCUCUGAAUUUCUUCAAUCUUCCGUCUUAGAUCCGGAAUUGGCUCCCACCUCAAGCUUGGAUCCGAAAUUGGCUCUCGCCGUCAAGCUUUCUCCUCCGUUUUUGCCUUCAAGAAAUCCAUUUACCGAAAACAACGUUCCUUGAGACGGCACAGAGAACAGGACAGCCUGAAACAGAAUCGAACCCCGUAAUCGGGACCACAUUGAGUCGCCCGACCAAUUCAGGUCCUAUAUUGGGAAAGAUGCCCGUAGUAACCUGGAUGUUCCCGUAAUUGGGUCAAAUUGGUCCUCGCGUCAGAUCGGCUAAGACCCGUAGUAAGACCUGGAUUUCUCGUAAUUAGACUGCAUUGGGUUGACCGGCCAAUUCAGGUCUCAUAUUGGAUAAGAGGACCUGGAUUGGAUUAUCAAAAUUGGAUCCAAUUGGCUCCUCGAACCGGUCUUGUGAAUUGGUCCUUCUCUUCCUGUUGACUCCCGUUAUUGGGAUCGAAUGGAGCAUUUCAGUAUGCCCCAGCUGACUGUAACGGAGUGACUGAACCUGACCACUCAGUAUUUGUACUGGAGUUGGUCGAUGCUCCCAAUAUUCGAGGUAACUGAAUAUUAAUAAAAUUCCCCUUUCUUUUUAUUUUCACAGUAUACUCGUAUUACAACACGACAGCGGUCUUUCAACACAUUAUGAAUGACAACUUUCGAGAGCAUCUAGACAAUUUUGUUGUCAUCUAUCUAGAUGAUAUUUUGAUAUUUUCUAAGAACGAGGAAGAACAUGAGAAGCACGUUCGUCUGGUACUCAAAAAACUAUGGGAGCGAGGACUUUAUGCCAAAUUGGAGAAGUGCUUAUUUCACCAAACUGAGAUGGAGUUUUUGGGAUUCAUCGCGACUACGGAAGGCUUGAAGAUGGAUCCAAAGAAGGUAGAAGCAAUCAUGUCUUGGGAAGUUCCGAAGACGGUUAGGGACGUACAAUGUUUUCUUGGAUUUGCUAACUACUAUCGGAUCUUCAUCAAGAAUUAUUCUCAAGUUACUCCCCCCCUCAAUCGGUUAACGUGUAAGGACAAGCUCGAAUGGGGACCUAUCGCAGAAAAAGUAUUUCAAGAUUUGAAGAUGGUAUUUACUACAGUUCCAAUCUUGGUACAUCCGGACUUUACAAAGGCCUUUUAUUUGGAGACAGAUGCUUCGGAUUUUGCUUUGGGAGCUGUACUUUCACAAAUGGGCGUAGAUGAGAAGCUCCAUCCAGUUGCGUUCUAUUCUCGAAAAUUCUCUGCUGCUGAGAUCAACUAUGAGAUCCACGAUAAGGAACUCCUUGCUAUAGUAGAUUCUUUUCAAGAGUGGCGCCACUUUCUCGAAGGAACUGCACAUCCAGUGACCGUAUAUACGGAUCACAAGAAUUUGGAGUAUUUUAUGUCGGCUCGGGUUUUGAAUCGGUGUCAAGCUUGGUGGAGUAUGUCGCUAUCCAGGUUUGACUUUUUUAUUACUUAUCGGCCUGGGAAGCAACAAGGGUUGUCCGAUGCAUUAUCAAGGAGAUCAUAUCUCGCGCCAAAGGCUGGAGAUGCAGCAUUUGAUCAACAGUGCACGACAUUGUUGAAGCCAGAGAAAUUUCGGCUCAACGCAACUAUUGUACCAAUUGAUGCUGACUUCCUCGACCAGGUAUGGGCCGCAACCAUUGAAGAUUCUCUAGUCCUUGAUAUCAAGCAACAUGCUAGUGAUGAUAAAUUCAAGAUGGAAGGAGAUCUAGUAUAUUUCGAAGAGCGGUUGUAUAUCCCAAAAGGGCCAACACGACUCCGAGUUCUUCAAUCUCGUCAUGACUUUCUAGCUGCGGGACAUUUUGGAUUCAAUAAGACCUUGGAACUUAUUUCCCGCAAUUUCUGGUGGCCUCAAAUGUGGAAGGAUGUGAAAGAUUUUGUUGUAUCUUAUGACAUUUGUUCAAGAUCCAAAAACCCUCGACAUCGGCCUUAUGGACUUCUACAGCCAUUGCCUAUUCCGCGCCGACCAUGGUCUUCGGUUUCCAUGGACUUUAUUACGGAUCUACCACCAUCGAAUUCAUUUGACAGCAUUUUUGUUGUCGUAGACCGGCUUACAAAGAUGGCGCAUUUUGUCCCUUGCAAGAAGACAUCGUCAAGCGAAGACACAACAAGACUCUUUCUUGAUAAUGUGUAUCGAUAUCAUGGUCUACCAGAUAAUAUCGUAUCGGAUUGAGGAACCCAGUUUGUGUCAAAGUUUUGGAAAUCUCUUUUUGAAAUAUUGAAGGUGGAUAUCAAGCUUUCUUCGGCAUUUCAUCCUCAAAUGGACGGCCAAACAGAAUGGAUGAAUCAAGUUUUAGAACAAUAUUUACGUUGCACCAUCAACUAUCAACAAGAUGAUUGGGUCGCAUAUCUACCGCUAGCCGAGUUCGCAUAUAACAACACCCUUCAUGCGUCAACUCAACAAACGCCAUUCUUUUCCAAUUAUGGAUACCAUCCGAAGCUUGACUUAUGGAGUUCGUCAACGAUUAACAAUCCGGCAGCUGAAGGAUUGGUGAAGGAGCUUUCGCAGCUUCAAACUACAUUGAAGCUUCAAUUGCAAACUGCCCAAGAAUCUUACAAGGCGUCCGCGGACAAAUUUUGGAAUCAGGCACCUAAAUUCACGAUUGGAGACAAAGUUUGGCUGCUUCGACGAAAUAUUAAGACCAAGCGGCCAUGUGACAAAUUGGACUAUCGGAGAUUGGGACCAUUUAUUAUCCAGAAGCAAAUCAAUCCUGUAGCGUAUUGUCUGGAGUUACCAGCUACUAUGAAGGUACAUCCUGUCUUUCAUGUUUCUUUGUUGGAGCCUUAUCGAGAAUCUUCUUUUCCUGGAAGAGUACAAUGUCCACCACCUAGCAUAGAAAUAGAGAACCAUGAAGAAUACGAGGUGGAAAAGGUCCUGGAUUCACGGCAAAGACGGGGUAAAUUAGAAUACUUUGUGCAUUGGAGCGGUUACGAUAUUAAUGAACGAACAUGGGAGCCGGCCGAAAAUCUCGUGAAUGCACCGCAAAAGGUACAGGAGUUUCAUCGAUGAUAUCCUGAGAAACCCAAGCCGGUUCGACGAUAGCUUCUUACUGAAGCUUGCUCAUCCAGAAAACAGAAAAGAGGAGAGAGCACCACCAAAAUCUAUAGUUGAUGUAGUCAUUCUCUCCAAGAUAGCGUAGAACUUUGUUAGUAGCCCAAGUUUGUUCUUAUUGUUUUAGCCUUUGAAUAUGGAUAGCCAAGAUACUUCACUUGUCAUGUCAUCUCAAGCAACUAGCUCACCAAGACGACCGCGAGAUAAAGAACCGCUUGCACCAUGACGACGUCGAAGGAUUCCGAGCAACAGAACGUCGGUGAUUGUAUUUGAGGUCGAGCCUACCUACAAUGGUCAGCCAGAAGGAGUGUUUGCAGGACAAUUUUACAAUGAAGACACGGAGGUUCAUGCUUGGUCAGAAGUUGAAGGCGUGGGCCACUACCGCUGGCUUCAAGGACCAUUGAAUCACUUGCCUCGUGAACAACAAUUGGAGUUCAUAGCAGAGGUUAUGCGACAGAUCUUCAUUUUCUUGCGUUGGUAUUGACUGACGAUAACAUUGCUUCUUGGAGACCUCGAAGCUAAAGGAGGAGGUGAUGUUAGGGACAUAGUCCUUAGACCUUUCUAGAGACAAGUUUCUAGAACCUUCUAGAAAGAAAUCUCUAGAAACUUCCAGAAGAUUUCUUGAAUAUUUUCUUAGAAUAUUCUUUAAAGAUUCUCUAAAGAUUCUUUGAAGAUUCCCUAAAGAUUCCCUUAGAAGGCUCUAAAGGAUUCUUAGAAUAUUCUAGUAGAUUCUAGGCAGUUACUUGAGAAGCUUCAUAGUUCUUGGGAAGCUUCUUGAUGCGCUUCCUUAGAACCAUAGGCCAGUAGUAUAUAUAGGAGUCGAGGCUGAAGAGUUCUUCAAUCUCGACAACACAUCUCUUGAAGCUCUAGCUCAAUUCUCUUGGCGUUGCUCUUCUACUCAUCUGAUAAUCUAGUUCUUGUCAUUUCUUCUUGAACUUCUUGUUUAGAUUUCUUGUUUGUAUUUUUGGUCCGUGACACUAUUGGCAAAUAUCUAUUGCAAAAGAAGAUAUAAAAAAAAUAUCAUUUUGUACGUACUAUAGACAUUUUGAAUGGCUAAUUUUAUUUUUUGGCCUCACUAAUGCUUCAACCUCUAUCAUAGGUCACAUGAAUAGAUUGUUUCGAGAAAUUUUAGAUAAGUAUAUAAUUGUCUUCAUUGAUCAUAUCCUAGUUUAUAAUAAAAUCUUUGAGGAGCAUGAGUAAUAUCUAUGGAAAAUGAUAUGUCGGCUACAAAAUAGUCACUUUUAUUACAAGCAAUAAAAAUAUGAACUUUGGAAGUCAAAAGUCACUCUUUUAGAACAUGAUGUAUCCUUCAAUGGAGUGUGGAUAGACAUAGAUAAGAUGAAAGUGGUAGAGGAUUAGUCAACCCUCAAAGAUGUUUUUAAAAUUCACUCAUUUUUAAGCCUUGUUGAAUAUUAUUGCUAUUUUUUUUAUCAAUUUGUAUAUAUUAUUGCUUUAUUAACAAGCCUAUUUGAAAAAAGUGCUCAAUUUGAAUAGAAACUAGAGUAAAAAAGGGCCUUUCAUAAGUUGAAAGAGGCAUUCAUUACUGCUCUAAUAUUGCAAUUGUAUAAUUUCAACCUUCUCUAUAUACUUCACAUCAAUAUUUUCAAUUUUGCUAUUGGUAUGGUAAUUCAAUAAGACUUUAGCAGGGACCUUCAAUUUAUGGCCUAUAAAUCACACAAGCUCAAAAGAGUAGAGCACAAUUAUUUUGCAUGUAAUGAAAAAUAACUACCAAUUAUAUAUGUCACAAAGGUGUGGCGACACUAUCUAUUAAAGAAGUCACUGACUAUUUGAAUUUACUAUCAACCUUAACUACACAAUUUGCAUCUAGAAAAUAUGAAAUCAUAAUAUCAUCAUUAGAAAAAAUAAUUACAACUCUUUGAUAUUCAGCUUAAAUACAAGCAAAGGCAAUAAUAAAUUGUAUUGGAUAUCUUAUUACGUAAAUCAAACUUGAAUGCCACAUCAAAGGACAAGAAAAAAGUUGCUACUAUUAGUAAUAUUAUUUCAAACCUAAUUAGAAGAGUAUUAUAAAAAGAAGCUAUAUAUUGAGAUGUUUAUUUUAAGAUGAUUAUUAAUCGGUUGAAGAUAUGUGAUGUAAAAUAUCAAGAUUAUUAUCUUAGCGAUGGCUUAUUCUAUUUCAAAAAGUAAAUUUAUAUGAGUGAUGAUGCUAUAUUCCAGAUGCACAUAUUUUAAAAAGAACAUGACGUUAAAAUAUCUAGACAUUUAGGGCAUAAAAAGAUUCUAAAAUAAAUCUCAAGGAUAUAAUUUUGGAGAAGUUUGGAUCAUAAUGUUUGAGCUUUUGUGUACUCUUAGAAGUCAUGCUAAUGUAAGUACUCAACGAAGUAACUUCUAGACUAUUGUAGUCAAUUCUACUACCUAUGGCUCAUUGGAAGCAAGUGACUAUGGAUCUUAAUAUGUAUUUGCUGCAGACACCUAAUAAUUAUAUUGCAAUUGUUGUCUUUGUCGACCAACUCUCAAAGCAACUUUACUUGGUUGUGGUACGCUCUAAUAUCAAUGUUGUUAGACAUGUACUACUCUUCUUUAAUAUUAUCUUUUGUCACUAUAGAUUACUUCGUGUCAUUGUUUAGAUCAAGAUCCAUACUUCACAAGAAGCUUUUAGCAGGCUUUAUUUAAGAUAUUAAAUACAUAACUUUCUACAUCUACAACCUUCCAUCCUCAAACAGAUAGACAAAUAAAGCAUUGUCAUACUAUAAUUAUUUAUAAUAUAUAAAAAAUAUCUAAAAUAUAUAAUAUAUUUAUAAGUACUGAUGAAUAUUAAAGUAUUUAGUAGGUUAAUUUAAAGAAAGUUGAUGUAAGAAAAUUUAUUUUGAAAUUACCUAUUUUGAUUAUAAUAUUUAAAUUAUAUAGGAUUUAAAUAUUUAAUAUAAAAUUUAAAGAAAAUAUUGGAGCUCAGAGAUGAAGAUUAAAACCUCUUAUAAACUUAUUUGGAGAGAUGAAAAUAAGGUAUGGAUGAAUGAAAGCAAAGAGUGAAGAUCUUCAUUCCUAUUGGUUAAAAGCGAUAUCCAAUAGGCUUUCAAGAGACUUUCUAUGACCAUAAUAAGAAUUUUGGUGACUUCAAAAGACAUAUUUAAGAAUCAAAAGUAAAGAUUGUAAGAUUUAGAAUUUGAAUUACAACUUAUAUAUAAAUUUUAAAAUAUUUGGAAUUAUAAUGAUAAAGUUAUAGCCAUUUGAAGUUAAGGUGUCUUUUUAAGACAUAUUUUUGCUCUUUUGAAGAUACAAGGAGUUUCAUAACAGAUUUUGGAGAUUAAAAGGUGUAACUACAAGGAUGAUUUCAAGACCUAUAUUUUUUGUGGAAGAAUUUCUGCAUUUAGAGUUUUUAUAAAGGAGUUAUGUAGCAUUAAAGAUAGCAUAUGUAAUUCAAAGUUAGUAAGUGAGUCAUUUUGUUGAUAGUAAUGAUUGAAGCCAUAUCUUGAAUUUUUGGACGAAUUUUUAGUUCUAUAUUUCUAAAAGUAUAUGUUAUAAGGUUAAAAAGAUAUAUAUCAAAAUUUUAUGGUAUUUGACUACUUAAUUUAUAAGAUAUAAAGAAAAUUACAAAAAAGUAUAUGUAAGUAAGGAUUUGAAGCUAUUAUUAGGAUUUUGGUGAUAUCUCAAGAUUCAUAAUAAAUUUGUAAUUGAAAUUUGCUAUAGUAAUUACUGAAAGUACAUCAAUACUUUGUAUAAAAUUUUGGUUUAUUUAGAUGGUCCAAUUGUAAGAUAUGAGCUAUUGAAAUUUAGAAAAAAAUUACCUUAAGGAUAUAUAAGGUUUUAUAAUAUUUUUAUUUAAUUUUUGAUAAUCUUUAGUACUUAAGGCUUCUCCCACAUAUUUCAGUUCAUCUGGUCUUCUAUAUUUUAAAAUUCAAAGAAUUUGAUACUAAGCCAAGGUACUUUUUGGAUCAAUACCAAUUGCUACUACUACUACUAGUUGUGAUUGAUGACCAACAAGAGUAUGAAGUGAACAAUAUUUUGGAGCAUUGCUACUUUUUUUGUUGCAUUGGAUGUCCACAACUUCAAUACAAAGUCCUUUAGAAAGGUUAUUCCAUCUAUGAUGCAAUAUUGGAACUUGCAUAAAAUCUCAUUCAUUAUCAAGGAACAAUUUAGAAAUACCAUUGGAAGCAAAACAAGGACAUUUUGUAUUAGUAGAGGGAGAUUAACUAUAAUAAGGUAUGAAUAAGAUAUUUAUAUUAUUGACGCAUAGAGAUAGGUAGUUGAAGCCAUAUUUGAGGAGUUUCUAGAAUUAAGGCUUGAUUAGUGGUCUAUAUGGAAUCUUCUAUAGAACAUUCUAAAAAGGACUUAAGGUAAUUAUCUAGGUAGAAGCAAUCAUUAAGAACAUUCUAGAAAGUUCGAAGAUGAUUGGACAAAGUAUAUAUAAGACUGUGCAUGGCCAUUUGGAUAUUUGAUCAGAUAUAGCUUUGGUCUUUUUUUUUAAUAAAUUUUUAUUUUUUAUUUUUUUUAUUCAAUUCUAUUCUAUUUUCUUUUAUUCUCUUUUUCAUUUUAUAUUCCAUUCUAUUUAGAUCUGUUCAAUUUUAUUUUAAUUUAUAUUAUCUUAAAUUGUGAUAAGAUUUAUAUUGCUAAAAAUUAGAAGGAUCUUAUAUCUUAGAGAUAGUACAGUCAUAUUUCAACCAAUAAAGAAUUUUUGGAUUUCUAACGAGCAUCUAUGUAGCAUGGAGGUACAAGGAUACAAGUUAUUCUUUUAUCCAUACACUUUCUUAUAUAGAUAGCCUUAAAUGUAAAUUUUUGGAUUUGACAACUUUGGAGGUAUGAUAUUUCAAAGAAUUGGAGAUUUGAGUCAUAUAUAUAAAGAUUGAAUGAAGAAAUAUGGAAAAAAAUUAAAAUGAUUAGAUGUGAUUUUAAGUAGUGAGUACAUUUUAGAUAUUAUUUAAGAAGAAGGAUUUGAAGAUGAUUACAUGAAGGUUUUAGACGAACUAGCUUUGCAUAUGGAUAGAAAUGGAGCUAAUGUUGUUAAGAAGCUUUAUUCAAGGUAAUUAUAUGAGGAGGUUUUGGAUUUUUUUAAGGAAAUUUGGAGUAGUUGAUAGCCAUGUGGUAUUGUAAGAGGCUAUAGUAUAUCCAAAUGAUAAGAUUGUGGCCAAGAAGGUGAAGCUCGUGAUAAUCCAAUUGCCUCAAGAUGCCAAAGAGCAAAUCAAAUAAGCUACCAUAGAGCCAAGAUUAAAAAGUUAUUUUAGAAGCUCCUUAAGAUUGUUUCAUCUUAAAGCAAUAUAGAAACUUUUGAAGAAGCUUCUUAGAAUUGCUUCAUCUUCAAACAAUUUAGAAACAUCUUGAAAAAAUUUCUAGUACCUAGUAUAUAUUAGAGUCGAGGUUGAAGGGAUCUUUGGUCUCAACAAGAUAUCUCUUGGAGCUCUAGCUCAUCUUUCUUAAAGUUGAUUUUAUAUUCAUGUGAUUUAAUCAAGUUUUUUUUAGUUUUCUUGUUGAACUCUUUUAUUCAACUUCUUUUUUGGUCUUUUAUAUAGUGUAUCUAUGACAAUUAGUCAUUAAUUUAUUAAAGAGUCUUUAAGCAAGUUAAAGAUUGGAAGAGAUGACUUUUUAAUCAAAGUAGAGAGAGAAAAGUUUCUAGAAAUGCUUUUCAAAUAUGAUAAGGCUUUUGCCUUUGCACUUGGAGAAAUUGAUUGUGUAGACUUUAAUAUAGUAGCACCUAUGGUUAUUUUUAUUGUUUCACAUGUGCCUUAGAAUUUAAAGCGUAAUUUAGUAUCUAAGAUUUUGCUUCUUAAGAUGGUGGAUUUAUUGAAGGAAAAGAUCAAAAUGGGCAUCUUUAAACCAUCUAUUGUAUCUUAUUCCAAUCAAUAAUUCACUAUACAAAAGAAGUCUAAGGUGCUUGGAUUCAUUCAAGAUAUGCAACCAGCUAAGAAGAUAACUAUUAAAAAUAUGGAUUCCAAAUCAAUGAUAAAUGAAGUAGUGGAAGCAUUUGUGAAACAUGUUAUUUAUUUUAAUAAAAAUUUAUAUUUGGAUUAUGAUCAAUUUCAAUUAGCAAAGGAGAGUAGGGACCUAACUAUUAAAAAGACUCUUUUGGAUCUAGUACACAUAUGUACCUUGCCGCGAGGUGCAACUAAUUUAGUGACUCAUAUGCAAAAUGCAAUGAACCAAAUUUUAAAGGAAUUUAUAUUGGAGAAGAUCAUACUCUUUUUGGAUGAUGUUCCAAUCAAAGAUUGCAAAGAAGAAGCUAAAGAUUUGAUUUUGAAAGAAGAUGGAUGCCAAGCAUUUGUAAGAGAACAUAUUAAAGAUGUAGAGUACAUUUUGAAGAAACUUGAAGAGAUAAGUCUCACUUGUCCUUUAAAAAGUCCAUAUUUGAAUUUAAAGAAAUUAUGGAGGUUGGACAUUUGUAUAGAAGCUCUGGAAGGGAACCAAACUCAAAUAAAGUAAAUGCCAUAGAAAGAAUGAAGGCAUAUAAAAGCACCACCAAGGUAAGAAGAUUUUUGGAUGCUUAUAUAUUUUAUCACAUAUAGAUUCCCUGUUAUGUUCAUAUUGUAGAGCCUUUGUAUCAAUUAGUGAGAAAAGAAAAGAGGUUUGAAUGGGAUAAGGAGCAAGAGUUGGCCAUAGAAGGAUUAAAAGUGGUUUUGCAAUCACCACCAAUGUUAAGGCAAGUGGACUAUAAUUAUAGAAGACCGGUGAUAGUGACAAUUGACCUAAGUCCCAUAGCCAUUGGGUGGACUAUUGGGCAAGAUGAUAAAGAAGAUAACCAAUUUGCAAUUAGGUUUGAAAAAAGGAUUCUCAUUGAGAGGCAAAGAGAUUAUCCAAAAGUAAAAAGAAAGAGCUUUGGUGUGCACUUAUUGUAUUGAAGGGUGAGAAGAAUUACUUAGUAGGUACUCAUGUGGUGUUGGAGUCCAAUUGCUUGCUUUUGCUUGGAAUGCUUUUGAAUUGUACUACACCAGAUAUGUACCCAAUAUCAAUUCAGACGCCUUUCAAUCAGAAAGUCUUUUUCUGUAGUUUUUCAAUGUGUCUACAUACGACCUGUGAAAUGAUUUGUUCUGGAAGUUUGCAAGGUUGCAGUGUUGUGGGUUCAUUAGGGGUGACAUCAUUUUGUGCAGGGGUAGUAUGUUGUAGUUGACUGAAGAAAUAGUAUAGACUAGAGACUCCGAUUCACCUAAUGAUGAUUCAAUGAAUGCUGCUCUGGAGUAUGCUGUUAGUAGAAAUCUUUGAAUAACUAGGGAUGGUGUGGUGGCUCCGACAUCGAGUAGGAAACUCCUCGCUCAUCAAAAUCGUAAUGGUACUAGUUUACUGAAAAUUGAUUCGAAAAUUGGAAACAAACUGGAGGAAUAGAGGCACAGUUCUCAACUUGGACUAUUGAGGGUUAUCACAGAGAGCUAAGCCUCUGGAUGGUUCAUAACUGAAAGGAAGUUCUGAAAUCCAUAUAUACCAAUAACAAGCUCUGUAAACCUAUACACAUCAUAUCGAAAGACUUCAUUUCUUCCGCAUUCUAUUCUAGCACGAGAUGCAGUAAUAAGUGAUCGAUCAAUGGUUCUGGGAUUCUGAUUGUAUGGCCAGCAAUUGUGCGCCCAUGUUCACACUGCACAUGAGAAGACAACUGUGUAGUUGUUAUGAAUCUGCGUUAUUCCGGCUACAUUGAGUGGUCAUCAUCUCAGGGACACGCACAAGAGGUUUUUCAGAUGUACAGAACAAAUUUUGUCCGCCCAGUUCUCACACACAGCAGUAGAAUCAUAGGCUUCGACAAUAACCACGACUCUAAAAUCACUGCAAUGACGGACGGCAAUGACGGCAACAAUAAGUAAUUGCUGAACACUUUAGCCCGUGAAAAUAUACCUUUCGUUCAUAAAAGUUCAGACGGAAUAUCUUCUUUAAUUACAAAACUGCUUGUUACUUGUACAGCACUCCUGGCGAGAAGGCAAUGUAGAUCAUCAAAACUGCUAUUCCAAAAUUUCACGUAAGAGACGAACACUACACAUUCUGUACAUGAAGGGAAAUUUAGGAUUAGGGUUCAGGAUUCUGUGAUUUGGAAGCGCUACCAGACUUGAGCAUCGACUGGGUCAAGGGACAGAAGCUCUUCCGCAGUUUGGACAGCACUCUCCUUGAGUGACUGCAAGUGGGCGAAAGUCCAGGUAUACCAUUCUUCCUUGUCACCCUGUGUGCGAGGAGGGUUGAACCGGUUGCGGAACUCACUGGAGCCGAGGAAGUCUUCCACUUUGCGGCCAACGAGGACGAGAUGGAUCUUGUCGUCGCCCCGGAGUCUAGCCGCAAUGUACACAACUACGUACAUAAUGUUACCAUGGUUUUGGGAGCAUGAUUCAACACAGUUGCUGAUGGCGCCCUUCGACCGGAUGUUGAGGAUGGCUCCGCAAAUAGCAGCGUUGAUAGCCUCGACGGAUUGUUCCUUGCACGUUUGGCUCAGUUUUAGCUUAAGAAACGUUGCCAAUUGUCGGGUGUCGUUGAUGGGAACGACGAUCUCUCCGAGUUGGAAGGCUGACACUUGGGGUGCAACAAUUUGGUCGAACUCAUACAGCAAUCUUUCUCUGCGCAGUAAUUCAAUAGUUUGGAUCAUUACUCAUGAGACAAUGAAUGUUGAAUGCUCGAAGCUAUCAAAACCAACACUAAUCGUAGAUGGGUACUCGUUGGUUCGUUGCUUUGCAUCUCUUAACAAAAAUGUGAACAAAUUAUUCCAUCAUUCUUGAAGCUGUUUUUCAGAUGCCCCGCGCCUUUUGUGAAACUCGACAUGGAUGACACCCUGCUGUUGCAUGCCAGUUUUUGUAUUUUGUUGAGAUACAUGCGUGAUUUCUUUCUCAGUGAACUCAAUUCGAAGACUCUUAAUAAGCGCAAAGUAAUCAAGCAUUCGACGGUAGGACUGGCAGAGAGUACAAAAUAAACCUGUCUUUAAUUGCGAAAACUUCUUCACAAAUUUGCACUCGAUCCCUCAGAACAAUCGGAAACAACGGCGAUGUUGUUUCCUUCUCGUGGACUUCGGCUUCUACUACUUCUUCUUCUUCGACCAAGUCCAAGCUCCUAGUGAAGCUUUCUUUCCUCCUGAAAAUCUGUUUUGUAUCUUGAUCCCUCGAUUGUGGCGCCAAAGUCAAGCCAACAAGUGCAACGCUCACAUACCUUCGUAUGCAUUCCCGAAUGAGCCAAAAUGAUAGCCUCAAGAGCCAGAUGAGAAUGCACUUUCCUAUCCACAGGACGAAGAUUACUAUCUUAAUCAGCCACACGAGGAUGAGGUAGUAUAUGCCUGACGAAGCUAUCUUUUGUAGAACAACUUGCAGCUUCGACUCCAGAUUGAUCUUCAUCUGGUAGUGACUUCCCGGCUCCAAGAAACCUUGGAAACACAUUAGGUCAGAGAUUCACAGCCACUGAUUGGUCUUUGUGAGCAUCUUCUCUCGUCGCUCUACUGACAGGAGUUCUGAAGUUUUCGAGUGUCGACUUUCUUGUUUUCCAACUGUGAGCAAGUAUGGUACAAUCUUGCCCUGUCUUUUGCGAAUUUUGUGAUGAACUGUUUCUUUUGUCAAACCCUCUCCUAGCCGCCUAGUUUGGUCGCAGUGAGCAAUUUUGAUGGAACCAUCGCCGGGUAUCACCUCCUCUCCCUUCAUGUUUGCGACACUGCAUAAUAGUUGUUUCUACAGUGUUAAAAAGAAUCACGGUCAACUGUUUCAGAAAAUCAGCGCCGAAAUCGCACCACACACAUCCUAUGUUGCAAUUGCAAUUGACAGACGUUUGGGGUACUCUGAUAGAACGCUCAGGUGUCCGUCAAAAGCCCCGAUGCUCUCAUUCUAGCGAAUCAACACAACUCAGCUCUCAAGAUUUCAAGGCUAUGAUUUCGAAGGGUGAUGUGCCAAGCUUUACAAUGUGAUUCCUACAUGAAUCAUUAAUCCUUUUGUCAUUGAAGUGGAGAGACAUGUUCUAAAAGAUCAAACUAAUGCUUCGAAAUACUAUUAGAUCUAAUUCUUACUUUGUCGUUUGGCUGUCAUGCGUACUCUCUCCUUUUACAACUACGAGUCUUUUCCCCAAUUGUGUCGCAUCUUCGCCCCAAAUGACUCAAUUCUGCGCCUCCUGGCCUCAUUGUUACACCUCGGAUGCCUGUCUACGUAUCCAAGUUGAGGUUACUCAAGCUACGAGUUCGGCAUCUGUGAAGCUUGCCACAGAUUUGAAAACUUGAGUGGAGCCGACGUGGGAGGCCAGAUGCUCUGAGUACUGUCAAUUACACCAAGGCUGCUCGAACCAGAGGGAUUCGCUCAAUGGCACUCUACCACGUAUCACAAACUUCUGCGCAGAUGAGAUUCUUCAUUUGCAGCCUUGCGUGAAGGCUAGGUCUGUCAAUCGCAGGGUGGACAUGGUGUACCUGACAAUUGCAAUCGGAGUCACUUCCUAGUCGAGCAGUUCCAGCCGGCCAUGAUGCCUCAAACAGCUUACACAAAAGCCCCGACAACGAAAAAUGAUCACCGCCACUCAGUACAAUCAAUAAUCAUCGAAACCUGACAUCAACAAGGGGCGCCGCGGUAAGGUCUUGGCACCGUCAAUCCUCACCACAGCAAAAUAAAAUGAAAAUACCGCUGCCCAUCCCUCUCUCCGUUGCCAAAACUCGCUGUGGAAAGGGAAUAAAUGAGUGUGACGAUGUAGCGUUGUGGAUUAGAAGCUUCGACAUAGCGACAAUACCUGCUCAUGAAUUCACCAUCGGCAAUGUCAUUGUGCCCCAGAAUAACAGGUAGAUUGUCAACAAUUUUGUUACGAUCUGGCAGGUCUCUGCAAAAGGGCCAUUGAAAUUAGUACUGUUAGUGGCCGAUAAGGAUGAAGACCUUGAUUAAGACCACUUCUCCACGUCUCUGACAGGUAGAAGAACUAUGUAAUAUUCUGAGAAAUGCUUUGUGCAGGAUGGGUGAGCCAUUUAUGUACAGAGUGAGCAAAUUUUGCCGCUCCAUCCAUACUCCUACCGAAAACCCACUUGUUGGGGGAGGGGGGGGGGGUACCAUGUCAAUGUUUUGAUAGACAGUUCUGUACUUUCUUUUAAAUGCCACAUCCACCCACACAAUUGAAUGAAAGCUGGGCCAUGUUAGAAAAUCGCAUCAUACAUACCUGCAAUAAUAUAAUUUAAUAAACAAAUGAACAUCUGUGCUCUUUACAGUGGUGAAGGAGAGUAACAAUCUCAGUGCUGAGCCUCGAAUAUCGGCUUACUGCAGCGCAGAAAUCUGCAAGGUCAUUGGUAGUCUGACCGGCCGUGAAGUACUUGUACGUUCGUGACAAUCAAUCAGGCACUGAAAAGCAUCCCAACCUCGAGCCUAGCAAAAUCACUCUGUGCAUUUAUUUCUUGAUUCUUUUAAAACCUCCCCACAACUCCCAGUUUCAGUGAUUAUUGAAUUACAAGUGGUCUUCCCACCCAUCUUAGCUGGCUGCGUUGAGACCACAUUACUCCAAGAAAAGAUACCUGUAAAUAUCCUUCUAGAAUGUUCUCUUUCUUUCAAAUAUACAUGUGGGUAGAGAUCAGCAGAGUAAAGAACUUGGAAGAGUAUGUGUUAAAUGGGGUUUGAUCUUCCCCUAGUGACUAGAACAAUCCAACCGCAGUACGUACUAGUUUUACGGCCUUGCAAAUUGGCCUGUGCAGUUAAUCAUAAUGCCUCAAGCCGAAUUUCACACUUUGAGGAGAACAACCGGCGAGUAGUGGUGAAAUCAUCAACCCUAGUUUGAACCUUCAGGAGGAAGAACGGAAGGGAAUAAUUUUUGCAGAAAAAUCUACGUGGGUACCAUGCAUAGUAAUAAUUGAGACGAAAGCCGCAGGGUGCCCGCAUUGAUUACAGAAAGAGUAGCAUCUGAACUAGGUCGAUAUAGAUCUGUUCCUAUUCUCUGAUGUGGAAGUCUGUGAAGUUAGAACAAGAGGUGGGUGCCACAGGUCCUUAACGUGAAGCGAAACUCAUUGCUGCACAAAACUAAACAGUGGUGGGUACACCACCCUCCACGUGUGUGAGCAUAAUUGGGCCACAUGGAUGCACCUCGGAGGUAUUUCGACACUGCCCGGGUUGGCACUGAAGCAGCACCGUGGGUUAUAUGCUCCAGAGUCUCUAUUUCAACCAAGCUCCGAAUCCACGCCAAUUGACACAUUCACCUUCACACCUUCACAACUUCACGACUACAAUGACUCUAGUUUUACCUGGCAGAGAUAGACACAAAGCGGGUGCAGUUAAUGUGUACUCGACGAAUUACAGCGGUUGAUGAGCUUAGCUGAUCUCAGCCAUGUCCUUGUAUCACAGCAUUUCUGUGGCCAUAGCCUGGCAGUGAAGCAGUACACUGAAAAAAUUUGUGGUACAACAUUACCAGGGAUCACACCAAGUUCAUGAGAAGCUUGAGGAGGACAGUAUGCUUCCAGUGGUGAGCUCAUGUUGAAGUGCAGGGCCAAGCUCCGAUUUGACAGGCACUUUUUUAUAUCUCUUUUCUACCCGGUCUAGCCAGGUUAUUUUCUUCAGCAAAAAGCAUUGCAUUACCCUUCCAGGAUGAUGAAACACUGCAGCAUGGUCCUGUGUUGUUAAAAAAAAAAAAAAAAAAAAAAAAAAACUGGGCACAUUCGCGAGUAGAUGAUUGGGAAAAACCAGUGGUGCCUACCAUUCUUUGACUGGUAUUAAAGUUGUCCCCUUUUGUUCUGUUUUAACUAUGGAUGUAACAAGUGCACCACUUCUUAAUAAUUAGCUUUCCGGGCUGAUUACUACAAGUUUCUCGUGUGGCUUGGAUUAACUGACGAGCCGAAAUGCGUGUUACAAAGGAUGUAUUCAUGAGAUUGUGCUGAUGUAGUCAUUUAUUUCAAGCAUCCGAAGUGACGGAAAAUGCAGAAGCCACCAAGUGUUAUACAACUGAGUUACUGCCUAACACAAGGGUUUGCAAGGUUGCUCAUGAAUCUCUGUUCUCAACCUACAAGAAUAAAAUCAAUGGGGAGAUGGGUUUCCCAUUUCUGUAGCCGCCUUUACAUGAAGCGAUAUAAACAAAUAUCGGAGGGAAGAAUGGAGGCUUGCAGGAAAAGACUCGCUUCAGUUCUAUCAAAGCUACCAAGGGCUGCCAAAUGAGCACACGAAUGCAUACAUCAUGCUCUGAGUUGUCUCAUGGCCAGUUCCGAAAAUAGUUUUUUUGUGACAUGCAAGCGCAAGCACACCACAAGUCCAGAACAAAGCUCCCCAACUCCAGGGGCCCCAGCUCUCUCACUGAUUGAUGUCGGCUACUUCGUCGCCAUUGUAUGAUGGUUGACUCUCCAACCCCGAGGAAAAAAAUACUAAAAGCUCAUUUUCGUUCGAGCGAUGAGCAACGGGUGGCGUUUCUCCAACCGAUCUUGGUGUAAACGUUGUACUGCUUCGGAAUGGCGACAUUGCUGUGUAUGAUUGAUCAAAUGGGGAGCGACGAAUUGGCUGCAAAAAUAAUUCUGUCGAGCUGCCAAAAAAAAAUACAGGUUCUUAUAGAGUCCUUUCAACAACGUGGGGCUGUGUUAUUUGUGAGGUCAAACUUCUGUCUUUAGCCACAGACAGAGUGGUGGGCAGUCGUAGGUGUUUUUUGAGGUGUCGCUGUUCAUCAAGAUCAAUGUACCUUCUGGCACGUUCGUUUACUUUCACUGCUUUUGUAUGCUGUCCAGAGCUAUGGUGCACAUUGUGUUUAAAGAAAACCUGAUCUUCUGGUUUGCGAUACUGACGCCUUGCAAUUGAGCUGGCUGUGUUUGCUUAAUGCGACCUUCUAAACCUACCCACAUCUCUUUCAGUUCUGCGCUGCAACGAAGAAAACGAUUGAAUAUGUUACCGGAUUGCAAGCUUGAAUUUCGUGGACUUUUGAGCUUACAAUCUGGUAACAUAUUCAAUCUAGCUUCUGCAUGCAUUGGUAAAUUUAAACACGCUACACAACCGUGCCGUAACGAAAGAUUUCAUCCGAUGCAGUCGCACUAAUAACCCAACUACGGGGUAUUUUUUUCGUGUAAGAAAGUACAGAAAGUCACACCUCCAACGCACUGGAAGGUAGUGUGUGAGAGUGAUCUCAAGAAAAGCAAUUCUGUCCUCAAAUCGAAACACACCAACACAAGUCUAAAAUUUCAAGACCGUGCUUUUAUUUACAGAUGUUGUCAUCAUGGGUGGUGUGGCAGGGCAGGCCAAAUUGCUGACCCCACCUCUACUCCAGAUUCCAUCACCCCUCAUCUCAAGCGACGCUUGCUGCUCAAGGAUAAGAACACACAAGUCCAAGUUGGCAAUAGACUUGGUCUACGGCUAUGGCUGGCAAAAUUAUACGGCGACCUUGCAACCUAGAUCUCGCAAUACAUAUGGUAGUGUUAAUCCCUGGUACACAAGUUAGUGCACAGCAUGUGUUGUGUGAUUCAGAAAGCCCAUGUUCACAGACUAUAACUAAUCCACUUUAUCCUACUAUUACCUAAUACCACAUGAAGUCCGUCAUAGGAUCGUGAUAAUCGCGGUGAGUAACGUCCAAGUUUCAAGCGAAGAAGCCGAAGAGGUCUUGAUAACCCCUUGGUGCACUUGAUCCUGCUCCGAAUCUCUCGGUGUCUCGGUAAGACGUCGAGGAGUAGGACGAGGAAGAGUGUGCAUCUCCAUACGAAGCAUACUGAGUCGGCUCCGGAGUAGCAGCAUAAGAGGUGGACGUCGACUCAUAGCUCGGUCUCUCGUAUGCGGAGGCUGUCACUGAGGUAUCAGGAGCAUAGGAUGGUGUGUAAGAAUAGCUGUCAUGAGUAGAAUCGCAUGAGUAGGAGCCAUACGAGGAGCCGUUGUUGGAUUGAUCAUCCUGGGAAGACUCAUAGGAAGGUCUGGAAUACGAAGAGUAGGAUAUUUGGUAUUUCUGCUCAGGAUAAGAGGUAGAGAACGAGGGCUCGUACGAGCUUUGACUGUAUGCCGGUGUCCGAUACGCAUCCUCGAACGGGGAUGGCAUGUAUGUGGACACACGGUUGGAAGUCUCGUAGGAUGAGGAGCUGUAGGGGUUGCGAGACGUGGGAUUGUAUGAGGAAUUGUGGGAUGAAUUGUACGAAGAGUUGGAGUAGUCGGAAGAAUUCGGUGAGGAAUGUGAAGCUCUGUAAGCUGGGUCACUGAAUGGAACGUAGGAAGAAUCUACCCUCCGGGUGUUGAAAGGAUCGUCGAAGUAAGCAGCCCUUGGGACGUAGGGAAACGUGACAUAGGCGCUUGCUUUCUCCUCCUUUACCACUACAUGGGCAUCCUCACCGAGUGCGUCUGAUUUGGCUUCAGGGGCUGCUGAUGCAGCUGGUGGAGCUGCCUCUUCCGGCUCUGGAGCGGCUGGCUGUUCGGCUGGCUGUUCCGCGGGCUUCUCCUCUGCAGGUGGGGAAUCAGCUGCUUCUGGAGGAGGAGAGGGAGUCUCAACGACAACAGGGGGUGGGGCCAGCUCCACUGGGGCUGGUGGAGGCUCUGUAGCCAGGCGGGUCUUCCGCUCUUCUGAUAGCCACUCUGCAAACCUGAAAAAGAUUCAACAUUGAUGAGAUCAUGACAUUCUACCUUCCUAAUUUAUUUAAACGAUCUGCAGAUAUUUCUGAAUUUGCGAGGCUUACAACAUGUCAUGUGAAAUUUCUCGAGAACCAAGAAAGUAAAUACCUGUAAAGAGCUUCCCGGUUAGUCCCACCACAAGGAAUGGAGUGGAGUUUCCCAGUUUGGAAGUUCCGCACAGUUACUGGCUCAUCCAGAAGGUGCUUCGCCGUAGCCAUUAGCUUCCACAGAUUGGAUUCCGAUGAAUCGUCCACAGAUGCAAGAGGCCCGUUCAAGUUGUCUGUCUGCAUGGUUCAUCAAAUGUUAUUCCCCCAUCUUAACAGAAAUGCUUCUCCUUCACAAGCCGCUGGCUCAUCGAUGCAAAACAAACGAAUACACGCAACAGCCAUAGAUUGUUCACUGCAUUCUGUGCUUCAUAUUGUCAUCUCGCACCAUAAAAAGAAAAAGAUAUAAUCUGGUUCUCAGGACAAGGAACUACCUGAAUUCGAAGGUAAUUGGAUGCGCAUUGUUGUGACUGAAACAUGAUUGAGAGGUUGUAGUCCACCAUAUCUGCACUGGCAUUGAACACCAUAUCAACCAAAGGUGCCUCGCCUUUGUUUGCCAACCAGUCUACAAUUCCCCACUUUGCCACAUCCCUUGCGUCGUAGCCCAUUGUAUGUUGUCCUGUACCAAGCGAGAGGACCAGGAUAUCGUUGUAGCUCUGCACACAUUCCCCCACGCAAUAAGUGCUCUAGAACAACAUUUCUUUGUGGCUCGAUUCUCACAACUCGACUCAAAAGCGUAGCAGAGAACUGAUCAAAAGAAUGUCAAGCGAGUGUAAUACCGAAUUAUCCACUCUUUCUGCCAGAGCCCCGCCGGCUUGCGAUUCCUUGAUUGCUUGCGUAAUCGCGACAUAUGUCUGCUCCAGAAAAAACAAAUGAACUAAUAAAUUAUGCGAAGUUAUGAAGAAUGCGAAAAUGACAAACAGGCAUAAUACAGGACUUCUGGCAGCAAAAUGUCAGAUUGAGGAGACCAACACAACAUCUUGCAAUCGACAUUUCUCGUGUGGGAUGAAAUGAGACAAAAUAAGAUCAAGCGCACCGGAUUGUUCACAACAACACCGCCAUCUAUCAAGUUGAACUCUCGUGUUUCGUUGGGCUCCCUGGAGGUAUCAGUCAGAGUGAAAUGGAUUGGUGGGAAGUAUGUCGGCGAUGCAGACGAAGCUCGGCAAACAGCUUUAAUGGGAGGAUUCUCAAGAGGAUCUCUUUGCGCCUAUUCACAAACAAACCCACAUUCUAAUUACACUUUGAGUAAACCCUAGUUAUCAUCGUGACGACCAAAGCUGUUUGACCUGGAAUUGCAGAAUACGGAGCUUCGUACUUCAGCUUUCAUUGCUUCGUAUCCUGCAAGUGCAAUUUGCAUGCACUGCGAUUGAGAGAGUUUACCUGCCAGGACGAGAAGAAGAUCGGUUGUUGCAGUUUCGUAUCGAAGGCCGGGAUAAUGAUGGACGUCAGCGCUCGGUCAAGAAGAGGAUCGCUCUCAAAAUACUGGUCUAAUAAGCGCUGCAAUCCUCGUGGUUUAUACUUGGGCCCGUUCAAGGCCAUGAAGUGCCUCCGUGUCUGCCCAAACGGGCCUCUGCGGAUACAGCCAGAGCAGCAGGUUAAGUUACUUAACAUUCAUCCCCGGUGGACACAAAAGAAUCUGAAUCUUGACGUUGUUGGAAGAAGUUGAUUAAUAGUUUCGAUCGAGUGAUACAUACUUGCCCUGAGGGAAGAUCUUGUUUGCGUGCUUUUGGUAGAACUGCACGACUUCUCGGGCUGUGAACAAAGGUCGGUUUGAGCCCUCGGCGCUUGGGGACGAAAUCAUGGAGGUAAUGAGUCCACCAGUGCUGGUUCCAGCUAUGAUGUCGAAGUAGUCGGCCAGGCGCGCUUCUGGCCCAUCCAAUCUCUGGUUUUGAAACGGAGGACAACAUAUUUUGUGAGAAGACGUGGUGCACAAUGUAUCCAAUGUUCUCACUUGCAUCAGCGAUUUCUAGUUUGCAACCUCUCCCUCCAGCUUCCUUGUGCGAGCAUUUCACAUGAACGAGAAGUUAAUCUCAUGUUCUCGAAUGAGAUUACUAUUGGAGAGGGCCUCAUCGUUCCAAAACCGGCCCCUUCGGACACACACUGAUACACCCCGCGCCGCACCUUACCUUGUCGACCCGGCCCGGACGGCAUCGUGAACGGCGGUAGGCCUAUGAUCUAGAGCAGAUUUGUACACAAUCUCAAAGUAGAAACUAGCUGCACUCAUUACCCACUUGAUAUCGAUGAGUAAGCUUCGUCUAGUUGGAAUACCGCGGUGAGAAAUCUAACGACUACAUUGCCAUCUUCUGAGCCGCUGGAAAGAGGUAGCGACGCUGAUGAAAUGCAAGUCUGUCUCAGCUACGCUCUACAAUCGCUAUACAAUCCUUCCAAAUUUGGGUCCUGAGUUUUAUGUGACAAUUCGUCAUGGCUAGGCUUCUCAUGCAUCAUGAAGGCGAAUUGUUACAUGCCUUCAUUGCAGCCUACCCACCUCAAAUGAGAACCACUCUAAGGUGUUAACCGUUACGUUGCAAUAUCACAAGGGUACUGGUAGCUUGCCGAAGUGACGAGGAAUGAAUUGUAAGAGACGAUUCUACUGAAACCCUGAGAGCUUCACGACAUUGUCUUCGAUUAUAAGCGUCUCAAUUCCUUAAGCAGACUGCAAAGCUUGCAAAACAAUCCGUCCAAGCCGAGACCAACACAAGAGUACCCACCUGAAGCUUGCCCUCAAGCUCGGCCAGGAUGGUGGCCGGGAUAAGUCCCCGCACUCCCCCUCCAUCCACGCUCAGUAUAGUCACCCGCUUCCCAACCUGGCCCGUAGGCCUCUGCGUCAUGAACCCAGGCAUAACUGCUGCAAGACCUCAGCUCCGCACAAACUCACACCCUCUCUCUCUCUCUCUCUCUCUCUCUCUCCAGCAAGCCCUCUUGCAGAUCCAGCUCAAUUAACCCCCCAGGACACUGAACUGAACGCUCUAUCCAGCACCGCAGGAGCGAGUAUUUGAGGCCGGAGUGGUGGACGACAACCAGUCCUCGCUUUUCACCCGAUCAUAGGCGCACCCACCUUCAAAGCCGCAAUUACAAAGGUUGGUCUAAUCCUCAAUUACCGAAGCUGCCGAUCCACAGUACUGCACUUCGACGCACAUCGUGCAACAGGAAGCUGCGUCGGAGGCGAAUAUUUCAACCACCAGUGGACGGUCUUUCACAAACUAGUUACCCUUCAAUAAUGAGCCGUGGCGGGUUGCGAGCAUGAGGGAGACUCUCCCUUUGAGACAAGAUCCCAUGCACCUGAUCCACGACCCUCCUCCAUUGAUCGUCUGUUUAACUAGCCAAAGGCUACUCAGCCAUUUGCGUCUUUAGCUACCCCGAAUGCUUCGUAACAGCCAACCAUUAAUCAACAUUUUGUGAAUGUAAUUGAGCUUGUUUAGCAACUGGGUUGCUAUUAGAUUGGGACUGAGCAUGAGGUGACCUUAAUCCAACAGAUUCUAUGAGGACGUUAGUGCCGAUGAGUGCAUAUGUUUGCCACGGCAAAACGAUAGAGCAUGGGACACGGCGAGGAUAGUUCGUUUUGUGAGAUGUUUUAAUGGGAACCCACUUGGUCUUAUAGCGAAGUUGUAUGGGUGCCGUUUCAGUUGCACUCUAGAAGUAAUCUAGAAAGCAAAGACUGUGUCACAAUUAUUGUUGUCAUGUAAGAUUCCAAGAUGUUCCAACCACCAAAAUGCCAACAGUAAAUCAGGUAUCAUUCCCCCCUCCUAGCAGAACUAUUACUCUAGCUAUUGUACAGUGUUGCACAGAUAAUGACAUUGUGCAUAGUCAAUGUCUGCAAUAAUAGAAAAGAGUAUGAUUUGGAAAACUGGUAUGAAAAAGCUUUAAUCAGUGAGAUUACUUUCAAGGAGCAGGUCCAAGAAUUAUUAACUAUUGUAAGGCCCAGUUCUUCCUUGACUCGGGGUUCCCGACAAUAAUUAAUCCGUUCUGAAAUUAGUACUUCCAAAAUCAUUAUUAGUAUUAUAUAUAUACCUUAAUCUAACACAUUUUCUCUCAGAGGACCUCAAGGGCUGAGUUUCCUAGGUCUCUCGAUGAGACAUAUUGAAUGCGGAGCGCUCGAAGUACGCAGGCUGCAAGGGUCGAGGGUUCGAAACCUGGAAGGGGAUUCUAAACCUGAUAGGUGGACUUCAAGGGCCGAACAAAUUUGACCUUUCCGAAGAGACAGAAUCUGGACAAGGAACCGGUCUUCAUGGUAUCAAGUUGCAAGACCGUUUUGGAAAGUCAUUUUAAACCGUCUAUCUUACAUAAAUGCAGGAACUUACACAUACCAUAAUUGAAAGGCCAAGUCCAGGAUGUGCACCAAGUCACAAGCCUCCAAAUAAAACCAAGACAACACAGGAUACUCAUCCACUCUCCUACCCAAAUUGACAUAAGCACUGAAUGUGGGCACAUCUGUUUUAAUCCCAGUGCUACUCUAACAUUCCCCAGGAUUACAACCCUCUCCCAUGAAAAGUGAGCCAAAAGGUAGAACAACAAAGAAUAAUGCAACCACAACCACUGCACCACUGUAAGUGUGCCCACUCAAGGCUAAAAUACAUGAGCACAUUCUGAACAGAGAGGCACUCAAGGAAAGAGAGGAAUAUGAAGCAGAAAAGCAUAUCAGGGACUGUAGCUGCUGCUGACAUUGAAUCACACCAGGGCUGAGGUGGUCCCAAGGGCAUGUUGGCCCCCACAUGAAGAGCCCUAAGUGCUGGCUUGCUUGUUUGUUUGUUUGUUUCCUUGCUUGUUUGGCAUACACUAGUUGUUGUUGUAGCAAUACCAGUACCAGUAGUAGUACUUGGGUUGGGGGUGGGGAGGGGGGAUCCAGUAUGGGAUUUUGGGAUGGCUGGCAGCAAGAACAGCAGAGCACCACAAGGGUGGUGGCACAGCCAUGUGGAAAAAGAGAUGAAAAAAACAGACACCCUCUCUCUCAGAAAACAGACCCACAUACAUACAGACACACAAACAGACACCAAUGUAUCCAUCCCUCUGCCUGUUAUUGUGCUGCAGCAGUGGAAGAGUGAGUGAGUGAGUGCAUUGAGAGUGGGAGACCAUUGCUGCCAGUGCUGGGAUAUCCAGGUGAUGGAUGGAUGGGUGGAGUUUAGCCUUUUGAACGGAAAUCCUGCAGUAUUAUUCUAUUGUUUGCAUCCCUCAAUUUCAUGCAAAUGUUGGUUUAUCCACUCAUCUCUAUCUCUAUCUCUUCCUGUGUCUAUUGUGGGGCAUGUUGGUGAUGGUGGGUUGGUACCUCCCCAUGUGUUGUGUUGUGUUGUGUUGGGCAUCCCCUGCAAACUGUCAGUCAUUUCUGGAAUGACUGUGAAUGUACCCACCACCAUACACGUUCAGAUGGGCUUUUAUCACAUCAGGACAUCAGGACUCUCCAGGUUGUAGGAGUUGUACCACCACCACUCUCUUUCAUUGUAUUGCCUGCAGGACUGUCUCUCUCUCUCUCUUUCUCUUCAUUUCAAUUUCAUACAGAUUUAUGUAUAUAUAUAUUUGUGUGUGUUGUUUAAGAGAGGAGAUAGGGUUGUGUAUGCAGUCAUUGUGAAGGAGAUUAGGAAAAGGGUGAAAUGGUUUGCAACAUUGUUAGCCCAUGAUCUGAUUGCAAAAGUGGUUGCACCAAGGAGGUUGACUAGUUAAAUUUAAGAUGUGAAGUUUCCACAUUUGCAAAAUGAACAAUUAGUAAAAAGAUUAAUGUCCCACUGUUUCAAAUAAAUUUAAAAGAAUUAAACAAAUAAAACAAACAAACAAACAAACAGACAUAGCAAGGGUAAGCUUUCACUCUCACUCUCAUCAAUGAAAUAGAACCUAAUGCCUCUCCUACUUGGCUCCUCUUGAUCAUUCAGAUCCCAAGCUAACCCACACAAUACUUCUGCUCUGGUGAAUCUGAUCACAAAAAGUGGUACACAACCCAAUCAUUUUUUUCAAUAUAUGUAUAUAUACACAUCAUAUUUUUUAGUAUAGUGUAUGAAAUAAUUGGAGAUCUCCCAAAUGAAACAAAUGAGUUAGGAUAAAGGAAAGGGAGAGGAAGGCAUGGUUUUGCACUCUCUUCAUUGAAAGGCCUAUUCAUUGUGACCGCUAACUGUGCCACCCAAUGAGCAUGAGGGACAUAGAGAGACAUGGCACAAUCAUAUAAAGAUGUGCAAUCCACACUAUGAGUCCUUGACUCUCUCUCUCUCUCUCUUUAUAUAUAUAUAUAUAUAUAUAUAGAAAAAGAAAAGAAGGGGGUUAAUUACAAUAGAAAAAACUUGCCACUGCAUUGAGAAGUAAAAGCGAAUAAAGAGAAGAGCAUGUAUUAUUUGCUUCAACAUCAUUCCAUUGCCUUAUAAGAAGAAGAAGCAUAAGUUAAUCAUGUUGAAAGCUAGAAUAAGAUAUUGCAAAAUUGUAUUUGACAAAGCUUGUUGUGAUCUAAGCUUGAAGAGAACUUUUGGUUUUGAAUUGUGGAGUGAUCAAACAGUCUACAUUCAUGUCCCAUUCAUGGCAUUCUUUUUUGACAGUCAGCCAAAUAGAGGCUGAUUUUGAUGCCUGCUGACUAUUUUGAUUUAAUGUCUUCCUUUGUUUGUUGAUUUUGAUGGCUUGACAACUUUAGCACCUUGCCCUUUUUUAGAUUUUUUUAGGUUUUAUUAAAUUUAUUAUUCUUUUAGGUUUUACAAAUUUCAUGUCACAUCUAAUUUAUAAGCUUUUUUCCACUAAUUUUUUCUGGUUGUUCAUAGAGUUAUCCAACGCCAUUGUUGUAAAAGAUAAAAUCUCCAUAAAACUCACAAGAAAAUAUCAUAUGUAUAAAAUUAAAUAUAUAAUGUACAGUAAUGUGACUGAAGAAGAAAAGAAUUUCAUGCCAUUUAUUUAUUAUUGACUCAUCAUACAUAAGCCGCCAAAAAUAGAAAAUGUGUUUCUUACAUUGAAUAAUCUCAAAGGAUAUUAUAUUGAUUUAAAAAUUAAUGACUACAAAUUUUAAGUUUGUGCAGUUUAUACAUUAACAAUAAUAAAUCAUAGUUGAAAACAUAAUGAUUUUUUCAUUCCAUAUUGGUUAUGUAAUGCUAAAUAAUAGUUUUGUCAAGGUAUGAAGACUUUUGAGCAUCAAGACUUUGAACACAAAUAUGAACUUUUAAUAUUUUAAUAUUUUAAUAUUAUUAUAUGAUUUUAACAAGUUAAUUUAAUUUAAUUUAAUGUGUUAAAUGUAUGUAUGUGUAUGUAUGUGUAUGUAUAUAUAUAUAUAUAUAUAAACAAAAUCUAUAAUAUAUAGGUUGAUAAUGAAAGGGUUUCUUUAUGUCUUUAUUUUAUACUUGAAUUAUUUUAUAUAUUAGAUGUAUUUGGGGUAUGAUUCCAUCCUCAAUUCCAUCCCAAAUUCCAUGUGUCACAAAAUCUUUGUUGUUGACCCAAAGAUAAUGAGAAAGAUGGAAAAGAAGAAGCAUAAAAAGAUGGUCGUAGAUUGCAUGAAUGAAUGGUGACUCAAGUCAAGUCAAGUCAAGGAGAGUAAAAUUAUUCUUUGGUUUUGGUGUUGGGGCUUGUGUCCCCCUUGUUUGCACUAUGUCCAAACUCCACCGUCCCAAUAAUUCCCCUUGUUUCUUUUCCUAAAUAAUAACUAAUUCAUUUUUUAUUUUUAUUAUUUUAUUCUCUUGUUGCUAAACACUCAAAUCCACAAAGAAAGAGAUAGGCACAAACAACAAAUGAAACUGAAUGAACGAAAUGAAUGAAUGAAUGUACAAGGAAGAAGCACUCUCACAAGAUUUUUGCACCUUGGAUGAAUGAAAACAUGGAUGCAGUUUAAGGUGGAUGAAUGAUCCUGAAGGGUGCCUCCACCAUCAGCAGCUGAACCCAAUUCCAAAGCCGGGUGGAAUCUCCUCCUUCAAAUUCUCUUUUAAAAAAUGAAACAAAAAGAAUGCAAACCCUAAAAUUGUAAAGAAGAGAUCAAUGGGGCCCUUGGCAAAGAUUUUACAUGAAAUCAACCAAUAUUCCAUGGGCCUGGGGAUCUCAUAUGCCACACAUGAUGUUGCUCCCAAAGACCUUUCUCUACUUCUCUUUUUCAUUUUUCAUCUUUUUUGUUUAUUUAUUUAUUCUUAUUUUUUUGAGAGGGUGGUGCUAUUCACUUGAGGCUUCCAAUGCCUCCAUUUCCAAGAGUUAAAAUCCCAAUUUCAAUGCCCCCACAUAAACAUACACACACCCAAAAGGAAUGAAUAAACAAAGCAUUCAAUGUUCCCAAUCAUUGGUUGGAAGAAACAAAGGAAGGUGGAGCUCCUUUUCCAAUAAUAACAAUAAUAAUGGGGAUGAGUUGGUGCUAUUUUGAAUGCAUGCAUGCAUUAUGUUGAGCUCAUUUGUAGCCAUGCACACGUUGAUGGGAAAAAAUAAAAAAUGAAGUAAUAAGAUGAUAAAGGUUUAGGUGAAAGCAAAAAAGAGAAGAAGUCAAUAGAACCGUAGAUAAGUUGUAUCUUAUUUUGUUUUGUUUUUUUAUUUAAGGGAAGUUGCUCCUUGCAUUUGCCAAUUAAAUGUUUACUUUCAAGACAUUAAUUCAUUCACAACGGCAUAUAUAUAUAUAUAUAUAUAUAUAUAUAUCAUUUUAUCUCUAUACAUUCCAAAUGCAAAAAAGAGAUCUAUAUGAUAUAAAAAUGAGUCAAUUAGUUCAAAUUUUAAAAUAUUUUAGAACCUGAAAACUGAUUUUUUAAAAAUAAUUCAAUAAUACUUAUUAACCAGUGAAAAUGUAACUUCUAUACUAAGAUUCAGGAUUUAAGAUUUAAAAAUAAAUUUUUUGACUAACUUCAAUGUUUUUAAUAAACAUUGUAUUUUUUUUCUUUUUUCUUUUUUCUUUUUACUUUCUCAUGUAUAAAUAUAAGAAGCUAAAGUAUCUAUAAUUACAGAUUUUAAAAUACUACCUUUCUUCUUUUUUGAAACUAUAGUUAGAAAUUUUAUAUAUUUCAUAGACUAUAUAUAUAUAUAUAUAUAUAUAUAUAUAAUUUUAAUAUAAUAAAGAGCCAAUACGUCUGAUGAAAUAAAAGAUAUCAGUUUCUUGAAUAACAUUAAAUCUUUAAAACUUGCAAAGUACAUACUAUAUAUUUUUAAAUAACAUAAUAUGGAUUCAAGUAAAUUUGACAUACCCAUAAAUAUACACUAAUCUUAAUAAGAUCGAUAAACAUAAGCAUCUUGAUUUUUUUCUAUUGAUGUAUUGCUGAAAGAUUAAAAACAUAGCUCUCACCUAGUCCACUCUAUUCAAUUAGUUAUUUUUUUAAUUUUUCUUAGACCAUAAAAUAUAUCCAUAUAAGAAUAAUUGAAAUUAUUAGUAGACAUGAUUUGUGUAAUAACUAAUUAUAAAGUAAAAUCAAGACCUGAAAAUAUAUUACUUAACUUAAAGUAAUUGAGCAAAUGAAUAUGCUUGAUCCAAAAAAUUAAAUUUAUUCAACUAAUGGUGAUCGUAAAAAAUCUUUAUAGUUAGCUUCCCUAAUGCAUAAUAAUUAACGCAAACUCAAAAAAAUAUAAACAUUCUCUUCAUAAAUAAAAAAAAGAAAACUGAAUUUUUUUUCAAUAUUUUCAUGAUUCUUUUUUAGUUUAUUUACUGCAAAAAUUUAAUACAUACAUAUGGAUAUAGAAAAAGUUAUAAAGUGAUUCAAACAAAAAAAUUCUCUUUAUAUUGCAACUUAUGCACUUAAUAUUUUGAUAACACACACACACACACACACACACACAUAUAUAUAUAUAUAUAUAUAUAAGCAAGUUUAUAAUUUGCGUGUGGAUUGUGAUGGUCAAAGAUGCAUUGUGGAAUAGGUAUAUUGUGAUAAUGAUGCGUUCAAGACAUAUAUGCUUCCUUUGAUAUGGUACUUCUAUGCAACACCACCAAGCUUACAGCUUAUAAACCAAUGCUCUUUGUUUUAUUUAUUCAAGUAAUAAACAAAACAUAGUUUUGCCUAGACAGAAUGCUUGUGAAACUUGACAAACUAGCUUGCCCUUUUUACGACACUAAUUGCUGAAUAUCCAAAUUCCAAAAAGAAAACAAGAAAAAAGUGAGUGUGUUCCUACAAGGGUGCUUAUAAAUACCUAAAUUUUUUUAAAUUAUUGCAUCUAUUCUAAAUUUGUAAUGGUACUACAACUAAUUAUUAGUAGUUUCUACUAUUGCAUGUUUUUUCAAUCUUCUUAUUGUAUUGACAUCCUUUAAUGUUGUGGCUUUUGCAAAAAAUCGCAUUGACAAAGUCAAAUCAGCAUUUGUAGUUUAUUAAUUUGAUGAAUUGAUAAAUACUGUUUUUAUAAAAAGUAGUUCAAUAACAAUAAGUAAAUAAGAAUAGUUCAAAUAUUUAUAUAUGUGUGUACUUAAAAAAGUUAUACUUUAAAAAAAUAAUUUUGAUUAUGAUAAUGACUUCUUAUUUAUUAGAUGUAUGAUGUAGAAUAAAAACUUAUUUAUAUUUCUUCAAAUCAAUUAAUAUUAAAAUAUAAAAUAAUAAAUUUAAUAUAUAGAUUAUUCUUAAAAAAUUGAAAAUAUAGAUUCUUUGGCAUAAUUACAACCUGAAUGUUAUAUAAUCAAUCUAUUGCUUCUACUUCUAAUUUCAUUCAACUUUUAAAAAGAAGAUAUCAUAUUAUUAUAUAGUACAACUUUACGUAAGAAAUAUAUUCUUGUAAAUGUUUAAUUUACUAUUGAAAAUUUCGGAAUAAAGUAUAUUAUUCUUUGACAUCAGAAAAUAUAUUUUAAAAACAUUUUACUGUAAUUAUCACAUCAAAAAAUUAUUGUGUAGAAAAAUUUAUAUCCAGUCAUUUUUUAAUUCUCAAAUAUAUGAUAAUAUAUAUAGAUGUUAAUUGAAUAUUUUUAAUUUUAAAAAUUAUUAAAAAUUCAUGGUAUACUUUUAAUUACAUGAAUUUUAGCCAAUAAUUAAGUGUUAUUAAAGAGAUUCUCUUAAACAAUAAGGUUACAAUCUAUGGAGUGAUAGAGCAAUAGUGGAUGCAUGAUAAUGUGGAUAUGUUUUGUGCUUUAGUACUAUAGAUAGAAUAUUACAAGAUUAUUUGUCAAUUUAAUAUUACCCAUGUGAAUAUUGUAACAAAGAUUGAUUACGUGUUUAUGAUGUCAUGGAAAAAAUCUCAUUUCUACUGUUUUCCACUGAAACUUCCACGAGAUAAAUUUUAUCCAACUCUGAUAUAUAUAUAUAUAUAUAUAUAUAUAGAAUAAAAUAGAAAAUCUAUUCAUGUCUAAUAAAUACAUAUAUAAAAUAAAAUAAGAAAACAAUUAUCCAUCUCUAGUAUAUAUAUAUAUAUAUAAUUUAUAUAUAUAUAUAUAUAAAAAUUAUAUAAAAUUAAUUUUCAAAAUUACAAUAAUUUAUGAAGAAUCUCAAAUAAAUAUAAAUAUUUUUAUGGUGUAAAAAAUAUAAACUAAAUUUUAUUUAGAGAUAUAAUUAAUUAAAAGUAUACCAUGAAUUUAAUACACAAUCUAAGAAUCUCUCCACAAGAAACUCUUUUCAACUUGCUUCACCACACAGUCAAUUUAUUCACAUCCAUACUAUGCACACACUUCAAUGUUUAUUUAUUUUUAUUUUUAUUAUAAUUCUUACAUGCACUAUGAUUCAGAUCACCACUAAACUACUCUAUUUUUAUCUUUUCACUAAUUUCUUUGCCUUUGUAGCUGCAUCUGUCACUUUCUAAGUUUCUCUUCUUAAUUUUCUUUGCCACACAUGUUUGUGCUGAUUUUGUUCCUUGUUCCUUCAUAAUAUCACACAAUCACAGAUUUUUCUCACACUUACAAUUUUCUGAAACCACAAAUGACAUUGUACUCUUGAUUUUUAUAACAUGAACUUACAACACUUAGAGUAUCAUAUUUCAUCUCACAAAUCCAUCACCAGAUUGGAUUAAGAAUCAAUUAUUUGUACAAGAUGAGAAAAAAUAAUGUCAAUGGUUACAAGGAUGUUUAAAUUUAACAAAAAAUAACUAGUUUCUAUAGUUUAAUAUAUAUAUAUAUAUAUAUAUAUCUAUAUCUAUUGAUGAAAUAAUCAAAUAUUUUUUAAAAAAAUAAUAAGAUAUAUAAAUAAUUUAUAAACACUAAUAUAUCAAUUUAUAGUUGUUUCUUUUAUUUUUGCUACAAAACUUCUGAAAAAAUUAAUAAAUUAAUGUAAAUUUUAAAUUUUAAGUUACUCUUAAUUACUUCUUAUAAGCAGUAAUGAAUGUGAAGAUAUUGAUAAGAAUAAAAUGUUAAAAAUAAAUAUAUGCUUACAAACAAUCAAGCUUCUCACUAAAAGAUAUUCCAUCUUAAAAUCAUAAGUAUCAAUCAUAUUUAAGAUUAACUAAUGAAAUAUAAAAUUUCUUUCAUGUAUAAUCUUAGAAUUUAUUUAUUUAAAAAAUUACUAUAUAUAUAUAUAUAUACACACAUAUAUAUACGGAAUUGUUGAAUUGAUCCAAGGCAUUUACAAAAUCAACCCACCUAUCAUCAUUUUUUCAUUGGAUUUCAAUCAAUGUGGAUCCAACAAUGGAGAUUUUUUUUGAUGAUGAUUAGGAUGGGUAGGUCGAUUUAAUGAAUGCCUAGGUCAACUUAAAAAUUCCCUAUAUAAAUAUAUAUAAAUAUAUUAUAUAUAUUUAUAUUUUUUUUCUGGACCAAUGUACAUCAUAUGUUCUUAUUUUUUUCAUUAAAUAUAUAUAUUUUUUUCCUUCUUGAUACUUUUUUCAUAAUAGAUAUAUUUAUAUAUAUACAUAUAUAUAUUUUCUGUAAAUUGUGGGGCUGAUUCAAUAAAGUGCGCAAACUAAAUGGCUGAGGUUGAUGGGACUUGCACAAAUUCCGGGGGUUCGUAUUGCGAAUGAAAAACGAUGCGCUAAGUUCAUCCCUUCGAUGAAUUCCGGGUCGCUGAGUCCAAACCAGUCGCAGAGUAAACGCAUUUUGUUGUAUUUGUUUUUUUUUUAUUUGAUUUUUUUGUAUUUGGGGUUGGGCAGCAAACGUCGGUAGUAGAAGAAAUCGAUUGUGUCGAGAAAUCCUUUUUUCAAUCGCGAAUUGAAGAAUUGCCAGCCCUCAAUUUCUUCGUCUUCUCGGGAAUUCGGAUUGGAUUUUGUGCUUGUCAGUUUUGUAGUUUCCUCGAUUUCUUCAGUCGCCGGUAGUUUGUGCUCUGGAGCUACAAGAGUGUGUGUUAGGGUUUUUCGUCAUCAGGAAUCGAGGAUUCUUGCUGUGGAGCUGGAGGAUUCCUCGCUGCAGUAGCUUGAGUGAUGUAGGAUUGAUGUGUUCUCGACCUCAUCCGGUCUCUUUUACUGGUGAAGCUUUGUUAGGUUUUUUAGAAUAAGAGCACACUUGAAUCUGCGAUUUUUAAUAAUUUGAACGAUGAGGAGGAGGCCAGGGAUUUCAGGGCUGCAAGGGGCGGUUGCAGCGCGAGAUCAAUACCGAUCAUUGGGGGACAAUGUUGCAAAGGUGCGCCAAGACCUCAUGAAGGAGCAGUUAGAAACGUUCCGGCAUCAGCUUGAAGAGUUCGCGUCUAAGCACAAGAAUGACAUCACGAAAAAUCCUGCCUUCAGGGCGCAAUUCCAUACAAUGUGCGCCAAGUGUGGGGUGGAUCCUCUUGCGUCGAACAAAGGAUUUUGGGCUGAGCUUUUAGGAAUUGGUGAUUUUUACUACGAGUUAGGGGUGCAGAUUGUCGACAUCUGCCUCGCCACCAGGUAUCUGUCUCUCUUAGAUGUUGUUUACCUUCUUGAGAUAUCGAGUCGUGUGAUUCGGAUCACCAAUUUCAGAGUUACUCACGUUCUCUCAUUAAUGAAAGAAUGAUUGGAUAUGUUGAGUGGCUACUCUACAUGAAACUGUGGCUGUUCGAAAUCUUCAUUGUCUGCAGCUGGAAAACCAGGUGGAGUGCAUUUGCUAAUGCCGUUGAAUUUUAUAUCUAGCUGAUUUAGGUGACAACUUAUUCUACAGAUUAGGAUGAUGGUAAUCAUGGUCCUACAAUUGUUCGAAAAUGUUGUUCAGACCUCGAAAUGGUGGCCUCAUCGACAUUGAGGAGCUUCGUUCAUCGCUUUCAAAACGACGUCGCUCUGUGUUAAUUACUGAGGACGAUUGCCUACGUGCAAUUGGAAAGUUGAAGAAGUUGGGAGGAGGGUACGAGGUAUUCAGCGUUGGACGUCGCAAGCUCGUACGAUCGGUUCCCAUGGAACUGAACAGGGACCAUAACCUAAUUCUUCAGAUCGCACAACCUCGUGGGCAUGUGACAGUCGAAGAGGUAGAGAGAGAGCUUUCAUGGCGCAGUGGACGAGCAAUUGAUGCACUUGAGAACCUUCUGAAGGAAGGCUUGGCAAUGAUAGAUGACGGAGAUCCUGAUGGCAAGCGUCAUUACUGGUUCCCUUGUGUUGGUCCUUCUGAACUGGAGACAGAAUCUGGUGGCAACAUGUAGACAUUAAUAAAUGUAUUUCCACUCUUUAUAUGCUGAUUUUCAAUUUUCUUGGAUAAGUGAAUGUUCUAAAGCAUGUUUGCUUGAUGUUUUGCUGUUGCAAAGAACUAUGUGAUGUACAUCGCAUCGCACAUACAGAUAUGGUUGAGUAUUCAGUUGCUGAAACGGUUUGAAUUUCACGAGGUAUUCAAUGAAAACAUGAAAUGCGUGAGUACAUAAUUUAGCAUGUUAUAUUUUCAAAUGCUGUGCAAUUGAUAAAAGUCAAGGUGGUUGUAGCUUAAAAAUUGAAUGAAACUUUUGUUUACACGCAUGUUAUGUCAAUUAUGGACAAUGCAUGAACAGAAACUAGGUGAAGUUAAAUGAAUUAUCUUCACAUGCAUGGUGUACUUAAGCUUCCUAGCUAGGUUUAGAAGCAGUUUUAGCAUCAGUAAAUCUUCCAACUACUCCAUAUAAACACUACCAAACACUGUUCAACAACUAUAACCACCUGUGUUGCUAAGCUUCACCCAAAUCUACGUUUUAACUUUUGCAUGCAAUGAUACACAACCAAACAGUACAAGCCACAAAGAUUCCUAGCACUAUACCACAACCUAAGAUUCACAUGCCUGUUUUGUGUCUCUGCUUGUAAUGCAUCUGUGAGAUGACCUAAACACUACAAGCUUCGCAUCAUAUCGCCUUCCAGCUCGACCACCUUAACAACACUUUACACUAUUCUUUGUACAAUUCCAGUUACAUGCCUACAAUGUAAUACCUUUUCAACAAGAAAAGGAAUUUAGCUAUUGACCCCUGGAUAAACUGGUGCAGAAGAAACAGGCAUCUUCUGCUGUUCGUUGACACCGUCUGCAUUACAAAUCCAAUGAAACAAAUUAGCACAACUAUGAACUAAAAUUAACUUAGCUCUCUUUGUUAAGUCACCUUUGUUGUCUUCCAACAGCAUUUCUCCUGUCAAAGGAUUUGACAAAAACCUUACCUCCGUAAUUUUGAUAAACGCCAGCAGCUGGCUGCUCAUGAUCAGACCGAGGAGUGACAGCGUUCGGUCUCCCAAAAUCUGAAUGUGCCGGGAAUGUGUGUUGCAAAUGUUCUCCAGUUUCUUUGGGGGCGGCAGCGAAGAGGGAGCUCGCAGCACCCCUGACACGAUCAACAAUAGGGAUGCUCUGAUAAUUCCUAGGUGAAUUCGUCUUGUUACCUCCAUUCACGAGACCUAGGACUGGCAAGAUCUUCUCCUUAAAGGUGCCGGGCAAUGUGCUCAACGUCUGGGUCACCUGUUCAGACAGUUCCUUGUCAUGGUGCGUCGGAGUGGUAUGAGCUGCAAGUCGGUCUUUCGCGAAAGCUGCACGAUCUGCAGCAGUGGAGGAGUACUCCCGAGUUUUUUGACUCGCCGUAUUCAUGUAGAUUUUAGCCUUCUGUGUGAGGGGAGGAGCGUUCGGAUCCCUGGGCUUGUCAAGGCCCAGAGUUGCCUUGCUCUUAUUCAGAAGUGUCACUGCGUUAGGAUCUCUAGGUUUGUCAAAUCCGAGUGCCGACUUCGCUUUAGUCAGCACAGAGGGUGCGUUCGGGUCAGUGGGUUUGUCCAAUCCUAAAGCCAUCUUCGUCUUUUGCAUGAUUCCGGGCGCGUUAGGGUCCCUCGGUAUAAGAUCUUCUUCCCUGUAGUAUCCCAGUUUAUCUCCGACCACAGCAGCGGCGCCAGCGACACUUUCCGUCAUUUUCUCGAGUAUCCCCUUAUUUGCACGAUUUGGAAGGCUGGAGGAGUCCGCAGUGGCACUAGGGCGGGAGACAUCGUUGUACCCUUUUUGUGUGCUCUACACAGCAAAUAUUACAGAAAAAUCAAUUUCACAAUACGAAGCAUAUGGUAAUUGCAUCCCUCACUUCACUUCAUCGCAUGUCAGCUAGAAGAUAUGGUCUAUGUUGUGUAUACCUCGACCAUUGAGUCAGGAUAUGACAAUGGCGGGGAGUAUUUUGCUUGAGGUUGGGAACUGAGAUCACUUCGAUAAGAGAUAUCACGAGGAGACUUUUCGUUGACACCCAAAUUCUUCAAUUUAUCGACUGUGGUCGGGGCCAAGUUAGAUCUUGGCGAGUCAGUCGGUGGAGCCAAGUUCGAUCUUGGGAUAUCAGUUGAUAACGGAGCUGGUCGCGUGGGAGGUACCCCUGGAACAUAGUUUCGUGUUUCGGCGUUAUGCAAAGGAUUGUUAUGCAAAGGCUUCAAAUGUCCAGUUGAUGGAGUCAUAUUCGAACUUGGGGUAUCAGUUGAUACCGAAGCUGGUCGCGUAGUGGUGGCCAUCGGAACAUGAUUUCGACUUUUGGCAUCAUAUUCUGAAGGGUUGUUAUGUACAGGUAUCCCGUAUCCAGUAGAAUCAGGGUACGACGACCUUGUGUCAUGGUCCCGGUUUUGCGAUGCGUUGAUAUUUGGAUCUGAUGAUGCAGGAUUGGUUCUCAAUGUGCUGAAGGGUGUGGAUUCACCAACGUUGUACCUUGUCUCGGGACCGGGACCCUGCUACCAGCAAUGCAAACGCGACGUCAAGCACAACAAGUGAAUGUCACCACAGAACCUCAAGUCAACAUUGAGAGACAUCUAGUUUCGAAAGAUCACCAUGCGAUGCGAACAACCUCAAAUGCAAGAAUUCAACUACAAGCUUUGUAACAAAAUGCUUACCCUGGGAGAGUUGUGCGGAGAAUCAUCGUACUCGGAGCUAUUCUCCUCAUACCCAUGCUCAUCGCCGCCGUCUCGCUUCUUCAAUCCCGGCAAUCGAUUCUUAAUGCUCUUCACCUUACUCCCCAAAUGUUGAUUGGUAACUCUUGCCUUGAUUUUCGACGUCAAGGACCUUCCUCCUCCGCUCUCCCCCUGAGCGGGAUCUGCAGUGACAAUCCAUUCCGUGACAACAAGCACACCCACACACUCAGUCACACAAUCACCAUUGCCGCAAACAAACCAUGACAACCACUAACCCCACACUCUCAAUCCACUGCCACCUCAUUCAACUCCUACCCAACACUCUCAAACCCAAGGAUCAGCCUCAGAACGCAUCGCUCACAUUUGCAACAUCAACAAUCGAAAGCACACCAACACUGUCAGCGGGAAAGAAACAAAACAAACGACACAAUGGCGAAGCGUACCCAUCGUAUGGCAACUGUAGAGAAGAAUCCAAACACACUCUCUCACUUUGAAAGUCUCGGAUAACAGGAAUCUAAAAAGCUCUCUGUCGACGCAACAAAUGCUGGAUCUCACUCAAUUGCAAUAUAACCUCCCUGAGCGGGAUCGUGAACUUUAACACGGCAAACUGAAUAUUCAACAUCAAGAGCGAGAGAGUGCGUCUCCAUCCGCAACCGGUGGUAGAAGAAGGUGACGAAGCCUUUUGAGAAUGGCCAAGUGGCAGGCGCCCCGCUGACUUAGCUUGCCACAUGUCGAUCACUUUCUUCACCGUCCUCCUUAUUAUCAGUCCGACGUCCGUCUGUGCCCACCCAACUUCGUCCGCCGGCAACUUCGUCCCAUUGACGAUCGACCACGUUUCGCUCUAGUACGUUCGUCAUUGACUAAUUCGCAAGCUGAUGAUCUGAGGGUUUCGAUGCACACGUAUUAGCCUAUCAGUCUCUCCGAAAAUAUUUAAUGCAUGGUAGUGCUUUAGUAUGUGUGGAUUUUUGGGUAUCAUGCAUGCUUUGGAUUUGGUCUUGUAAAGUGGUUUGUUGUCAACAUGUGGGACUGUCUUAAGGAUUUGAAAACACAUAAAUUUCAUUUGAUUUUGUUUGCAUGUACCUUUUGUUGAUAGUGUAAAAUUUUCUACCUUGAAUGGAAAUAUAUGGUUUUGAUCAAAAUAAAUAACUCAUUGUUAUUUGUAUCUUUGCUAGAAACAUUAAAUACCUUCUUUUCUAGAGAUAUUUUUAGAAAUAUAUAAUUAAGAAUUUUAAAGCCUAAGAUUAUAUAUGUAUAUAUAUAUAUAUAUAUAUAUAUAUAUUCUUUUAUUAUUUCUUAAAUUCAAUCAAUUAUUUAUUUACUGUUUCAAGUAAAAAAAUAGUUAGUUUUUGUCUUUGUCUUUGUAAAUCAUAUUAACAUUCUAAAAAAAUGUAUUUAAUAAAUAUUCAAUUUCAGUAUUACAAGUAAAUUAGAAAACAUCUUAGAAUAGACCUACUUGAAUAAGAAUAAGAUGAUAGUAUAAGUUUGUAAAAUAAGCACAUGUAAAAAAAUGUGAGUUGGUGCAUGAAUGUGAGUUGUUUGUAUUUUAAGAAUUGUGCCUAUGAAAAAGUAAUGUGUUAAUAUUUAAAAAUUGACAAUUUUGAAAAAAAAUUAUAGAAUACAUUAUAAAAUCAUUUAUUAGAAUUGAAUAAUAAUAAUAAAAAUUAAAUAAAAAAGACAUAAAAACAUAAAAAUGGACUGAAGUGAUAUAAAAGAUAUGGAGAGAAUAGAUGGUACAAAGUGCAAGAAUGAAUAUUAAUUAUCAUUACUUUAAAAAUCAAAUAUAUAUAAUUUUUUGAAAAUAUAAUUAUGUACUAAUUGAUUCUAUGAAAAAAUGAUAAGAAAAUUUGAUUGGUUAAGUAUUCCAAAUUUUAAUAAUAAAUAAAUAAAUAAAUAAAUCAAUAAAUAAAAACUCUUAAACUUUUUAAGUAUGAAAUAUAAUAAAAAUAUUAACUAUUUCAAAUACAAAUCAUACAUAAAUUUAAAUAUUUUUUAAGUUAACUUAUUUAAGAAAUAUUCUGUUUUAAAAUAAAUAAUAUUCUAAAAUUAAAAUCCAUUCUUUAAAUCUAAUGUGAUAUCUUAGAGAAUUAAUAACUUAAAAUUUACAUAGAAUAAUAUAGAAAGGACAUUUUUCUUCUUUUCUAUCUUUAUGAUUAAGUGGCACCUUUAAAGGUAGCUUUCUAGCACUACCAAAGAUUAGUCACAUAUCUAAAAACAAAUUUUUUUCUUAUAGAAAUGGUAUUUUAUAAUCUUUUUGAAGGUUUCAACAACUUUAUUAAUUCUUAAAGACAAUAAAUCUUAAUAAUUGGAUCUUGUAAACUUGUAGUUUUUUUGGCUUUUCAACUCUUCUAUUAAAAAUCUUGCAAUUUAAUUUUAUUAAAGUAUUCUUAUAAGAAUACAUUAAAGAAUAAUUUGGAAUCAAAGUCUAUUUUGUGGUUCUAUGUAGGUCUUGUAAUAUCACUAAUAAUAAAUUAGUAUAUUUUAAUUUUUUUUUAUCUUUAAAAGUUUCAAAACAAAGUUGUAAUGAUGUCAAUUUUUUUAGUUGCUAUAAUUUAUAAAAUCUUAAUAGCAAAUAUAAUAUACAAAUUUCUUUCAACAUUGAUUUUAAAGAAUAUAAGCACUUGUAUCAAAUUUGAGGUGGUUAUAUCAAAUAUCCACCUCUUAUAUCAAAAGAUAUUUAUAAUUUGUUUUUGCAAUACAAGGAAUCAAGUAUGCGGCAAGUAUUUUAAUCCACAAUUUUUCUUUGUUGCUUUCAUUCUAUUCUUCAAUGGUAUAUACUAUACUAUAAUUGCCCAUUUUAUAUACCUUAAAAAUUUUAUCUCAUCUUUGGCAUAAUAAUUAGUCUUGAAUGCAUUUGUAGUCAGGUCUAAUAUGAUACAAAGCUCAAAGUUUUGCAUGCAAUAAACUUGGCUUUGUGAAGUACAUGGUGAUAGGUGACGGAGCUUUAGUAAUCUUCAGAAUCAUUGAAAUUUGAUGCUUUUAUGAGACUUGGAUCUUGAUUUUUUAUCAUGGACAUCCAUAUUUAUAUUAAUAAUUGUCUAAAUAAUAUAAAUAGGUAGAAGUGGAUUAAAAUAAGUAAAUUUAAUAAUAUCUUAUAAAAAAACUUCAUAGAAGCUUCAUAAACAUGGCUUUGACUUUAUACAUAUUUGUAGUUGAUUGAUAGUUUAGAAACUUAACCAAUAAGUUAGCAACAUAUUAUACAUGUUAGUAGCUUAUGGUAUAAGCUACUAUGUGGUGCACAUAUAGAAAAUUUGCCUUGCAAGUUGAGAUAUGUAUCUUAUAAGUUAGAUACAUGUUGAAGGUCCUAUAGAACCUUGCUUUGUAAUGCCUAGUUAGAUAGUAAAUAUGGAGGCAAGAAUGAAGCCUUUUUCAUUCUUAUGAAUGCCUUUCUAUUCUUUAGACUUGUUUCAAGAUUUUUUUUUUUUUUUUUUUUUUUUUUUUUAAACCUUUUUGUCUUUAUUAAUAGCUAUUUUAAAUUAAUAUUAUAUUAUUUUAAAGUAAUUUUUUAAUCUUGUCAAAUAACAUAAGGCUGUAUUGAUCUUUUAGUCCUCUGAGAUUUAUAUUCUUGAUAUUUUGAUAAGAAUACUAACUCAUUGUUUUUGAUUUGUUUUUAUAAAUGAGUGGAUUACCUCACUUCUAUUGUUUUAUUUUGAAGAUUGUAGAUUAUCUAUCUUUAAACUAAUAUCUUAGUUUUUUAAUACUAUUUUUUUUUUUUUUUAAAGAGAGUGGACUAUCUCUCUUUGUGGAAAUUUUCUUUAGAUAUUAGAAGUUAUAGAUUAUUCUCCUCUGAUUUGACUUGUGAAUUUAUUUGAAUUGCCUAUAGAAAGAAAAAUUAUAGAUGCUACUCUUAUUAGAAGUAAGAAUGGAUUUGCAACUAUUGCAUAUCUUUACAAAUUUGUUAACAUUCUUAGAGUCAAAAUUUUACAUAUUUCUAAUAUAAACCAUAGAAUUAUUAUUUUUAUGCCUAUAGAGAAAGUCAAUAAUGAUAUUUAGAUUCUAUGCCAAAAAGUUAUGCAAUUAAGAAUAGCGAGUAUAUCAAGUUUACAAUUGAAUGCAAAAAGUCUUGGUUCUACAAUUAUGAGGGAUGUAAGAUAAAGUAUGUCAAAGAAUUUUAAUGGAAUAAGAUCAAAGUUUUAAGGAUUUCUUAUCAAAGAUAUUAAUCUUGAAGAAUUUAUGAUAUAAUAUUAAAUUAGAAUGGCUAAACUUGAAGAAUAAAGAUGAUAUAAUAUUAAACUGAAAUGGGUAUUGCGAAAGACAAGAAGAUUAGAAAGAAUUAAAACAAGAUUAAAGAUUAAAAAGGUAUUGACAAGAAUGAAGAAGGCUUCAUUCUUGCCUCCAUAUAUAUUCUUUAACUAAAAGCUACAUAGUAAUAUUCUAUAGGACCUCCAAGAAGUAUCUCACUUAUAGGAUAUAUGAUUUAACUUACAAGGUAAGUUAUCUACAUAUGUGCGACAUAGUUAUCUUUUUCUACAAGCUUUUAAUAUGUAUGCCAUGUGAUUAACUUGUUGACUAAGUUUCUAGCCUAUUAAUUAAUUAUAAAUAUAUAUAAAAUCAAAGUAGUGCCUAUGAAGCUUUUAAGAAGAUUCUUUAAAAAAUAUUAUAAAAUAAAUCUAUUUUUAUCUACUUCUAUUUAAUCAUAUAAAUAAUUAUUAAAAUAAAUAUGUAUGCCAGUGCCAUUAUCUCUCUUUUGAAAAACGAAUUCCACAAAGAGCAGUCAUUAUAUAUUAAAAAUAUCUAAAAUGUGACAAAUUGUAUUUGCAACAUACCUUAAUCAUUGUUUUUUUUAAAGAUGGUUGAUAGGUUUUUUUAGCCAUUGAUAGUGUCUCAUAUCAAGGCGGAAAGACCAUCCUAUUAUUUGAUUUUUGUUUAGGCCUUCAUAACUCCUUUCAAAUAAAACAUUUAAAACAUUGUCAAGAGUCCAUUCUACCACUAAUAAAAUCACCAAAUAUCAAAAAUCUCUUCCAAAGUUGUGAUAUCAAACAUAUUGUAUCUUAUCAUCUAUUCAAGAAAAGAUAUGUUGUUCUUGAGGAUCUUCAUCUUAAUUAUGUUAUCUAAAAGAUUGUGACAGUUGCAAUAUUUCAUCCAAUAACUCAAUAAAUGAUAAUUCUUGAGUUGAAUUUGUUGGUUGUUGAUUUUCUAUCUCUUUAAUAAUUCAAAUACACAAAAGGAACAAAGAAGAUAGAAUGCUUUUCUUGUAUCUUAUUUCUUUUAUAGAAAAGAUUUUCAAUUCUUCAUCUUGAUUUUGAUAGAUGUUGUUGAUGAAAAACUAAAUCUUCUUUGCUGCAUUUGCAAGAUUCUUUAUUAGCUUCCAUGUGCAUUCACUAAUAUCAUAUUCAUGUCAAUGAAUAAGAUAUUCCAAUCUAUUUUUUCAUCUUUGGCAUACAAUCUCGUAUCUCUAAAUUUUUGUAAUACACGACAAACAUGAAAUUCAUGUUUUUUGGUGUUUUUAGAAUAGAUUAGAAUGUGGUCUAAAUAAUAGACAAUAAAAUCAUCAAGAUAUUUACAAAUUUUUUUAUUUAUAAGAUUUUGAAAAGUAGCUAGUACGUUUAAGCGUCCAAAAGGCAUGACAUUAUAUUUGAAACGUCUAUACGUAGUUUGAAAAACAAUCUUCUAUUUAUCUUUUUUUUUAAUGCAGACCAAGUUGUAUGCUUAUUGUAGAUCCAUUUUUGUGUAGAUCUUUGCUUGAUUGAAUUAUUCAAGAAGUACUAAAAUCAAAAGUUAGAAGAUACCUAUUCUUGACGGUGAUUUUGUUAAGUCCUUGAUAAUCUAUGCACAUCUACAAAGUUCUAUUUUUUUCUUUAUAAAUAAGAUAGGAGCUCCAACUAGAGAUUUCAAAUGGCAUAUGAAGUUCUUAGCUAAAUUUUUGUCAAUAUAUUUUUUCAUAUAGCUAAUUCAUUUUGCAAUAAGUUGUGGAUUAAUUUGAAUGGUGGUUGAGCUCCUUCUUGUAAAUUAAUUGUACAAUCAUAGAGUUGGUACUUUGAAAGAAUAUCUAUAUUUUUCUUUUCAAAAAUAUCUUAAAAAUCUUAAUACUGGCUAAAAAUACUACUUGAUAUCUUUCCACCAUCAAAAAUAGGUUUGGCAUAUAUAGCAAAAGAUGAUCCUUCUUUUGCGGCAUGCAAGAAAGCUCUCAUUGAUACUAAUAAAGAUUUGGAUUUGUAAGCAUUAUAUAUUUUUACUUGACUAAAAAGAUUUUGGAUUAAACUACCAAAAAAGUUAAGAUUACAAGAAAUCUAAUCUAUUUGAAGAUUAUAUUUUUCUAACCAUGAUAAUCCUAAAGUAAUCGGAUUAAAAAAAGAUCUUAUUAUGUUUAAUAUUACUAUGCUAUUAUGAUCUUUAAUUUCUACAUCUAAAGGAAUAAUUUCAUAGGUAAUAUUUCCAAUAGACAAAAAAUAACCAUCUAUGUCUUCUAUAUCUACAGAUUUAAGUUUUUUGAUUAAAAAUAUUUCUUGUUUUUUGACAAAAUUGUUAUCUAUGAAAGAAGUUGAGGCUUUUGAAUCUAAUAAUAUAAUAACUUUGUAAUUUUUAGAUCUUAAACAUAUAUCUAUUGUAAAACAAGGUGAGAGAUUUGAAGAGAAAAUAGGACCUUUAUUAGGUGUUAUAUAUGAUUUGAACCACAAGAUCCUUAAUGUAGCAUAAAAAACUCAUUUUUUGACACAUUGUUUUUUUUGGCAAUCAUGCUCUUUAUUUUGUGAUUGCAUUGCUUCUUUGGACAAUAUUGAGCAAUGUACUUAGCUUCUCUAUAAUAUAAGCACAAACCCUCUUGACAACUUUGAGUCUUUUCUUCUGCAUGAGAGGAUUAAAAUGUACCAUAAUAAUUUAUAUUGAUUCUGGCUUUGAUAAAUAAGUUUUUAAAAACUUAAGAUCUGUAAUUUUUAUGUAGUAAUACAAAUGUAUAGUUAAAAAUAAAAAUAUGGAUGCUAUUAUAGAAGAGCCCAGUAGAAAGUUGUAGUAGAAAAAUAAGGAUAAAAGAUAGAAAAGUAAUAAAAGAUUGUCUUAAUAUUUCUUUUUUAUAGAAGAGACAUCUAUUUACUUUAUAGAAGCAUAAAUGAGCCAAAUCAAAGUAAAUGAGGUAAGAAAUUGAUAUAGACAUAUAUAAGAGAGAGUUAACAAUAAGAUAAAAUAAAAAUUACCUCAAAUUACUAAAAAUUAAUACUUAGAGAGGAUCAGUUGUCAACUUGGAUCAAAAUCAUACCUUGAGGCAUAAAACUACAGUCAUACGGCUACUUUAGAGUUCUUUAGUAGAUUAGAGAGUGAAAUUUUAGAAAAAACUUAAAGAAAGUUUUUUGGACAUUGAUAUAAUUUCAAUUCAAUCAAUGUUGAAUUUUUGAGGAAUUUUUAAAGUUGAAGAAGUUCUUCGUUGGUUUAGAUUUUGAAAAAUAAAUAUAUGUUUAUAAAUUUGAGGAUUUCUUGAGUUUAGUAGUGUGUAUAUAGAUAAUUUUUGGGCAGUAUGUUGGUGAUCUAGUUAUGAAUGUUUUUGCAAAUUUUGAAGUCAAUCAAAUGAUUAAAUCGAAGUUUGAAGAUUUUUGUACAUUGAAAUUUCAGAAAUUGGAGUUUGAAGAUUAAUGAAUAUUUCUAAGAUGUUUAGCAAUCUAUUAAUUGGAUUUAAGUAUUUUUUUUUAUUUAUAGAUAUUAGACUUAAAUUGCAAUAUUUCAGGUAAAAUUUGGAAGCAUUCAAUAGUUCAAUAAGGAGAUAUUAGCAUUGGAAGUUCAGCAUUCAAGUUAGAAUAAGAGGCUCCCAACACUUGAUUGAAUUAUCUUGUAUUUCUUUCAAUUGGUAAGUAUAAUUGAUUUCAUCUUUCUUGUGCUUGUUCCUAAUUAUAUUAUUAAGAGUAUAUAAUUUUGAGUUGAUAUCAACAACUUGAUCAUUAGUUGUUGAGGUUCUAUUUUUUUGUAGGAAUUGAUUUAGAGUUUGUAUAUGGUUCAGACAAGGCUUAGAAAUUGGUCUAAGAUUUGAUUAGGAUUAGGAUUUUCUUGAGAUUUGAUUAGAAUUAGGAUUUUUUUGAGAUUUGGUUUAAAACUUGAUUAAAAAUUAAUUAGGAUUUAUACAAAAUUUAUCUAGAAUUUAAGAUAUUAUUAGGAUUUUUUUAGGAUUUGACCAAAGAUUUGAUUAAGUUUCAAUUAGGAUUUUAAUUAAGGUUUGAUUUAGAAAUUGAUUAAGAUUCAAUUAUGAUUUUUAUUUAUAGUAUUUAUUUAUGGUUUUUAUUAUUUCUUUAAAAUUUUCUAUUUUUAAUAUUUUAAAAAGAUUAUUAUUAUUACUUUAAAGGUUUAUUAUUAUAUUUCUUUAAAAUUUUUUAUUAUUUUUUUGAAAUUAGUUUAGGAUUUUUUGUAUUUCUUUUAUAUCUUCUUUUAAAUUUAUUUUUAGUUGGUCAAAAUUAAAUUAGAUUUAUUAAGGUUUACUUAAAUUUUAUUCAAGUUUUUAUUAGAUUUAAUAGGAGUGUUAUUACAUUUCUACUUACCUUCUACACUUAGGUGCCCAAUGCAUUCUCAAGCAAGAAUAGACGUAAUAUGAUACUAUUGUUGUAUUAUAAUUGUUUGUAGUAUAUAAAAAUUAAUUAAAACAUAUAAUAUAUUUAUAAAUUUUGAUGUAUAUUAGAGUGGUUAGAAGGUUAAUUUAAAAAGAAUUGAUAUAAGAAAAUUUAUUUUAAAUUUUACAUAUUUUGAUUAUAAUAUUUAAAUUAUAUAGGAUUUAAAUAUUUAAUAUAAAAUUUGAAGAGAAGAUUGAAGCUCAAAGAUGAAGAUCCAAACCUCUAAAGAACUUAUUUAGAUGGAUGAAAGCAAGAUAUGGAUGGAUGAAGGUAAGUGAUGAAGUUCUUCAUCUCUAUUAGUCGAAAGCCAUGCCUAAUAGGCUCUUAGGAGGUUGUCUACAACCAUAAUAAGGAUUUUGGUGACUUCAAAAGAAACUUUUGAAAAUUAAAAUCAAGGAUUGUAAAUUUUUGGAUUUGAACUAUAAUUUGUGUACAAAGUUUAAAGGAUUUGGAGUUAGAGUGAUAAAAUUAUAGCCGUUUGAAGUUAACUAACUUUUUAAGAUAUACUAUUAAUCUUUUGAAAAUACAAGGAGUUAUAAAAUACCUUUUAGAAAUCAAAUAGUGCAAUUAAAAUCAUGAUUUGAAGAAUUAUGUCUUUUGUGAAAGAAUUUUUGCAUUUGAAAUUUUUAUAAAGGAGUUAUAGAACAUUGAAGAUAAUAUAUAUAAUUCAAAGGUAGUAAGUGAGCCAUUUAAUUGAUAGUAAUGGUUCGAAUCAUAUCUUGAGUUUUUACACAAAUUUUUGACUCAAAAUUUUAAAAAAAAUAUGAUAUUAUGUUAAAAAUCUAUAUAUCAUAAUUUUAUGGUAUUUAACUACUUAAUUUGUGAGAUAUUAAGAAAAUUACAAAUAUGUGUAUAUAAACAAGGAUUUGAAGGUAUUGUUAGGAUUUUGGAAAUAUUUCAAAAUUUGUAAUGAAUUUAUAGAUGAAAUUUGUUAUGAUAGUUGUUGAAAGUAUAUUAGUAUUGCAUAUAAAAUUUUGGUUUAUUUAGACAAUCUAAUUAUGAGAUAUGAGCUAUUGAAGUUUACAAAGAUUUCAUAUUAUGGAUAUAUAUAAGGUUUUAGAAUGUUUUUAUUAUAUUUUAGGUGAUCUUUGGUACUUAGGACUUAUGUAUUGAUGUAAUUGCUGCUAUAGAAAUAAUUUUACAUAUAAACUUGGUAUUUGUUUUUUUAAUCUUAUGACUUGGUUAUAUAAUUAGUGUCAGUCAUAAGCCCAAUGCUUUCUUAAGGAAAAUUCUCUCUAUCCCAACACCCUCAUUACUUAACUUGUUUGUCUUUAGUUGAAUCUUUGUUCUUGAUGACUUUCAAAUAAAUGAUUGUCAUGUACAAUGGCUUGAAAAAUAAAUAUUUUAAAAUUUUUGCUUCCGGCACUAUCAAUAAUAAAUCUUUGAUAUUAUCCUUCAAUCCAAAUCAAAAUUAAUUGAUAAAGGCUUUAUCAUUCUAAUUUAAAUUUCAAGCAAGGUUUUAUAAUUCAACAACAUAUAUAGUAGUUAAUUAUAAUUCUUAUUAUAAAGAUAAGAUUUUGAUCUUUAUUACUCUUUUUUUAUCACUUUCUCCAAAUGUGGCUAUAAAUACUUAUAGAAAUGAAUUCAAAUCACAAAGAAGUUGUGAAUUUUUUUCCAUCAAAGAUACAAAGUAAGAAAGAACACUUAAAGAUAGAAGUGUGCUUAUGAAUCCAACUUGAGUAAAUCCAUCAAGGCAUUAUAAGGAAUGCAAUCUUAGAUAUGACUUGGCUUAUUGUAAAAAUCUUUGAAAUUUUGAUCUUAUUCUAUUAAACUUCUUAGGCAUACUAAACUUUAUUUCCAUCAUAUUUGUAGAAGCAAAACUUCUUAAAUCUGAUUGUAAGGUCGAUCUACUUGUUUAUUUUAAAUACACAACUUCUUGAUGUAGACUUUGAAGUUCAUCUACAGGCAUAGGAUUAAUAUUUUUGUGGUUGGUAUUGGAGAUGCAUGAAAUUUCUACCCUAAAAGUGUUGAUAAGUUUGUAAAGAUUUGUAAUAGUUACAAAUCUAUUUUCACUUCUACCAAGUGUAGCAUCCAUGAUUUUUUUUUAUUUAUUUAUUUCAAACAACUUGAUAAAUCCAUAAGUUAAAUUAAAAGACGAUAAUUUGUAAUCUCUAAUAUCAAAUGAAAAUUUCCACAAAAAAAGAUAAUCUACUCUCUUUAAGGAAAAAAUUAGUGUUAGAAAACUAAAUAGUUUGAUUAAAGGUGGAUAAUUUGCAACCUUCAAAUUACAAUAAUAGAAGUGAAAUAGUCCAUUAACUUUUAAAAUAAGACAAGAAUAAUAAAUUAGCAUUCUUAUCAAACUACCAACGACAUAAAUCUUAAAGAAUUGAAAGAUCAAAGUACUUUUGUAUUAUUCAAAAAGACUAGAUAAUUACUUAAAGAUAAUAUAAUAUUAAACUAGAAUAGCUAUUGCCAAAGACAAAAAGAUUUGAAAGUCUUAAAACAAGACUAAAGUUUAGAAAGGUAUUGAUAAAUAUGAAGAAGGCUUUACUCUCACCUCCAUACAAGCUCUAAUUAGGAGCUAUAUAGUGAUAUUCUAUAGGACCUCCAAUACAUGUUAACUUUGAUAAAUACAUGACUUAACUUACAAGGCAAGUUAUCUAUAUGUGUACCAUAUAAUUAACUGAUUCCAUAAGCUAUUAAUACAUGUAUCACAUGAAUAACUUAUUAAUAAAGUUUUUAGUCUAUCAAUUAACUAAAAAUACGUGAAAAGUCAAAAUAGCAUUUAUGAAGCUUCUAAAAAGGUUUUCUAAAAGAUAUAAUAAAAUAAAUUUAUUUUUACCUACUUCUACUUAAUCAUAUAGAUAAUUAUUGGAAUAAAUAUAUAUGUUUGUGACGUUUCUACAAUAAGUGAAGUUCUACAUAAGAUUGCAUCCUUUCUAAUAUUUUGAUAAAUUUAUUCAAGUUGGAUUCAUAGGUAUAUUUCUAUCUAGGAGUAUUCUUCUUUAGUUUGCACUUAAUGGAAAAUAAUUUAUAAUCCUUUUAUGAUCUGAAUUCAUUCUUAAAAGUCUUUACGACCACAUUUGGAAAAAGUAAUUGAAAAAAAAUAGUAGAUACCAAAUUGUUAUCUUUACAAUAAGUAUUAUAUCCAACUACUAUAUAUGUUGCAAAAUUCCAAAAUCUUUCUUGUAAUAUAGAUUAGAAUAACAAAGGCUUUAUCAAUAAAUUUUAAUAAGAAUUGAAAGAUAAUGUCAAAUUUAUUAUUGACAAUGUUGAGAGCAAAUUCAUUGAAAAAAUUUAGUACUUAAGCUAUUAUAUGCAACAAACUCUUUAAAAGACACUAAAAGUAAAGAUUUGAUUGAAGAUGUAUAAGUUAAGUCAAAGUAAUAACUUUUAAGUUUUUAAAACCUUUGUAAAUUAAUAUGGUUGAAACCUAUGUAAAUUAAUAUGGUACAUUUUAAGAUUCUUAUAGGAUUUAAAAAAAAAAUCAAAAUCAUCAAAAAGGAUUAUACUUAUAAUGUAAAGAAACUAAGCAUACUACUUUACACUAUCCAAAAAAAGCAACAUAAUUAUAAAUUAAAGGAUAAAAUUACUAAAAAAGAUAAUGUAUUAAAAAAUAAGUUUCUUUAGUUACAAUAUGAAUCAUGUGGUUGAAAUCUUGCAUAACAGCUAAUAAAGGUCAUAUUCUCUUCUUAGAUUUUUUUACCUUCUUUUAUAAUAGAAGUUUAUUUAGGACCAAAAAAUCACAAAAUCUUUUUUUUGUUAGAUUUGGAAGCUUCAAUUUAUUUUAUAGACAAAGCCUUUGUUAAAAAAUAAGAAAUAUCUUUAAUUAAGAUUAAUAAAUCCAUGCAUGUAAAAAUCAAAGAUGGUAAUUUUUUAUCCUUUGAAGAUAUUAUCUAUAAAAUUAUUUUUUAAAAUAUAUCAAUUAAAGAUUAUAAUAGCUUAAUAAUAUUUAAUAUGAUUAAUUUUUUUCUAAUUCAAUUAUUUUAGGAUUAUUGUGGCUAUAGAAGUAUAAUCCUCAAAUAGACUAAAUUUUUUUUUAACCUUGAUUUUUUUCAUAGUUUAGUCCAAUUUUUUUUUAUUCAAGUAGAAAUUCAUAAAUUUAAUACAUCCAAAUAUUUAUUGGUAAGUGAAAGAGCUUUCAUAUGUGCUACAAAAAAAAGGUCGAAUUUUUCUAUAUACACUACACUUAUUUUUGAUAGAAAAAAGAUUUCAAGUGGCAUUCCAAAUUGACUUCUUAAGAUAAAUUAUUUCAAAUGAUGGCUUUAUGAUAGAUCCUAAGAAAGUUUAGACUAUUAUGGAUUAAAAGAUUUCAAUAAUAGUCAAAGAUGUGCAAUAUUUUCUGAAAUUUGUUAAUUAUCACUAAAUCUUUAUCAAGAAAUUUUUUCUAAUUGUAACUCCUCUUAUACAUUUGACCUAUAAAGACAAACUUAGAUAGAGUAAAGAAGUUGAAGCAUCUUAUAAAUCCUUGAAUAUAACAUUUAUUUUUGCACCAAUCUUUUAUUAUGUUGAAUUUUUUAAGGUAUUUUUUUUUUAUAUAAAAAUAGAUGCAUUAGACUUUACUUAAGAUGAUAUAUUGUUACAAAUGAGAGCAGAUGACAAACUCCACCGAGUAGCUUUCUAUUCCAAAUUUUUUUAGUAGCCUAGAUCAACUAUCAGAUUCACAAUAAAGAAAUUUUUGUAAUUGUAGAUUAAUUUCAAAAAUAGCAUCAUUAAUUAGAAGAUGCUUCUAGUUUAAUUAUUAUCACAUGUAAAGAAACAAUCAAGCUUUUUUUAGACAAUAUCUAUUGCUAUUAUGGAUUGUUAAAUGAUAUUAUAUUAGAUAAAGGGAUUCAAUUUGUAUUAAGAUUUUAAAGAAUCUUUUUAAAGAUUCUAAAAGUAGAUAUAAAGCUAUCUUUGGCUUUUAAACUUUAAAUUGCUAUAUAAAUAAAGUACAUAAACUAAGUCUUGAAGUAAUAUUUGAGGUGUACCAUCAAGAUAAUUAGGCAAAAAUUUUAUUAUUAUCAAAUUUUACUUAUAAUAAUACAAUAUAUUUUUUUAUAUAAUAUUUUUUUUUUCUAUUUAUGAUUAUCAUCCAUAACUCGAUAUUUUUGAUUUUUUAAAAAUUGAUAAUCCUAUAAUAGAAGUUUUGAAAAAUUAUUUAUUUGAGCUAUGUAUAAGAAUGAAGAUAUAAUUAAAAGAAGCUCAAGAAUAACAAAAGACCAAUGCAAAUACAAAGAACAACCUCAAUUCUACAUUAGCAAGAAGGUAUGGUUAUUUCAAUAUAAUAUCAAAAUUUCUAAGAUUUCUUGCACUCUAUUAGUUGAAUUAGAAUAAAAGUUAUGUAUGUAGGUAGUAGACUUAUUUUUCUAUGUACAUGAGAAAUUUGAGACCAACUUAAUAAUACAAAGGAGAGAUAUUAGCACUAGAAGAUCAACAUUAAGGUUGGAAAAGGAAGCCAGCCAACAUCGAAGCAGAUUUUAGGAUUUUUCUUUUAUUUGGUAAAUGAAAUUGUUCUCAAAUUUUUUGUAUUUGUUUAUUACUAAGAGAUUGAGAGGUGUGUAAAAUUUUAAAUAAGAUCAAAAGUUUAAUCUAAAGAUAUUGAGGUUCUAAACUACCUUAGGAUUUGACUUAGGGUUUAGGAUUUGGUUUAUGAUUUAGAAUAUUGAUAAGAUUUGUUUAGGAUUUAGAUUAAGAUUUAAGAUUUGAUUAGGAUUUGAUUUAGGAUUUAGGAUUUAGGAUUCGAUUAGAGUUUGAUUUAGGAUUUAGGAUUUGGUUAGAAUUUGGUUAGGAUUUAAUUUAGAAUUUGGGAUUUGGUUAGGGUUUGAUUUAAGAUUUAGGAUUUAGUUAGGAUUUGCUUUAGAAUUCAGGGUUUGGUAAGGAUUUGGUUUAGGAUUUAAAAUUUGGUUAAGAUUUGGUUAAUAUUUGAUUUAGAAUUUAAGAUUUGACUAGGAUUUGGUUUAGGAUUUAAGAUUUGGAUAGGAUUUGAUUUAGGAUUAAGAAUUUAAUUAAGGUUUGGUUCAAGGUUUAAGAUUUGUCUAAGAUUUUGUUUAGGGUUUAAAAUUUUUUUAAGAUUUGAUUGAAGUCUAUUAGGGUUUCAACUAAGAUUAAAUGAAAACUUGGUUGAAAUUUAUUUAAGAUAUAUUAUGAUUAUUUUAAUAUUUUUUUAAGACUUCUUAAGGAUUCUUUUAAGUUUCAUUGUAGAUUAUCUUUCAAUUUCUUUAAGAUUUCAUAUUGUUUCUUUUGUAAUUUUUUUAAGAUUACUUUUUGAAUUUGAUUAAAGCUUGUUUGGUAAUGUUAAGAUUUAAUUAAAGUUUAAUUAGUAUUAUAUUAGAACUAAGAUAUUGUUAUUGUAAUUUCUAUUCUACCUUCUACAGAUAGGUGCUUGGUGCACUCUCAAGAAACACUUUAUGUAUUAUGACAUAUUUAAUAAACUUGACAUAAAAAGCUUAAAAUAGAAGAUAUUUGGAAAAUAUCUUAGGUUAUUUGAAUUAAGAAGAAGGAAGGUAAGAGAGUUGAAGGAGGGGCUAUAGGUAGUGCUUCAAUUGGAGCUUUAAAUGGAGGUACUAAUAGAGGAUAAGGUAUGUAUUUUGAUCAUAAUUUUGUAAGCAUGUUUGAAGCUUUUGUCUUAUUCAUGAAAUAGCAAUAGAUUAAAGAGUACAAAUAGGGUUUGGCAAACAAAGAAUUACAAGCAAUUGUGGAUAAGAUUGAUCAAUUUGAAGAGAAGAAUAUUAUAAAGUAUUUAAGGUAUUAUGUAAAAAAA